rnacentral:lncRNA from 1 species
GAGAGGACCUGUAAAUGAAUUACCCUUCAAGAUGAGAUCUUCUAACUUUGUGUUGUUUUCUAGCAACCAAGUUGGUACAGUUCCACUGAGAUUGUUAUGCGAAAGAUCCACAUAUCUCAAGUCAUAUUGGUAGUAAAGGAAGGUAGGAACUUUACGACUGAGUUGUUGAGAUGUUAUGCACUUUAGCAAACUGAUGACUUCCAAUUGGAACUUUGGGAUUGAGGUAUAAAAGGAAGGUUCCAAUACCAUCUUGUUUUCAUUAAUCGAAAGGGCUUUGAGGUUUGAAAGGUUUGCAAAUGGUGCAAAUGACAGCGGAAUUUGAAAAUGGUUUCUUGAAAUAUCUAACUCACGAAGAGAUGUCAAGUUACUAAAACAAUGAGGAAGCAUCCCCUCAAGUGCAUUCUCACUCACAUCCAACACUUCAAGGUUCCUAAGAUCACACCAUCCUGAAAAUUUUAUAAAUAAAUUCAUGGAAGAAGUUUCAAUUAAAUUUUGCUUUAUAAAACAGAAUAGGAGAUAAUAUAUUACAGAAAGCUCAUAAAGAAAUCAAUUUGAGCCAUAAAAUUAUUUACCUUGAUUAGGUAAGGGACCAAUAAGUCCACAAUCAGAUAAAUACAAUGUUUUAAGAGAAGCAAAUACUCCAAUGCUUUGCAAAAUGUUGGUGUUGAGAGUAGAAUAGUCAAGAUAUAUUUCCUCCAAACUGCUCGACACAUUUGAAUCUAAGCAAUGUCAAGAGGUAUUAGAUAACGGUAUUAUAGAAAGCCUCUACUAAGCAGAAUGCUUUAUUUUCUGUGAAUGAAAUGAAGUAUAUAAAUAUAUAUAUUUUUUAUGAAUUAGAUUAUUCAUGAUUUAUCUGAGAUAAAUUUUGAUAGAGAGAAGAUGUUGAAACUUUAAUAUAACUCUUUAUCCAUUUUAUUAAUUAUACUAUUUUUUUUCUUUUUAUAUUUUCUUAUAUUAUUUUUUAAUAUAAGUAAUUAACUGAUAUAGCUAAGUUGUAUAAUUUUCAAACUCCAAUCAACAACACUAUAAAUAAUAUUUAUAAAAUAAAACAUGUCUACACUAAAUGUAUGUUUAAAUUUCAUAAAAUUGAAGAUAUUUUUAAAUUAUUCAAAAUUCACAUGUCUACACUAUAAAUAAUAUUUAUAAAAUAAAACAUGUCUACACUAAAAUUAGUAUAUUACCUUUAAAGAUGCCAAUAGUAUAUAAAAAAAUCAAAUAGGUAUUUUACUCACCAAUAAAUAAAACUCAAAAGAAUUAUAAGUAAACUCAGCGGAUUAAAUGAAAAUUUUAAAGCAUUAAAUCUUGGCCCAAAAAUAGAGUUAAGUUAAAAUUCAAAAUUCAAAAUUAUUUUAUUAAUAUUGUUAAAAUUAUUUUAUUAAAUCCAUGUUCAUUACGUCAUUUUUUUAGUUACAUUGUUAUCAAGUUUUUUUUUAUUUCAAAAUGUCACACCAACAAACUAUUUUAAAAAUUUAACAAUUUUAACAAUUGAACUAGGAUUUUGAAUUUUUUUUUUUUAAAAAAGAGGGACUAAAUUCUUGAAAAUAAAAGUAUAAGAAUUAAAUUACAAAUUAGUAAAGAGUACGUAGACCAAUCAUAUUUUUUUAAACCAAAAAGUUAAAAACAUAUGCACUUUGAAAUUUAUAAAAAGAUUGCAAUGGAAGUUUAAGCACCUCUAAAUGUAUGUUUAAAUUUCACAAAAUUGAAGAUUUUUUUAAAUUAUUCAAAAUUGACAUUUAUUUAUUUUUGCCAAAAAAAUGCCAUUUAUUUAACUCUAAUAUGUAUUUUUAUGUUUUAUACUAUUAAAAAUAUAUGAAAUUAAAAUAUAGUUAUAUUACAUAUUUUCUCAUAAAUAUAUGUUUUUUAUUUAUUUAUAAUAUCAUUGUUUUUAUUGUUAUAAUUAUUUUUAUCUAAUAAAAAUUCAAUAAAUUAUUUAAAAAAAUAUUUAUACAAACAAAAUAAUUAUAAACAUUAAUAUUUUAAAAUGAUGAAAAUUUUAAAGAAUUUUAGUUUCAAACCAAAGUCGAAACACAUUAUAAUGGAGGAUUUAGAAAAUGUUUCACCAAACCCAUAUUUUACUUUCAAGUAUGAUAUGAUAUAACUUUAUUAAUAUUUAUGGCAAUAACCGUUAUUAUAAUAUAUGAGAUCAAAAUUAAAUUUCUAAAUUAAAAAAAAAAGGAAGUUUAAUUAAAUGCAUCCAAAUCUAGGAAAACAAAAACAACAAAUCAACUUCAUUAUAUUCUCUUAAAACAUUAUUAUAUUCUUGUUAAAAAUCUAAUAUUUUUACCUUUCAUAUCUAUUGAUCCUUUCAAUUCAUUGAACCUUAUGCUCAAAGAUUUCAAAUUUGAAAGCUUGUUAAGGGAUGCAAAUACACUAGUAUUGAAGUGGUUGAAAUCUAAAUUAAGCUCUUCCAAGUGGGUCAACUCCAAUUUUCUACCACCAUCUACAAAAGAUUUAUAUAAUUUCAUCACUGAAAUAAAUUGGCAUAAAAUUUAAUUAUAUGUAAGAAUUUAGAUAAUUGGUUAAAUAUAAAUGCAUACCUUUAAAGGAUUGAAAGCUUUCAAUUUGAUUCCCACUUAAAUCGAGUUUCUUCAAAUUUGUUAAAUUGCUCAAUCCUAUACAUAUUCACGUCCAAUUCAAAAAAUCAAACCACUUAAUAUUUUAAUGAAAUAAAAAUGAAAAAAAGUAAAUCUAAAACUUGAAGUGAAGAUGAAAAUCCUCAAACGUGAAAUGUGAAUGUUCAAAUUUGAAACAAUUAAUUUUAAAAGGUUGUAGAAAGAAUUAUCAAGAAAAAUAAAGUUAUAGUUUUAGUACCUUUAGUAUCUAAUGAGCCUUGCAAAUCGUUGUCGGACAAAGUCAGAGACUUUAGGCUUGAAAGCCCUUCAAGAGAGGAAAUUGUGUUGUUCCGAAAGAGAUUAGUACUUAAAACAAGUUCCUCCAAGUUUGUUAGCCUCAAUUGCGUUCCAUCUAUCAUUGGAAGAAAAUAAUGAGUAUAAUUAAUAUCAUUCAAGAAAUAGUUAGGAAAAAUGAUUGUUUGAGAAGGAAGAGCCAAUUUAGAAGCUUUCCCAUGAAUUGAUAACUACAUUUUACAAGUAAAACUUAAUUGAUUCAAUAUAUAAAUACUUUGUUUGAGAUACCUUCCUAUUUUGAAAUUCAAUCCCAAAUAUUGAUUACUUAUAUAUAUUCAUGAUAUGAUAAAAUCAAACUUGAACAUACAUUGAUUUUUAAAGUUAAAAAGAAACAGGUAAAAUCAGUCUACCUUGAAUAUGAUUCAAAAUAUAUUUUUAUUUAUAAUAUCAUUGUUUUUAUUGUUAUAAUUAUUUUUUAUCUCAUAAAAAUUCAAUAAAUUAUUUUAAAAUAAUUAUAAACAUUAAUAUAUUAAAAUUAUGAAAAUUUUAAAGAAUUUUAGUUUCAAACCAAAUUCGAAACACAUUAUAAUGGAGGAUUUAGAAAAUGUAUCACCAAACCCAUAUUUUACUUUCAAGUAUGAUAUGAUAUAACUUUAUUAGUUAUUAUAAUAUUUGAGAUCAAAACUAAAUUUCUAAAUUAGAAAAAAAAAGGAAGUUUAAUUAAAUGAUACCUUGGUGGAUCACAAAAUUUUUCAAUUCAUUGUCGCUCAUAUAUAGUUCCCUUAAGUUGAUAAAUGCAUCCAAAUCUAGGAAAACAAAAACAACAAAUCAACUUCAUUAUAUUCUCUUCAAACAUUAUUAUAUUCUUGUUAAAAAUCUAAUAUUUUUACCUUUCAUAUCUAUUGAUCCUUUCAAUCCAUUGGCCCUUAUGCUCAACGAUUUCAAAUUUGAAAGCUUGUUAAGGGAUGCAAAUACACUAGUAUUGAAGUGAUUGUAAUCUAAAUUAAGCUCUUCCAAGUGGGUCAACUCCAAUUUUCUACCACCAUCUACAAAAGAUUUAUAUAAUUUCAUCACUGAAAUAAAUUGGCAUAAAAUUUAAUUAUAUGUAAGAAUUUAGGUAAUUGGUUAAAUAUAAAUGCAUACCUUUAAAGGAUUGAAAGCUUUCAAUUUGAUUCCCACUUAAAUCNNNNNNNNNNNNNNNNNNNNNNNNNNNNNNNNNNNNNNNNNNNNNNNNNNNNNNNNNNNNNNNNNNNNNNNNNNNNNNNNNNNNNNNNNNNNNNNNNNNNNNNNNNNNNNNNNNNNNNNNNNNNNNNNNNNNNNNNNNNNNNNNNNNNNNNNNNNNNNNNNNNNNNNNNNNNNNNNNNNNNNNNNNNNNNNNNNNNNNNNNNNNNNNNNNNNNNNNNNNNNNNNNNNNNNNNNNNNNNNNNNNNNNNNNNNNNNNNNNNNNNNNNNNNNNNNNNNNNNNNNNNNNNNNNNNNNNNNNNNNNNNNNNNNNNNNNNNNNNNNNNNNNNNNNNNNNNNNNNNNNNNNNNNNNNNNNNNNNNNNNNNNNNNNNNNNNNNNNNNNNNNNNNNNNNNNNNNNNNNNNNNNNNNNNNNNNNNNNNNNNNNNNNNNNNNNNNNNNNNNNNNNNNNNNNNNNNNNNNNNNNNNNNNNNNNNNNNNNNNNNNNNNNNNNNNNNNNNNNNNUAUACCAAACACAAUUUUUAUUAUUUGAUUUAAUAACUAUAUAUUUAAAAAAAUAUUGUCUUUAAUUAAAUUAGUUUUAUGUAAUUGCCUAAUUCUCCGAAACGAAGAGUGUAGACAUAAUAAAAUUAAACUCUAGUCAAUUUCGGUUGCCUAUCAAAUCGCAAAGGUUCCCAAAGUCAAUGUGAUUGCCACAAAAUUAGUACAUUAUUUUUCCACAAAACUAAAAUCUUGUACACCAUACAAACUUUCCGUCUCAAACAACCAAACACAGACUUAGUUGGGUAAGCCUAAAACUUCCUUGAAUAAAACAAAAAAUCUAGACCUAAAUUUUCCAUUAAUAAAAACAAAAUCAAGAGUCAAGACUUCAACUUUUUCAUGAAUUAAAACAUUCUACUUACAUUUUAGGUAUCAAAUCUCAAAAGUUGAUGUUGAGUUCGAAAUGUAAGAAGAGCAUACUCCAAUUGACUUGGCUAAAGCAGGUUUGGCAAGGAAUUCAUUGUUUUGAGCAUAUUGGUAACUUUGUUUUGGUUUUGUUGUUAUGCUCUAUUUUGGCAUAGUUUGACUGCUGUUAUUUUCUUGUUUGAACUGGCAUGGGUUGGGUGAUCUCAACUCCUUUUCUUAUAAUCAAUUGACUGAGCAGAAAAAAGAAACAACAUAUAAAUGAAAUUUAGAAGAAAACCACAUGAAGAAUUUUACAACACAAAUUACAGGAUUUUAUGUCUAUUUCACACUUUUGAUAUCUUUUCGAACAUUAGAUUUGGAAUCGACGCAACUCAUGUUUCAAUUCUUUUUCUUAUAUAAUUAUUGAUUUUAAAAAUUCCAAUUGUAUACAUAUAAAACCAAUCACAAAACUAAUAGUAUUAAUAGACAAAACGGUUUCAGGGAAAAGCAUUAGAAGAUAAAUAUCCAUAUCUCAAUCUUUCUUCGCUUCUUCCCUUAUAGAAUUGAAGAGUCUGGAAAUGCCAUAAUUGGUUAUGUUAAAAAUGACAGUCAUAAUUUUAAGUAAUUUUAAUUUGCCCUUAAUUUCAUAUAAAAUCUGUCGAAACCUUCUUUUUUUUAAAACGGGUCGACUUGAAUUUUGAAAAAUGAAAAAAAAUGGGAGUCGCCACCAAUCUUUUUUAAUAAGGUGUGAUCGGGUCACCUCGAAAAAUAGUUAUUUUUAUAAAUGAUUUGAUUUAUUAAAACAACAAUUUUGGUCCAUAAAAUUCAGAAAGAUGAGUUCGGAAGUCAGUUACGUACGAUGAAGAAUUAGCACCCUCGUAACACCCAAAAAUUGGUACCUAGUUGAUUAAUUAGUGUCUUAAUGUCGAAAGUUAAAAACUCAAAAAGAAUUGAAAAUACGAUCCUUUGUUAAAAUAUUAAAAAUUUUCAAGAAAGGGGCACAUUUCACGUUAAUCGAGAAAGAGAAUUACGUCCCGUAAGUUAUGACAUAAUGUCUUAAAUUCCCGAUACGAGAAUAAAUGCCGAAAAAUUUACUUAUUUGAAAGAUAUUUGAUUAUCUCAAUUUAUUAAAAAAGAUCAUAUUUCGUAAGUUAGAAUACAAUCCUUUAUUAAGUCCGACAUUAUUAAAAAUUUAUGUCUAAAAAGGUUCGUGUAUUUGGAUUUGUCGAGAAAAUGAAGCCCUGUAAGUUAGGGUACGACCUUUUCAAAUCAAAAUACGAAGUUUUAUUUAUUUUAAAGUCAUAAUUUAUGCAUCGAGUAGAAUUAACGUAACAUAAAUCGAUAGAAAUAAAAUACGAUGUUGAUGUGCAUAACGGAAUAAUAAAUGCAUUGGUACGAAUGACAAUAAAAUAAACAAGCAAAUAAUAAUAAACGAAAUGACAAACAAAUAAUGAAGAUAACGGACUAAGAAUUUAAAUUUAAAAAUUUAAUAUUAUAGAAAUAAUUAAAUAAAUGUUGUAAGGCAAUUUAAGAAUAAUGAUGAUGAUGAUGAUGAUGAUGAUGAUGAUGAUGAUAAAUAAAUAAACUAAAGUUUUAAAAUUUUAUAAAAAAUAUAAAUAAAUAGGGGAUAAAAUAAAAUAAAUGUAUUUAAAUUAUUUAGGUAAAUAAAUAUAAAAAAAUAUAAUAGAAAUAAUAAUAUAAGAAUUAAUUAAUUUAACAAUAUGGUAAUAAUAAGUAUAUAAAUCAGAAAGGGUAAAAUAAUAAUAAAGAUAAUGAUAUUAAAAUAAUUAAUUUAAUAAUAAAAUAAGAAAAGGACUAAAUUGGAGUUUAAACGAAAAUCAGGGUAAAAAUCGAAAGUAAAAAAAUAAGGGAGAGGGCCCAAUUGAAAGGCGCGCAUAACCCAAAGGGACCAAAUGGGGAAAUAUCCCCGCCCUCCGAAACACACCAUUUUGCUAGGACUAAAUCAGAAACAAAAUAAAAUUUGAAGUAUCAAUUGUAAAAUAAAAAAAACUGAAUUAAAAAAAUAAAAAAUGCUGAAGGGCUAAAUGCGCAAAUUGCCCACCAAAGCAAAACAAGCGGAUCCUUCUCUUGGGUCGGGUUGACACGCGGGUUGAAGGCCUUAUUACGCGUUGUUUUGGCCACUGGAGUUAAGGCUCAAAACAGUGUCGUUUCAGCCUUCUAUAAGACCAAUUCUUUUUUUGCAAAAUUUAAAUUCUCCUCCUUUCUUUAAAAAAUCGUAAAAACACUCUCAAAACCUGCCUUCUUCACAGGAAUUCGAACAUGGCUUGGGUCGCCGGAUCACCGCGGCGGCCGCCGAUUGCCAGUGACGGUGCCAUCGCCCACGGCGGCCGAAAAAUCAAAAGAAGCUUAUUUUUUGAGUUUUUCAAUUUUCCAACUCAAAAAACACCGAUUUUCAUCAGAAUCGGCGAACCUCAUGCAAAAAGGUACGUUUUUUAUUCCCUUUUCCCUUUUUAUAUUUUUUUCUUCUAAAAAAACAAAUAAGAACGAAAGAUAAAAAAAUAGAAAAAAUAAGAAAAAUGAAACUACCUUUGAAAAUCUACUGAUUUUUGUAUUGAUUUUUUUGUUCUUUUUGAUUGAUUCGUAAGGUCCUAAAAUACAGGAAUCGGGGACCUUUUUAUAGCCCGAAAAUAUCAUUUUUUUCUAUUUUUUCUCUCUUCUCUUAUUUUUUUACACUAUUAGAUUCUUAUCGUUCAUUUGUUUUACAGGUACAAGGCCGUUGGCCAGCUAGCAUACGAAGGCGCACGUGGGGAGGUGGUUGGAGGUGCGGUGGCUGAAAGCUAUUUGGGUAGGGUUUUUGUUUUUUUUUUUUUUUUUGAAAAUGUAAUGGGUUUUGGGCUUGGUUGUUAUUUUUUGGGUUAGAAUUUGUGAUUUGGGUUUGUAUUAGGCUAGGGUCUUGGUUUUUAGUUUGUAAAUGGACUAUUUGAUUCUUGGACUUUUUAUUGGGUUUGUUUUGUUUGGUUUAUUUUUAGUGGGCCAGGCGAAUCGGGCCUGUUAAGCUGUCCCUCUUUGCUCGUUGUCAUGUAACGAGAAUAGAACAAAGACUUUAAAAGGGCCGAUUUUGCUUGGCCUCUUGGUGCUCAUCUUCUUCAUGUAGCUUCUUUCUAACCCACUGCAGCUUCAAAGAGAUGAGGUUUGCAAAUUGUAGCUUCAAUAUGUUCCAUUGCAACUUCAGGGAAGCAAAAAUUAAUAUGUUUAAUUAUAAUGAUUUAAUUCAUCGUUUGCUUAUUACAUAAUAUUAAGUUAUGUUAAAUUUGUUUUUAUUAUAUAUUUCGUUUCUAACUCUUUAAUUAAUUUACUAGGAGAAACUAAAGGAUAAAAAGGCGGAGUAUGAAGCGAUUGCCUCGAGUGAUAGUUUUGUUAAUGUCGAUGACAUUGAUAAUCAGAUUAUUACCUGAAGUUUUGGGUCCUGAGCGGUAUGGUCGGGUUUGAUUUCAAGGUUCUUUUGUUAACCCAACCUAAUAUUUUGGAUCCAGCUUGCAGCAAUACAUGCCUUCGGGGAGUCAGGCUCAAGUUGAAGUUCAGAGGUUAAGAGACCAGCUGGCUUAGAUGCAAGUGACCACAAUUGAGCAAAUUACUCAACUUAAAGCGGAGGCAGCAUCAAAAGAAGUUGAAGUUCAAAGAAAAUAUGAAGAACUCCAGCUACAACUUAAAGCAGAGGCUACUGCGAGGGAAGCAAAGGUAGCAGUGAGGGAAGCAGAGUAGAGCAGAAAGUACGAUGCACUCCAACUACAGCUUCAGAAUAUGAUGAAGAUGUUUCAGCAGUCGCAAAAUUUGCCAUAUUAGACUAUUGUAUGAAUAAUUUUAACAUUUUAACUUUUAACAUUAUUGUAAGAAUAAUGUGAAUUAUACUUCAUUUAUCAAUUUAUAUCAUAUAUUUUGUUAAAUUUGAAGUAUAAUUUAGAUUUGCUGCUUUUGGUUGGUUUCCAUGCUACAGAAGGGUUGCAUAUGGAUAAAAAUUGGAUUUUACAAAUUUUCCAAACUUAGUGGCAUUUUUAGUAAAACGCCGCUAAAGAACGGUACUUUUAGCGACGUUUAUGAAAAAAGCACCGCUAAAGGUCAUGAUCUAUAGUGGCGUUUGUGAUAAAAGCGCCUCUAAAGGUCAUGACCUUUAACGGCAUUUAUGUGAAAAAAUGCCACCAACAUUACCUGACGUGGUCUAUAGUGGUGUUUUUUGUGGUGCUUCCACAAGCGUCGCAAAUACUUUUAGUGGCACUAGAAGCGCUGCUAUAGGCCUAAAAAAACACCACUAAAAGCUUGUUUUGCUGUAGUGAGAUGACAAUGCUUGUGCUCACUAAAACUCCAUCAGCCAAUGAGCCUCUACACACCAUGUGGGGAUAUAAUCAACCCACUCAUCCCUACACUCCAAGUAGUACUGAAUGCGGCAUAAAACUGUAGUUUGCAGUUGAGCUGCCAGUAAAUUAGGCUUAAAGCCUUUCAGCACAUUUCCUGCAAAUAACGACCCCCAAUCCAAUGCAAUGCAACAUACCAUGGAUGAUAUGCUAUUAUGCAAUUUCAGUACAUAUGUAUAAGUUUAGAUAUUAACAUGCUCAGAACAAAUAUCAUUCAGUCAAUUUCACACAUAUAGGGGUCCAAGUAGCGCUUACAGACCUUAUAGUAGGUUCAUAGUCGACUUGGGCAACCCAUGUAACCUUAGAAAUAUUUUGGUAAAAAUGGGCCCACACAUCUGUGUGCCCGCGUGGCCACCCGACCCAAAUUGGCCUUGGCCGUGUGAUCCAUUUUUAAUGUAACUCAUGCUAGCUAAAUAUUCAUAUAUGUUUCCACUAUUUACUAAUAUGAUCAUUCAGAGUUGUCUACUUGAGUCAUUGUCACUAAAUUAUUUAUAACUUGAGCUACAGAAUUCAAAAUUAAGAUCUGCUUGAUUUUCUUGAAGCAUAGACUCACAUAUCUUCUUACCUUAACAUUUUUAGAAUUUUUGGUUUAGCUAGUAAGUAUAGUUAAUUCUUCAAAAUUAUCCCUAUUCUACCGUCUGACAAUUUCGACCCUUCUUUUCUAAAAAUUAAUUAUCUCUUAGUACGGGAUUCAGAUGAUGUUAAGGUUUCUUUCUCUUGAAAUAUACUCAUUAAGAAUUUUAAUCAUAUAAAUUUUAACCCAUAAUUAUUUUUAUACAAUUUUUAAUGAUUUUCCAAAGUCAGAAUAGGGGAAACCGAAUUCAUUCUGACCUUGUCUCACAAAUUAUAUUAUAUCUCACGAUUUACAAUUAUAUUACUUACACCGUUUCUCUAUGAGAAACUAGACUCAAUAAGUUUUAAUUCCAUAUCUUUUCAUCUUUUAAUUCGAUUUUCACAAUUUAUGAUGAUUUUUCAAAUUUAGCCCACUAUUGCUGUCCAAACAGCAAGCAAUUUCGGCUUUUCGUCGAAUCUCAUUUUCUACGUUUCGAGUACACACCUAGUAUAGUUUCUAAUGUGUAAGCACUCCUAAGCCUCCAGAACCUAAAAAUCGACCAAAAAAUCUCCAGAUUAAUCACUUAAUUCAUUUUUAAUCAACCAAUUUUGGAAAGAACUCAACUAAAAACCUAACAAACACUUACCUCGCUUGAGUAAUCACAACUUCGUACAAUCACAGCAUCGAUUCAGAACCACCAGCCCCUUGACAACUCCUAAACACCAAAAAGGAACCCUUCUUUCAGAGAUUAACCAAGAACGAUUAAUAAUAGACAAAAUCGUUACUUACUGAACACACACAACCAACGAUGAACAACUAAAUCAAUUGGAAAAUAAAGAAAGAAAUGGAAGGGAAAAAAUAAUGGAAAUUUUGGCAACAACUAGAAGAAAGAAUCGGUAGAGGAGGAAAACUGAAACUCUACUAGGAGAAAGAAUCCACCAAGGUAUCAUUUAAUUAAACUUUCAUUUUUGUUCAAAUUUUAGAAAUUUAGUUUCAAUUCUUAGUAAAGGUUAUUGUGAUAGAUACUAAAAAAAUUAUAUCAUUUCAUACUUGAAACAAAUGGGUGGAAAAAAAGAAUUCAGUUUAAAAAAAAAUUAAGAAAUAAGGGUUUGGUGAAAAGAUCUUCUAAAUCCUUAUAGUGUGUUUGGAAUUUGGUUUGAAAAUCAAAUAAUUUUUAAAAAUUGCAUAAUUUUAAAAUUUUGGUGUUUAUAAUUAUUUUGUUUGUAUAAAUAUAUUUCUAAAAAAUAAUUUAUUAAAUUUUUAUGAGAUAAAAAGUAAUUAUAAAAGAACAAUGAUGUUUAAAAUUAAAAAAUACAUUUAUUUAUGAAAAAAUAUGUACUAUAAAUAUCAUUUGAAUUUCAUAUAUUUUUAAAAUAAAACAUAAAAGUACAUAUUAGAGUUAAAUAAAUGGCAUUUUUUGGCCAAAAAUAAAUAAAUGACAUUUUUGAAGAAUUAAAAAAACCUCAAGUAAAUGAAAUUUAAACAUAGAUUUCAAGGUGCUCGAACUUCCUUCUGAAACUUUUCGUAAAAUUCAAAAUGCAUGUGUUAUUAACGUUUUUGAGGGCCAAGAUUUAGUGCUUUAAAAUUUUGAUCUAAUUUAAUGAGUAGAGGUGAGCGUUCGAUCGAAUCGAAUCGAAUGAAAAAGUUUUGAAUUAAUCGAGUUGACAAAUCCUAUUUUAUCAUCCUAAGUCGAUUUAAAAUUUUCUCGAAUCGAGUCAAAUGAGAUGGAAUUCAAAUUGAAUAUAUUUAUUCGAGUUAAAUUAAAAAAUGAUUUUGGUGCUUUUUAUUUUUAUGUAAUUUUUAUUUAAAAUAUUUUUUAAAAGUUUUUAAAAAUGAUCCUACAAAGAAAAUUUGUAAUGAACAAAUAAAAACAAUCAAUGAAAAAAAUAAGAGGAUUUUGAUUUUAAGGGGUAAAGGGGGAGAAAUAAUAUUUUUGGGGGGAUUUUGAUUGUUGGGAGUAAAAGAGAAGGGAAAGCAAAAAAUUUUGGAGGUAAGGGGGAUAAAAAAUUUGGGGAUUUGAUUUUUGGGUUAAAAGGGGAGGAAAAAAAAAGAAAUUGAAGAGAAGAGUUGGUGGGGUAGAACCGGGGUUAAUAUUCAGUUUAUUCGAAUUUGAAAGCCUCAGCUCGAUUCGGAUGUGAAAUUCAAAAAGAAAUGUAAGUUGACUCGAUUCAAAUAAUUCAAAAUUUAAAUUUUUUUCAAGUCAAAUUAAAUUUUGCUCACCCCUACCAAUGAGUUUACUUGUAGUUUUUCUUGAAGUUUUAUUUAUUGGUGAGUAAAAUAUCUUUUACCAUCUAUAAAUUAAAUGCUAAAUUGAUUUCAACAUAUUUGAUUUUUUUUAUAAUGUAUUGAUAAAUUUAAAUGCAAUUUAACGAUUCUAUUCUAGACAUGUUGUAUUUUAUAAAUAUUAUUUUAUGGUGUUGUUGACUCGAGUUUAAAAAUUAUGCCAAUUAAUUAUAUCUAUUAAUUACUUAUAUUAAAAAUAUAUAAUAUAAUAAAAUACUAAAAAUAAAAAAAUUGUAUAAUUAAUAAAAUGAAUGAAGAGUUAUGUUAAACAUUCAACAUUCACUAUUAAAAUUUGUCUUGGUUAAAUUAUGGAUAAUCUAAUUUAUAUCUUUCUUUUCACUCUCAGAAAAUAAAGAAAUGAGAAACUUCAAAAAAUAUUUAUCUCAAUGACGUUUUUACCCAUGGAAGCAUUUCACUUAGCAGAGGCUUUCUCAUUAAUUAUCACUUUCUUUCUACAAUAAUAUUGUUAUCUAAUACCUCUUGUCAUUGCUUAAAAUCAAGUGUGUUGAGCAACCUAGAGGAAAUAUAUCUUGACGGAUCUAGUCUCAACACCAGCAUUUUGCAAAGCAUUGGGAUAUUCGCUUUUCUUAAAAUUUUGUCCUAAGAGUGGAUUUAUUGGUUCACUACCGAAUCAAGGUAAAUAAAUUUAUGGCUCAAAUUGAAUUCUUUAUGAGCUUUCUAUAAAGUAAUAUCUCGUAUUAUGUUAUUAAAACUAAAUUUAAAUAAUAAAAAAUUUUCACGAAAUUUUAAAAUUUUCAGGAUGGUGUGAUCUAAGGAAUCUUGAAGUAUUGAACGUGAAUAGGAAUACACUUGAGGGGACGCUUCCUCAUUGUUUUAGUAACUUGCCAUCUCUUCGUGAGUUAGAUAUUUCAAGAAACCAUUUUCAAAUUCCCGCUGUCAUUCGCACCAUUUGCAAACCUUUCGAGCCUCAAAGUCCUUUUGAGUAAUCAAAACAAGAUGGUAAUGGAACCUUCCUUUUAUACCUCAGUCCCAAAGUUUCAAUUGAAAUUCAUCAGUUUGUCAAAGUGCAUUACAUCUCUCCAACUCAAUCUUGAAUUUCCGACCUUCCUUUACUACCAAUACGACUUGAGAUAUGUGGAUGUUUCUCAAAACAAUUUCGGCGGAACAGUCCCAACUUGGUUGUUAGAAAACAACACAAAGUUAGAAGUUCUCAUCUUGAUGGGUAAUUCUUUUACUGGUCCACUCUCAUUAUCGUUAGCUCCUAAUUCUAAUGUGUCUUUAAUUGACAUAUCCCAAAACAAAUUGCAAGGUCAGAUUCCGAUUAGUAUAUGUCCAACUUUUCCACAUUUGAGCCUAUUAUUCUUAUCCAAGAAUGCCUUCGAAGGUGAUAUCCCUCCUUGUUUGAGUGGCAUGAAGGAUUUAUGGAUUUUAGAUUUAUCAAACAAUCAAUUGUCUGGAAGAGUACCUGAAGAGUUAAUCACAAAAAGCUCGUUGACCAGUGAUUCUCAAUGCAAAUGGGUUGUUAAAAUUAUAUUUGGAUGGAAAUAAUUUUUCUGGGGAGAUGGCAAAUGUUGAUGUCUCCAUUUCUGAGUUUCCAACUUCACUAAGGGAAAUCAAUCUCGGAAAUAACAAGUUUUAUGGAAACCUCCCAAGAUUGAUAGGGAAUGUGCCAUUUUUGGAGAAAUUAGCUUUGUCUGAAAAUGGUUUCGAGGGUUCUAUUCCGAUGGAAUUUUGCAACUUGAAUUACUUGGAAUUUUUGGAUCUCUCUGAAAACAAUUUAUUUGGCUCUAUACCGACCUGCUUUAAUCCCCCAGACAUAAAGCAUGUACACCUGCACGGGAAUAGACUAAGUGGCCCACUACCAAUUGCUUUUUAUAAUAGCUCUUCACUGGUUACAUUAGAUCUUGGAGGAAACUGUUGGUGUUUAAAGGCAGUAGCAAGCUGCUUUGUUCUUGCUUGGAUAGCAAGGCUCGAGACUUGCAGAAGAAACAAGUGAACAAAAACAGAAAUUUGCAAGUGAAAAACAGAAAUGAAAGAGAAAUUUUUUUAAUGAAAAACCAGCUGAAUUCUUCAUUAACAAAAAGAAUAAGGCAUUAAGCCAUUACAUAUACAAGUCAACUUGUAAAGCUAACAAGUUAUCACCUAAUCAACUACCUAACACCACUAAAAUUACAUUGGAAAUUGUUAAUCAGCUUGCUUAAGUUACUUUGCUGAUUUUUCAGUCAAUCAAUCAACAAAAUUACAUCAAAAGUUUACCAACUAAAUUCUACAAGAACUGAAUUACAAAAUACAAACUUAAUUCAACACAACUAGUUGAAUUUGAACAGCAUUGUCGAGUUCAAGUUGCUGCCUUCAAGUGCUGCUUCUUUCCUGCAUGUGACUUGCAUGGAAGCUAACUUCAUCAGAAUCAAUUUGAUUGGUAGUAUUCCAAAAUGGAUUGGCACACUUUCUUCAUUGAGUGUCCUUCUCUUGAAAGCUAGUAAUUUACAUGGUAGAAUUCCAGUUCAAUUAUGCAAGUUGUAUUCCUUGAGCAUGAUAGAUCUAUCUCAUAAUAUGUUUUAUGGUUUUAUACCUUCUUGUUUGGGAAAUUUAACUCUUAAAACGAAAUACCAGAAGACUUUGACAUCAUAUUCUGAGGCAAGUGAUGUAUUGGAAGACAUAUUACCAUACCAUAAGGAAACACGGUGGCGUGGGGAUGACUUACAAGAGUAUCCUGAAACCUACAUGGAAGAAUGGGUACAGUUCACAACAAAGAGUAGGUCCUACUCAUAUGGGGGUCUCAUCCUUGAGGACAUGACAGGGAUUGAUUUAUCUUGCAACAAGUUAACUGGACAAAUCCCACCUGAACUAGGAAACUUGAGUCAAAUCCAUUAACUGUCGUACAAUAACUUAACAGGAGUUAUACCCUCAUCAUUCUCAAACCUUAAGCAGAUUGAGAGUUUGGACCUUUCUUACAAUAGCUUGAGUGGUGAAAUCCCUAAUCAAUUGGUAGAAUUGAAUUCUUUAGAGGUUUUCAGUGUGGCACGAAACAAUUUGUCAGGUAGUAUUCCAGAACCAAAAGCUCAAUUCGGAACCUUUAUUGAAAGCAGUUAUGAGGGAAACCCUUUUCUCUGUGGUGCUAUACUGCAUAAAAGUUGCUCCAGAAUCAAUUCGCCAUCAACAAUAUCAACUAUAUCAGAUGAUAAAGGAGAAGAUGGUUUGUUUGAUACUUAUGAUUUUUGUGUGAGUUUUUUUAUUUCUUAUGUAGUUGUGUUGUUGACGAUUUUUGCGGUCCUUUACAUAAAUCCAUAUUGGCGAAGAUCUUGGUUUUCUUUUGUCGGAAAAUGUAUCACCACCUGUCGUUUCUCAAUUGGAGGCAGCUUUCUUGCGUAUUACAUCUUCAAGCGAUGUGUUUAACUAUCAUGAAGAUUUAUGCAAAGUUUGUUCAUGUUGUCUUCGGAAAAAAAUUCUGCUAUGAUCUUUUAUAUCAGGUGAGCACCUGAUUGUUUUUGGUGCUAAGACGGAUUUUGUUUAUUUUAUAUUUUGAUUAAAGCUUUUAUCUUUGUGUGAAGGAAGCUUAUAACCUUUGUCUUGUCGGUUAUUGUGGUAGACAUGUAGUCAAUUAAUUAUAUUCACUCUUCUAUCCAUCUCCAAGUUAUUUGGUAUUAAAUAUCUUUUUUAAAUUAUAUUCUGCUUUAUUAAAAAAAAUUCAAUAUAAAAACCAAGUUUAUAUCUUUUUCAAAUGCUUCUCUCUAUGCAUUUAUGACAUGUUUUUCGAUAUAAAAGUUAUAUACACAAGCAGAUAUUCCUUGGGUUAAAACAUGUAGCGGUCCUACUCUUUAGAUUUGCUAGGCACCCAUGCAUACAUAUGUAGAAGUAUUUGCUUUGGGAUGUAAGGUGGUGAGACUAUCAUCACAGCUUUGCUUAAGACUAAUAUUGUGAAAGAAUUAGAUUCUUGGAUCCAACAGUAAACAGAGCGGAUCAACUUAAGUUAAUCCUACUCUUCAUUUUUAUAUCUAAUCAUUUACGAACAUGGAUAUGAGAAUAUAACUGAGUCCAAGUAACAUUGUUUUUAAUCAAGGGGGGUUGGGUUUGAGUGGUGGACCCAUUUUUUAGAUGUAAGAUGAGUUUAUCAUUUUCAAAUUUGUUGAUAAUCCUUCAUUUAAUCUGCAGUGAAGUUGAUAGAUAGUCUUAAGAUACUGCCCCAAGAAACUAGAUAUAGUAAAUGUUGGUGUUGGCUUUGGGAUUAAAAGGUUGCCCCCUCAACCUUGCCAUAGAAGAAGGCUUAAAGUCUUCACUUGAGAAGCAGCCCAAAUUUGAUCUCCCACUUGAUUUGUAUACAAUUAUUUACUUUGGAAAAGUCUUUUAAUUGAGGGUUUCAUUAAUUUGUAAAUCUUAUCAUACGGCGUUGAUGUCGGAGAAUGUAGGCAUUCUGUUAAACCUCUUAAAUUUAGUGUGUGUUUUCCUUUAUUAUUUUAUUUGUAUUUAUCGGUUGUUCUGUUACGUUUUAAUAUUCAAUUAUGAUUUGGUGGGUUAAUCCGUUGUGUUGAGUAGUUUCAAUUUACUUUUGGUUCAUUAUUGAAGUUACAUUCUGCCUUAUGUUGCUAACAUUAUUAAUUCUCUAAUAUUUAAAAAUAAAAAUAAAAAUUAUGUGGUUAUUAAAAUUAUAAUACUAAAUUGAGAAACACAAAUUAAUACUUAAUUAUAAAAAAAAAAUGAAACCCACAAGAGUAUACGUAUUAAUUUAUUUUUCUCAAUUUAGCAUCAUAAUUUUAAUAACCACAUAAUUUUAAUUUUUAAAUGUUAGAGAAUUAAUCAUGUUAGUUAUUUUAAUAAAUCCAUAAAAGGAACAAAAUAUAUCAAAUUAAAUAAUAAAAACUAAAAUUUUAAUUCAAUUGAGUAAGACUAGGGAUUAAAACUGUAAAUUGAUGUAUAAUAAUUUUUCAGGCAUUAAUUAUGAGAUUAUUUCCGUGAGGGGGGCCUAUAUAAGCUCAAGGUUGAUGUAAAAGUCAAUAGUCAACAUUUGAAAGUUAAUACAAUGAAUUAUGUGACUGUUGAUAUAUGUAAUAAUAAUUUCUUAACAAUUUCCUCCAAUUUUCAUUAUUAUUCAUUAUUUGUUUUACUCAUUAAUGAAAUUUGGUGUGAAUACAUUAAAUUGAAGGUCAUUCAAGGAAAUGGUAAUGUCCAUUUUCCACGCGACAAAAACUUUCUUGGUCAAACAAGUUGGAUUUGGCUUCUCCAAUAACUUAAUAAUCUGUACUAAAAUUUUCCACACAAUAGAAUACGAACUCGUUCUCGUAAAUAUUUUGAAAAAUAAAAUAAUAUUAUGAGUUAACGAAUUAUCAAUUUAAUUAAAAAAUUAAAAGAUACAUUUUUAAAAUUUUAUGAAAUUAUAUGUUAAUAUAAUUAUAAAAUUAUAGUUCUAACUUUAUAAAAUUUAUUUUUUAUCUUUAAUCCUGAAGAGAGACAAAUUAAGAUAACUAUUCUUGGGGCCAUAACGACGACUAGGAUUAUGAUUGCACAUUUUCUAAGUCUUCAUUUUUAUUAAUUAGGAAAGAUGAUGGGCAUCUCCACUAAAUUUCCACCCACAAGAAUAUACAUAUUAAUUUGUUUUUCUCAAUUUCCAUGAGGGGGACCUAUAUAAGCUCAAAGUUGACGCAGAAGUCAAUAGUUAACAUUUGAAAGUUAAUGCAAUGAAUUAUGCGAAUGUUGAUAUAUGUAAUGAUAUUUUCUUAACAAUUUCCUCCAACUAUUUUGUAGACGGUGCUAUAUUACAUCACAAUGGGUGACCAAAUAUAUAUAAUUGAGAUUUUUAAGCAAAUAUUAUAUUUUAUCUUUAUCCAUGAAUAGUAUAAUAAUUAGGAUUAAUAUUUGGUACAUUGUUAGUGGAGUUUUUAAAUUCCAUAAGGAGAGUUAAAGGAUUGACACGUAUCCUAUAGAGGUGUAGUAUAUAAUAUUAAAAAAAUAGAUAUUUUUAAAAAAAUAGACACAUGCCAAUUUUUUAAUGUUGCUUGUGGGGUGCACUUGAAUUGUGGUUCAUAGAAGGAAAUUAUUAUAUAAAGGUUUAAUUCUACAAUAGUUCUUGUACUUUACUGAAGUUGUAGAUUUAAUUCCUAGACUUUAAUUUGAUAUUUUAGAUAUUUCUUAAAUUCAUUAAGUAUUUGUUAAAUUCAUUAAGUUCUACUAUUUCAAAAUUUGGUGUGACAAACAUAUUAUCAUAUGUGUAAUAUCACUAAAAUUCAAAACAAUGAGAAAUUUGUACAUAUUAUCAGAUGUCAAUAUCAAGUUGAACAUUUCAAAAUUUAAAGUAAUGGUGCAAGUCUUUAUCUUUCCAACAAACCAGAAUUUUCUACAUGAUGGCUUUUUUUUUUUCUUUUUUUUUCUUUUUGCUAUUAGUUAAGAGGAUUUUUUUAAAAAAUAACCCAAUUUAAUUAACUAAUUACAAAAAUGAUUCAAGUAAAACUCAAGUCAUAUUAAAAAUAAUUAUUUAUAAAUUUUAUGUUUCAAAAACUAAUGAAUGUUCAAAGAAUAGUGAAUUAUUAAAGAGAAGUUAUAUGAUAAUUGAUAGUUUUAAAGUAGUGGUCUAGUAGAAAUAAAUAGUUUUUUAUAAAAAAAUAUUAUAUAAAUAAUUAAAUUUUAUAGUUACUCCUAUUUUUUAAAAAAUAGUGAAUGUAAUAUUUUUUUAAAAUGUUAAAUUAACUCAUGAUAUUAAUUAAAUCAAGAAAUUUUAUAAUAAUAGAGAUGAAAAAAACUAAAUUUUCAAAAUCAAAACCUAAAAUGUGCAAGAAUAAAAGCAAAAUCAAAAUCAAAGAAGUAAAAUUUCCAUGAAUGAAACCAAAAAUGAAGACCUAAAUUUUCCAUUAAUAAAGCCAAGUCAAGACUAAGUUUGUAUAUGUGUAAGAAGGGUAUAAAUGAAGCUCACAAGAAAGCCACAUGAAGACUUUUGCAACCCCAACCACAAGAUUUUAUGUCCACCUCUCACUUUUCAUAUUUUUUUGGCCAUUCGUUUUUCAAGAUUAACAUCAACAUUCUUGUGGUCCAUUCAUCCUUUCCUAGCGAAUUUCCACCAGGAGUUUUUGCAAUAAGGAAUUUACGUAAAUAAAAAGCCUAGAUUUUGAUCCAAUUUUUGAGGAAUUAAUUAAUUAUAUAUUAUUUUUACAUUAUAGUGAAUUAGUGGGAUCCAGUAUGUUCUGCUUGUAUAUAAAUAAGAAGGUUAGGCUGCUUUAGAUUAUUUACAUAUAGAAGUUAACAAAAAGUAACAUAUAACUGAGAGAGAAGUGAAAACAGAGAGAUGAUGAUGAUGGAGUGGAAAUGGUUAAGGCUUAUUAGGAUGGCAGUAAUGUUGUUGGUGUUAGAAGGAUGCAGAUGGUGUACUACUGAUGCUUGUUUGGAGCAUGAGAGAAUCGCUCUCUUGCAUCUCAAGCCUUUCUUCAAUUAUGGUAAUCAAUUGCAAAGUUGGGUUGAGGUGAAGGGUUCAGAUUGUUGUAAAUGGAAAAGAGUUGAGUGUAACACCACCACUAGGAGACUCAUAAAACUCUCCCUUAAUUCUACAAGAUGGUUUGACAAUAUGGGAUACGACAUGGAUAAUGGGAAUCUCAAUGCCUGGUAUCUCAAUACCUCUAUGUUUCUUCCCUUUGAGGAAUUGAAGAGUCUUUAUUUGUCAGGAAACGCCAUAGGUGGUGACCUUGAAAAUGAAGGUCGUGCCUUUAACUUUCCAUUAAUUACAUCUUUUAUUAUUCCACUACUCUCACCAUUGUUAAUUUGCAAUUACUUAUAUUUUAUUUUAUUUUAUUGAAGAAAAGUCACUAACUGCUUGUAUAUAUUUAAAAGAACACUUCUACAGGCUUUGGAAAACUAUCAUCCACAUUGAGUAAUUUGGAGAUCCUUGACUUAAGUUUCAAUUACUUGAAUGAUAGCAUUUUGUUAUCUUUGAGUGAGCUUUCCUCUCUCCGGUAUUUAGACCUAUCAUACAACCAAUUUGAAGGAUCAAGUCAUCCAAGAGGUAAAUUAAAUUUGGUCUGGUGUAAGUUUUUAUUUGUAUAGUAGAGUUUGAGGAUGGUCUUCUAGGCUUGGUACCUAGUUUUCCAUUCUUUUUAUCCGUUGUAAUUCCACUUUUGCUUUAGUAAAAUUUUCAUAUAGCUAAGAAAGAAAAAAACAAUUAACAAGUAAUUAUGUAUAUAUAUCAGGUUUUCAAUUGCUUUCAAGACUCAAUAACUUGGAAACUCUUGAUUUAAGUUGGAAUUCUUUGAAGAAUAGCAUUUUGUUCCAUAUGAGAAAUCUUUCAUCCUUGAAGACUUUAAGAUUGAGACGUAAUCAGUUGAAAGGAAGGCUGGAUCAUAUUCAAGGUAGACUGAUUUUACCUGUUUCUUUUCAACUUUAAAAAUCAAUAUGUAUAUUCAAGUUUGAUUUCAUCAUACGAUCAAUAUAUAACUAAUCAAUACUUGGGAUUGAAUUUUAGGGUUGAAUAAUUUGACAAACUUGAAAUACUUGGAUUUAAGUGACAACAGCAUUGAAAGCAUCUCAAACCAAGGUAUAAGUACAGUAUUUAUAUGUCAAUUCAUAUUAAAGGUAGACUGGUUUUAUAUGUUUCUUUUUUACUUUAAAACCAAUUUUUGUUUAAGGGACAGUUAAUGUUGCAAUAUUUCAAAAUAGAGUAAAUUAAGUAGGAAGGUAUCUCAAACAAAGUAUUUAUAUGUUGAAUCAAUUAAGUUUUACUUGUAAAAUGUAGCUUAUCAAUUCAUGGGAAAGCUUGUAAAUUGGCUCUUCCUUCUCAAACAAACAUUUUUCCUAGCUAUUUAUAUAUUGAAUGAUAUUAACUAUACUAAUUAUUUUCUUCCAAUGAUAGAUGGAACACAAUGGAGGCUAACAAACUUAGAGGAACUUGAUUUAAGUAAUAAUCUCUUUCGGAACAACACAAUUUCCUUUCCUCAGGGGCUUUCAAGCCUAAAGUACAACAACAGUUUGCAAGGCUCAUUAGAUACUAAAGGUACUAAAGCUAUAACUUUGUUUUUCUUGAUAAUUCUUUCUAGAACCUUUUAAAAUUAAUUGUUUCAAAUUUGAGCAUUCAGAUUUCACGUUUGAGGUUUUUCAUCUUCACUUCAAGUUUUAGAUAUACUUUUUUUUUAUUUCAUUAAAAUAUUAAGUAGAAAUUAAAAUUAUUAACAUAAUGAUUUUUUGAAUUGGACAUGGAUAUGUAUAGGAUUGAGAAAUUUAACAAAUUUGAAGAAACUCGAUUUACGUUGGAAUCAAAUUGAAAGCUUUCAAUCCUUUAAAGGUAUGCAUUUAUAUUUAACCAAUUACCUAAAUUCUUACAUAUAAUUAAAUUUUAUGCCAAUUCAUUUUAGUGAUGAAAUUAUAUAAAUCUUUUGUAGAUGGUGGUUCAAAAUUGGAGUUGACCCACUUGGAAGAGCUUAAUUUAGAUGCAAAUCUCUUCAAUACUAGUGUAUUUGCAUCCCUUAACAAGCUUUCAAAUUUGAAAUCUUUGAGCAUAAAGUUACAAUGAAUUGAAAGGAUCAAUAGAUACGAAAGGUAAAAAUAUUAGUUUUUUAACAAGAAUAUAAUAAUGUUUUAAGAGAAUAUAAUGAAGUUGAUUUGUUAAUUUUGUUUUCCUAGAUUUGGAUGCAUUUAUCAAGUUAAGGGAACUAUAUUUGAGCGACUAAUGAAUUGAAAGAUUUGGUGAUCCACCAAGGUAUCAUUUAAUUAAACUUCUUUUUUUUUCUAAUUUAGAAAUUUAGUUUUUAUCUCAGAUAUUAUAAUAACGGUUAUUGUCAUAAAUAUUAAUAAAGUUAUAUCAUAUCAUACUUGAAAGUAAAAUAUGAGUUUGGUGAAACAUUUUCUAAAUCCUCCAUUAUAAUGUGUUUCAACUUUAGUUUGAAAUUAAAAUUCUUUAAAAUUUUCUUAAUUUUAAAAUAUUAAUGUUUAUAAUUAUUUUGUUUGUAAAAAUAUAUUUUUUAAAAUAAUUUUUUUAAUUUUUAUGAGAUAAAAAAUAAUUAUAACAAUAAAAACAAUGAUAUUACAAAUAAAUAAAAACAUAUAUUUAUGAGAAAAUAUGUAAUAUAACUAUAUUUUAAUUUCAUAUUUUUUUAAUAGUAUAAAACAUAAAAAUACAUAUUAGAGUUACAUAAAUCACAUUUUUUUUGCCAAAAAUAAAUAAAUAUGAAUUUUGAAUAAUUUAAAAAAAUCUUCAAUUUUAUGAAAUUUAAACAUACAUUUAGAGGUGCUUAAACUUCCAUCGCAAACUUUUUAUAAAUUUCAAAAUGCACAUGAUAUUAACAUAUGUCUACAUACUCUUUAUAAAUUUGUAAUUUAAUUCUUAUACUUUUAUUUUUAGGAAUUUAGUCCCUCUAUUUUAAAAAAAAAAUUCAAAAUCCAAGUUCAAUAGUUAAAAUUGUUAAUUUUUUUUAAAAAUAAUUAGUUGGUGUGACAUUUUGAAAUAAAAAAACUUUGGUAGCAAUGUAACUAAAAAAUGACAUAAUGAAAAUGGAUUUAAUAAAACAAUUUUAACAGUAUUAAUAAUUAGACUUGAAUUUUGAAAUUGAGUAAAAUAAAUGGCAUAAAACAUAAAAAUACACGUUAGAGUUAAUUAAAUGGCAUUUUUUGGCCAAAAAUAAAUAAAUGUCAAUUUUGAAUAAUUUAAAAAAAACUUCAAUUUUAUGAAAUUUAAACAUACAUUUUGAGGUGCUUAAAAAUUUUUUUCCAAACUUUUUAUAAAUUUCAAAAUGCACAUGUUAUUAACUUUUUGGUUUAAAAAAUGUGAUAGGUCUACGUACUCUUUACGAAUUUGUAAUUUAAUUCUUGUAUUUCUAUUUUCGUCAAUUUCCCUCUAUUUUUUAAAAUUUAAAAUCCAAGUUCAAUUGUUAACAUUGUUAUUUUUUUAAAUUAAUUUAUUGGUGUUGACAUUUUGAAAUAAAAAAACCUUGGUAGCAAUGUAACUAAAAGAUGACGUAAUGAACAUGGAUUUAAUAAAAUAAUUUCAAUAGUAUUAAUAGUUAGACCUGAAUUUUGAAAAUUUAUUUUUGUAAAGAGAAAAAUAUGCACAUUAGAUUUAAAUAAAAAUAAUAUUUUUUUAGUUUAAAAUUUUCUAUUUUAUAAUAGAACCAUGAUUUAAAUAAAUGAAAUUUUGAAGAGUUGCCAAAAAAAACUAUGUAGGUGAAAUUUAAAUAGAGAAUUUGAGAAGCUGAAAGUCUCUUUCGGAAUUUAUAAAUUUUAAAAUUCAAAAGGAUGUAUUUUGACAAUUUUAGGGCAAUGAUUUAGUGCUUUAAAAUUUUGAUUUAAUAUGGAGAAUUUAAUUAAAAAUUUAUUUAUUAGAUUGUAAAAUAUUUCUUAACAUUUAUAAUUGAGUACAAAGUAAAUUAAGUUUAAGGGAAAAUAUUAGGUACUAUUAAUGAAACUCUUUUCUUUUAUCAAAUUUUUUUUAAAAAAAUCUGGUUUUUAAAAAAAAUCGGGGUGGUACUAUUAAUGAAAUUCUAAACUUGAUAAGUAGGAUUGAGAUAAUAACAAAUAUAUUAUAUGGUAUAAUAAAAUAUUAAAAAAAGAAAUAUUUAAAAGAAAUAGGUUACUGGCCAUUUUUUAACUUCACUUGUAGAGUUAAAAAACUCCAUUACUAGUACCAAAUACUAAUAUUAAGGAAUUAAAUGCUAAAUUAAUUUCAAACAUAUUUAAAUCUGAUAUGAAUCAAGAAAAAAUUUAUUUUGAAAUUAUAUUUUAUCUUAGAAUGCUAAAAAAGGAUUAGUUUAAUUAAUAAAAUGAAUAAAUAGUUAUGUUAAGAUUUGGACAUUCUCUAUUAAAAUUUUAUUUUAUUGAUGAAAACAAAUAUUUAUAUAUUUCUUUCACUUACAGAAAAUAAGGGAUUGAGAAAUUUGAAAGUUUUGUUUCUUUAUCACGCUUUCACCGAUGGAAGCAUUCCAUUACAAAAUUUAGUGGAGUCUUUCUCAUCAGUUAAAGCCUUUCAUCUACAAUACAAUUAUCUGAACAUGACUCUGGCUACUCAAGGUAAGUGAAAGUCAUUAUGUUCUUUUCCAAAACAGCUUACGUUUAUUAACAUCUAAUACCUCUUCCCAUCCUAUAGAAUUAAAUGUGUCGAGCAAUGUGGAGGAAUUAUAUUUUGACGGAUCUACUCUCAACACCAACAUUUUGCAAAGCAUUGGAGUAUUCGCUUCUCUUAAAACAUUGUCUUUACAUGAUUGUGGACUUAUCGGUCCCUUACCUAAUCAUGGUAAAUAAAUUUAUGGGUCAAAUUGACUUCUUUAUGAGCCUUCUGGGAUAUAAUAUCUCCUAUUCUGUUUAAUAGAUCAAAUUUAAUUAAAAUUUCUUCAAUGAAUUUAUAAAUUUUUCAGGAUGGUGUGAUCUAAGGAACCUUGAAGUGUUGGAUGUGAGUGGGAAUGCACUUGAGGGGAUGCUUCCUCAUUGUUUCAGUAACUUGACAUCUCUUCGUGAGUUACAUAUUUCAGCAAACCGUUUUCAAAUUCCACUAUCAUUCGCACCAUUUGCAAACCUUUCAAACCUCAAAGUCCUUUCCGGUGAUGAAAACAAGAUGGUAAUGGAACCUUCCUUUUAUACCUCAGUCCCAAAGUUUCAAUUGACCAGCAUCAGUUUGUCAAAGUGCAUUACAUCUCAACAACUCAAUCUUGAACUUCCUACCUUCCUUUACUACCAAUAUGACUUGAGAUAUGUGGAUCUUUCUCAUAACAAUUUCAGCGGAACAGUCCCAACUUGGUUGUUAGAAAACAACACAAAGUUAGAAGUUCUCAUCUUGAUGGGUAAUUCCUUUACUGGUCCUCUCUCAUUUUCGUCAGCUCUUAUUUCUAAUGUAUCUUCAAUUGACAUAUCUGAAAACAAAUUACAAGGUCAAAUUCCGACUAGUAUAUGUUCAACUUUUCCACAUUUGUGGCGGUUAUUCUUAUCCAAGAAUGCUUUUGAAGGUAAUAUCCCACUUUGUUUAAGUGUCAUGAAGGACUUAUCAUUUUUAGAUCUAUCAAACAAUCAAUUGUAUGGAAAAGUACCAGAAGAGUUGAUCGCGAAAGGCUCACUGACCAUUUUGAGACUAUCAAAUAACAAGCUCAGUGGAAAUGUAGUUCCUGUGGUUCUCAACUCAAAUGGGGUGCAGAAUUUAUAUUUGGAUGGAAACAAUUUUUCAGGAGAGAUGACAAAUGUUGAUUUGUCUACUUUUGAGUUUCCAAAUUCAAUAAGGGAAAUUGAUCUUAGUAACAACAAGUUGCAUGGAAAGCUCCCAAGAUGGAUAGGGAAUGCAUCGUUUUUGGAGAGAUUAGCUUUGUCCAACAGCGGUUUCGAGGGUUCUAUUCCAAUGGAAUUUUGCAAGUUGAAUAGGUUGGAAUUUUUGGAUCUUUCCCAAAAUCAUUUAUCUGGAUCUAUACCGUCAUGUUUUAAUCCACCAAACAUAGAGCAUGUCCACCUCCACGAGAAUAGACUGAGAGGUCCACUAUCACUUGCUUUUUAUAAUAGCUCCUCUCUAGUGACUUUAGAUCUUAGAGGAAACAAUUUGACAGGUAAUAUUCCAAAAUGGAUUGACACAUUUUCUUCUUUGAGUGUUCUUCUCUUGAAAGAUAAUCAUUUUCACGGUAAAGUUCCAAUUCAGUUAUGCAAGUUGCAUUCUUUAAGCAUCAUAGAUCUUUCUCAAAAUAUGUUUUCUGGUCCUAUACCUUCUUGUUUGGGAAAUUUAUCUCUUCCAAUGCAAACGAAGAAGAUUCUAGACAUUGGGAUCUAUAGGCAAUCUACAGAAGAGGAUGAAUCAACACGCAUUAUGAUAGCAAAUCUGGGACUGGAUUCUUACUACCCUUACAGCUACUUUGAAGAAGUAAUAGAGUUCACAACAAAGAGUGGGUUCUAUUCGUACAAGGGCGACAUCCUUUCAUAUAUGACUGGGAUUGAUUUAUCUUGCAACAACUUAACUGGUCAUAUCCCACCAGAAUUAGGGAACUUGAGUGAAAUCCAUUCUUUAAACCUUUCACACAAUAAGUUGACCGGAGUUAUACCCUCGUCAUUCUCAAAACUUCAUCAAAUUGAGAGUUUGGACCUUUCUUACAACAACUUGAGUGGUGAAAUCCCCAAUCAAUUGGUAGAGUUGAACUCUUUGGAGGUUUUCAGCGUGGCAUUUAACAACUUUUCAGGUAGUAUUCCCGAACCAAAAGCUCAAUUUGGGACCUUUAUUGAAAAUAGUUAUGAGGGAAAUCCGUUUCUUUGUGGAGUUAUAUUGCAUAAAAGUUGUUCCAAAACCGAUUCACCAUCAACGAUAUCAACUGUAUCAGAAGAUAAAUGAGAAGAUGGUUUGAUAGAUACUUAUGAUUUUUGUGUGAGCUUUUUGGUUUCUUAUGUAGUUGUGUUGUUGACAAUUUUUGUUGUCCUCUACAUAAAUCCAUAUUGGCGAAGAGCUUGGUUUUCUCUAGUUGGGAAAUGCAUUACCACCUGUCACUACUCAAAUGUGGGCAAUUCUUACUUAUCACAUUUUCAAGCGAUGUGUUUAGCUACUCAAAUUGCGAUUUGAUUUCCACACCUAAAUGUUUAAUUAUGCUAAGUUGAGCGAUAAUGAAUAUUUUGUUGAUUUUUGCAUUUUGAAUAAAAGCUCUUUUACCUUAUGGUUUUAUCAUUUUCAACCAACUAUUUCUUUUUUCUUCUAUGAAAUUUAAUGUAAAAUCAUAAUCCAUUAUUAUGUAUAUGUAAUAUCUCUUUAAAUUAAAUUAAAUUAAAUUAACUGCCAAGCGUUCACUAGUGCAUACUAAAAAGGAAAUCUAAUGUAAAAUUAAAUAACAUACUAGAAAAUUGAAUCUAAAACUGGAAUAUUUUAAAACCUCACAAAUAAUGCAAUUCUUUAUUCCUCUUUUCCUCUCAAGUUAUUUUGUAUCAUGUUAUAUUUUACAUAAUUAUUCGUAUCAUUGAAUUUUAAAAAAAAUUUAAUAUUUUGAUAUCAUGUUCAUAUUAUGCUUUAAUUCACAAUAUAUUUUGUAUAAUAUGUUAUAACAAUUCAAUUUAAAAAACAAGCAAUUAUCUUAUUUUUGCAUACCGUAAUAUACAUUUACAUGUUAAUAAUUCUUUGUACAUAAAUUUUGACAUGUUCGUAUAUUCGAGUCAUUAUAAUUUUAUUAUUUGUAAUAUGACAUGUUUUACUUACCCUUAAUAUUGUGUCAUGAUAAUUAUAACUCGAUUGGCAGUGUACCAAAUAUUUUUCUAAUAAAAAAUAGUAUUUUAUUCUAUUUACCAAAUCUUUAUCAACUUUAUAUUCUCACCAACAAAACAUACAUUCAAAGUUCAAAUAAGUUCCACACCCAUUUAUGCUCAUCAUCAGAAAGCUGAAAUAUUCCACUCUAAUUAACAUUAUGAUUCUGUAAACAACAAAAAAGUGUGAUCUUUUUUUAAAGCUCUUUUUUUUCUUUAAUGAAAUGGGAUUGGUAAAAAAUCCGCACAUGUGUCGUGUGUGAAGAAGGUCAGGUUGUCUAUUCAUUCUCUAAUAAGUAGCUAAUUAUAGUUGAUCCUACAAAAUCAAAAUUAAUUCAGGUAUCUAUAUAUUCUGAAGACUGGACAGACCUUAGAAGCUCCUUCAAAUUUGCAAGAACAUGUCGUGGUCCUAAACUCUUUACACCGAUGAAAUUCAAAAGUUGCUCUAUAUCCUGCAAUCACAGUAAAGAUUAUGCAAGCUUUUCAGAACGAAUAACAUAACAAGCAAAAGGCAAUCAAAAUACUGUGAUCUCGAUAAUGUUCUUUGCCGAAAAGGAACAUAAACAUAACCUGAAAACAUCAGUGAAGGCUCAUCAGAUUUGCUUAGCAACCUUACAUACACAUGUAAAAAGCUUUGCUUUUGGAUGUAAGGUGUGACUAUCAUCACAGUCUUUCCUAAUUAGCUGAUAACCCUAUAUCUAACAUUAAUCAUGGCUAAGCAAAUUAACAUACAUAAUGUAAAGGAAUUUGACUAUAAGAUCCAACAUAAAACUUAAUAAAAGAUAAUCAACAUAGAAAGUUAAAAGGCAAUGCAAACUUAUUACAAUGAUGCAAGUGGAUCAAAAGAAAGCACUCUAUAAGGAAUUUGCAUUUAAGGCAUUGUAAACAGAAAAAAAAAAUAAAACUUUUUGGAAAGUAUUUUCAAAGAGGAGACAAACAGGGUAGAAAAAAUGUUUGGUCCUUCCUUUUUCUAUUUCUACUGUGGUGAAAAAGCCUUUUUGGGUUAAAAGUGUUUUUACACUGCAGAAGUGUUUUUCCACUGCAGAAGUGACGAAGAACACAUAGCUUUUGUAGUCAAAAACCUACUGCUUUUGGCUUUUGCAUUUCGAAGUGAAAAUUAUAAAAAUACUCUUAGAUUAAUUUAUAUUUUAUAUAUUAUUAUAUUAAUUGUUUAAAUCUUAUUUAUUAUUAUAUUUAAUUUUUUUCAAAAUAUUUUAUAUAUCAUCAAUUUUAUAAAUAAUUUAAAUUAAUUACUUAAAAGGUAUUUAAAAGUUAUAUUUCAUGUAUCAUUAUAUUAAAUUAUUUAAAUAUCAUAUAACUUGACUAAUUUUUUUCUUUCUACCAUCAUGUCUAAAAAAGACAUUUUAACUUUCAACUGCAAUUUUUGGCAGCAAUGAACAACACUAAAAACUAACAAACACACUUUUCCGCACCACAUUUCAACAACACUUUUUUCUAAACGCACUUUUGAACUAGUCCUUAGUCUAUCAUGCAUCAACUCUUCAUUUUUCUUUAACUACCCAUGUCCGACUUCGAACAUGGAUAUGGAGAUAUGACCAAGUCACAGUGACAUAGUUUUUAGUUAUGGGGAAUGGGAUUCGAGUGCUGGACCUCCUUUUAGAUGCAUGGUGGGACUUCAUCACAUUUUUCAAAUUUGUUGAUAAUCCUUCACCUAAUCUGCCGGUGAAGUUUAUAGAUAGUCUUAAGUGUCUAUCACAAGAACCUAGAUAUUGUAAAUCCAAUAUCUUCCAAACAAUUCAACCAUGAUAUUAAUGAUGAUGGAAGCAAGAUUAUCCACUAUCAAUGACAUAAAAUGAGCUGUAAAUGCUGACGAACAAACAUGCACUGUUUUUCCAACCUGUGGAUUGAAGAGCAUUGACAAGCUAACUUUGCAGACCAUUUGAAUCCAAUACUAUACAUAAAAAUGCCAAAGGAGAAUAAUUCAUCUUGGAAAAAGAAUUACUAAUAUGCAAAAGCUUACCUUGUUUAACAAGAAAACAGCAUAUGCUGCUCUUGUCGUGUCUUGACCUUCUAAAAACAGCGGAAAUUCUGCCAGCUUUACAUUUGCUGAAAGUGUUGUAUCCAAUGACAAAUCAGAAGAUGCAGGGUCUAUUGAAGACGCAUGGUCAUUAAUAUAUGAGCGAGAACCACCCAAGCGCAGAGGAUAACGCAAGGGAACUUGUAAAUAGGAUGCAAUUAGUGAAACAGCCUGCAAAUGAUGAAAUAACAGGAAACAAGAAACAAUAAUAGGUAUGAUUAAAAUUAUAGCCUCAGCAUGAGAAACAAACAAUCAAGAUGCAACCCACUAUACCAUAUUACCAUCCUAGCAAUUAAAAAUUACUACAGCAUCUUCAAGCAACAAGGGAUUGUAGGUGGUAGGUCAAAAAACUUGAUAUCCACAGCUUGAUAUUAUCAGAAAAAACAAAUUCAGUAAUAAAUGAUAACUUCACAGAAGAAAUAGAACGCACAUGUGCAACAUAUCCCAAGGCAGUUGCAGAUCUCUGAACCUCCUUUUUGUCAGUGAAAAAACUCAUCUUUGUAAAAGGAAGCAAGGUGAGAUUCAGACCUAAAAUUGUCAACGAUCCUUGAUUGACGGGCUUUGAUGCAGAAGGAUUCCCUAUUGAAGACAGGAACAAAGGAACUUCAUAUCAGUACAUCACCAGACACCACCUCUUUGUGAAAGUCAAAAGAAAAUUCAAAAAAAUAUCAUCAUGAAAGUAAGAGAUAUGUAAAAAGCUCAUAAUAUUCAAGAGCAAAAAAAAAUUGUUUUGAUAUGAGGAGAAUUGAAUAGUAGAUUGCUAAAAGAGGAAUAACUGAAUACAACCAUUAUAACCAAAAGAAGAGUCAAGUGAUAGGUAAUGGUACUCCCUAAGCUGUUUAGGAAUCAUAAAAGACUUGUCCAGUCGACAAAAAUAACUCAUUUUAUUCUCCCCUAGUAAAACAUCAUAUUGGACCAACCAUAUUUGAUAUCAAAGGAUAUGCAUAUCCAGGCAUGCCAUUUAUAGAUAUUCCCAGUGUUACAAGAAGGAAUUGUUCAAGAGAAAGAAGCUGCUAUUGUUGGUAAAGUUUUCCUCAAACCAUUUUGAACAUCCAAAAUCUCAAGAACAAAAAAGAAAACGUAGGAGGAAAUAUAACAAGCAUCACAACGGGUUCUCGAUGAUAUAAGUGAGAGGAUAAAUGUUAAUUAAGAUUAUAAAAAUAAACCACAAACUAAACAGGAAAGACAUGGAUUUCAAAACGAGGAGACUGGCUGCUAAUUAAAACCAUAUGCGGCGUUGUCUAGGGCGCAAGGCACAUUCUAGGUGCUAACCUUUAUAUUGCCUCAAGCACAAGGCACAAAAGGAAGCGCUAGCCUGAGUGCAGUAAAGCGCAAUACGUAUAUGUGAGAGUUUUUGCAAGUCUGUGUGUCUAUAACAUAAAAGUUUUAAGAUAUAUGGUAAACUCUAAAGUGUGGUCUGGUUUAUCCACAAAACUUGCAAAAUUUUUAUAGGUGAAUACUUAAAUAUUGAGAAUUAUAGAGUUUGAUAUUAUCCCUUUCUUAUUAGUAAAGGUGUAUCAAAUGAAAACAGUAGAAAAUAAAAUAAAAUAUUGAGAAAUUCAACAAGGCAGGCUUUUUCUAAUGCCCAUUGCCUUACAAAAAAAGUGUGCCUAGGUGCACCAGGCAUACGCUUGAUCAAAUGGACCUCACCUGGAAGGGUCCAAGGCGUUUUGUUGUAUAAAACUAAGGCGUAGGCACGCCUAGGCGCAUGCCUUGACAACACUGACCAUAUGUUGGCUUUAUUGCAAAGCAUUAGCAAUCCAAAACUACUAGCACAUUACCUAAUCUACUACUGCUAGAAUAGGACUCAAGUUCUUGCUCCUGUGCAGGUCCAACCAAGAUCUUUACAGGAUACAAUAAUGAAACUUGUGAUAUCAUAUAUUGUUGCCUUGCUCGAAGCUUCCUUUGCACAUUUUUAAGUUUAACACAACCCCUUUCUUCAGUGAGUAAUCUAUUUGCUUCCUGUGAUAAAAACAACAUAUAAUCAAUCAUGCCACGCAUGCAAGACUACCAACCAACUAUCUAAUAAAAGAGACAAAGAAGUAGGAGAGCAAGAAGGGGAUAACCCUUGACUAUGCAAAGGAAUUCAUAGAAUGAGAAUCAUCUCAUCUAAGCCCCUCAACCACCUUCACAGGGGGUGGAGGUGCAAAGAGAGAGGUCUUAUUGAUCCGAGAGGAGAAUAUAUAACAUCUAAAGCUGAAUAAGAAGAAACCUUCAAAUAUAUCAUAAAUUCAGAAUUCAUGAUAAUAUAAAAAUGAAAUUCCAAAGCUAAUUUAAGCUAGAAUAAAAAUGCUUCACCUGUAAUCGCUUCCUUGCUACAGAAAGAGAGGUACCAGCAACCAACAAUGAUCUUACUUCAGUACUCAGCAUUUCCUCCUGUUUUUUAGCAUCCUCUGUUGCAACUUUGCAACGAGUUGACAUGUUUGCCAUAACUACUUUCCUUGCCUCUAGUCUCUCACGCAUUUCCUCAAGCUCGUUCAGUUUAUUCAAAGACUCAUUUUUUACCUGCACAGCAUGUUCCCACCCAUUAAUCAGUGGGCCAAUUAAUUAGGUCACAGAAGACAAAACUAAAUUAUCACUCACCAGGUCCCCUUGAAGUGUCAUAUGGCUUUAACAAUUCAACGUGCAAUAUCUAGUAAAAGUGAAAUAAACAUAGAAGAAUGCAAAUGCAAUUCUUAAACGCCUUUAAAUGGACAACAUGAAACAGUUUAAGAGCCCUAUAAAACAGAAAAGUGGAAAAAAAAUCUGAAAAGGAAAAAAAAUGAAUUGAAACAAUAAAUCCAUCUGGUACAAACAGCAACAAAUCUCGAAAUAAGCCUUGGCUUUAGCCCAUUAAAGCCCGGGCAUCCGGCCGAAUAAACAGUGACUGCCAUGUCAACUUUUUGAGACGGUAGAAAAGAGCUCAAAAAUCUCAAUUUCCAAAAUUAAGGACAUAAGAAGGAAAACAAUGUACUUAUUCUUACAGUAGAAGAGCAAAAUGAAACUAAAUGAAGGAUAAGGGAACUGAUGCGAAUUGACAUUGUUAUUUUUGGGACUAAAAAGAAUACGCAGAUUGAAUAUUUAAGAUUUUGUAAGGGAAAAGUUCCAUUCACCAACACAAUUAUCAUCGCCCUUUAUCCCAGUAAAGCUUAAUUGACAAUUUUUCUGUCUCGUGUUCUUGCUAAAGCAUUUGAGCAACCCAACAGAAAUCAUUAUAUGUCAAACUGAAAUGAUUGGCUUUAUCAAUUUCACAACCUAUACUGCCCAACCUAGUAAGUAAUUUAGGUGCAGACACCAGAAAUCUAUUUUCUUUGCACUCUACAACCAAAUAGCCUACCACUUAUCAAUCAAACACAGCUGAAAACUUCAGUGAGGAAACAUUAUGUAAACUGAAAAAACUAUAACUUCAACUUGAUUCAUAGCUCGGUAAGUUCAGGGAACUUGGACUUCUACCACCAUGAUCCAGUUCGAUGUGAAACAGUGAUCCAUAUCACGCAUAUCAGUUCCCGCAACAAGAGGUAAAACAGCAAAUUAGGUAAACAAUGAUCCAACUAUAUUUCAGAAUAGCAACAUUGAGCAUGAAAGCUAAAAUUAUAGCAUAUUAUGGGUCCUUGCUCCCUACAACUACAUAUAAAAUUACUAAACAAUAUUACUACAUUAAGGAUCCAGAAAAACUUGGUUUCAAUUGUUGAUCACUUGAUCCAACUAUUUUAGAAAGUUUAUUCUUCUUUUUCCUUUCCCUUAUUUUCUAAAUCAGGAAAAACAGUAGCAUAUAAACUGGAUUACUACUCCAAUUAAGUUUCUAAAAUUUCAGCAAUAUCCCUUUAACCUUUUCACUCAAGUCACUACCCCCCCCCCCCAAUUAACAAAUAUAUUCCCAGUUUCCCUUUCACUUCAAACCCCCCCCCUUUUUUUUUUCUCUACCCAAAUUCAGCUUACGUUCAAAAACCCAAAAUUGGUUUGCUAAAAAAACAUAAUUUUCAAACCCAAAGGUAACCUAAUUUUAAUCAGAAAAAAAAAAGAAGCAUUACCUGAAUUAGUGAAUGGAGUUUCUCUUGAAGACUUUAUUUUAAAAUUAUCUUAUACUAUUUGCUUUAAAUCGAUUUUUAUUAGUUAUUUGAAACUCGUUUUCAUGUACUAUUUAUUUUUUUAUCACUUAUUUAAAUUGUUUUACAUAUCUAUUUUUUAAACCCUAUUUUAUUAUAUUUUACUUAUUUUAACUUUUUUACAUAUUUCAUUAUAAAUAUUAUUAAUUAUCUAUAUUGAGUUUUUCAUUUAUGUAUUACUUAUUUAGAUAAAUAUAUACUAUUUUGUGUAUUACUUAUUUUGAUUUUCUUCUUAUACAAUAUUACUUUAAAAUUCAUUUAGAUAUUAUUAUUUCACAUAGUAUUUAUUUUUAUCUUCAUUUUUGAUCUAUUUCAAACUCAUAUAUAUUGUUUAUUUUGAAAUUUUAUGCACAUGAUUUAUUGUUUAUAUUGAUGAUUUUAAAUUUCCUUUCUUGUAUUUUUAUUUAUUUAUUUUAAAACUUGUUAUACUUUAUUUGUGUUAAUUUGCUUAGUUUUUCUUUCAAAAUUAACUUAUAAUUCAUUAGCUUUUAAUGUUAGUAUUUGCAUAAUAUGUGAUAUAAGAUUAUUGCUCUCAUGUAUUGCUUAUCUGUAUAUAUUGAUUAUUUGUCAUUCAUUAGUAUAUAUUUUGUUUUACGAAUUAUCACUUCUCGCGUUGUACAUUAUCAUUUCCAUCGCGUUUUAUUUGCUCAAAAAUUAUGUUUAAUAUGGCUUAAGUUUUGAAAUCAUUUUAUCCAAAAGCUUCCAAUAUAGCAUAACACUCGGUGUUUGGGAUUUUUGAAAAGAUCGUACUCUAACUUACGAGGUCUCGAUUUUUUGAUAAUUUCAAAUAUACGAACCUUUUUAAAAAAAAAAACAAGACACAUUUACUUAAAAAUUAUCUCAAGAAUCAAAAAAAGAUCGUGUCCCAACUUACCGGAUAUGAUUUAUUAUCUGAAACCGAUAUGAUCAAGAUUUUUAAAAAUAAAUAAAUUUUGGUGUUUAUUCUCGUUUCGGGAUUUAAGAUAUUGUGUCCUAACUCACGGGAUAUAAUUUUUUUCUCGAUUAACGAGAAAUACACCCUUCUUUAAAUUUUAACAAAAUGGUCAUUUUUUUAAAUUUCUUUUCGAAAUUUUAAUUUUUCGACAUUAAGACAUUAAUUAAUCGAUUAGGUACUAAUUUUGGGCAUGACGGGGUGCUAAUCCUUCCUCGCAUGUAACUGACUCUCGAACCCGUUUUUCUUAAAUUCCAUUGACCAAAAUCAUUGUUUUAAUAAAAUCAAAAUGUUUUAUCAAAACGAUUGAAUUGCAAGGUGAUCCAAUCACACAUAAAAAAAAUGUCGGUAGCGACUCCCUUUUUUUCAUUUUCAAAAUAAAAGUCAACACUAUUUUUGUUUUCAAAAAGUGGUUUCGACAAAAUUGUUUAAAUCUUACUUAUUAUUAUAUUUAAUUGUUUUUCAAAAUAUUUUAUAUAUCAUCAAUUUUACAAAUAAUUUAUAUUAAUUACUUAAAAGGUAUUUAAAAGUUAUAUUUCAUGUAUCAUUAUAUUAAAUUAUUUAAAUAUCAUAUAACUUGACUAAUUUUUUAAUUUCUACUAUCAUGUUUAAAAAGAACAUUUUAACUUUCAACUGCGAUUUUUAGUAGCAAUGAACAACACUAAAAACUAACAAACACACUUUUCAGCACCCCUUUUCAACAACACUUUUUUCUUAAAGUACUUUUGAACUAGUCCUUAGUCUAUCAUGCAUCGACUCUUCAUUUUUCUUUAACUACCCAUGUCCGACUUCAAACAUGGAUAUGGAGAUAUGACCAAGUCAGAGUGACAUAGUUUUUAGUUAUGGGGAAAAGGAUUCGAGUGUUGGACCUCCUUUUAGAUGCAUAGUGGGACUUUCAUCACAUUUUUCAAAUUUGUUGAUAAUCCUUCAUCUAAUCUGCCGGUGAAGUUUAUAGAUGGUCCUAAGUGUCUAUCACAAGAACCUAGAUAUUGUAAAUCCAAUAUCUUCCAAACAAUUCAACCAUGAUAUUAUUAAUAAUGAUGAAAGCAAGAUUAUCCACUAUCAAUGACAUAAAAUGAGCUGUAAAUGCUGACGAACAAACAUGCACUGUUUUUCCAACCUGUGGAUUGAAGAGCAUUGACAAGCUAACUUUGCAGACCAUUUGAAUCCAAUAAUAUACAUAAAAAUGCCAAAGGAGAAUAAUUCAUCUUGGAAAAAGAAUUACUAAUAUGCAAAAGCUUACCUUGUUUAACAAGAACACAGCAUAUACUGCUCUUGUCGUGUCUUGACCUUCUAAAAACAGCGGAAAUUCUGCCGGCUUUACAUUUGCUGAAACUGUUGUAUCCAAUGACAAAUCAGAAGAUGCAGGGUCUAUUGAAGCUGCAUGGUCAUUAAUAUAUGAGCGAGAACCACCCAAGCGCAGAAGAUAGCGCAAGGGAACUUGUAAAUAGGAUGCAAUUAGUGAAACAGCCUGCAAAUGAUGAAAUAGCAGGACAUUAGAAACAAUAAUAGGUAUGAUAAAAUUAUAGCCUAAGCAUGAGAAACAAACAAUCAAGAUGCAGCCCACUAUACCAUAUUACCAUCCUAGCAAUACCUGCAAAACUUUCAUCAAAACGGUAAUAACACUUUUGGACAAUGUGUCCUAUUUUACCACACAACUGGCAUUGGGGCCGAUUGUUUGAAAAACCACCCUCACGGCCUCAUCCUCGAUGGAAACCUCUAUUGCAUUGAAAACCACCUCUAUGUGCCUGUUUGUUCCCUUGAUAGCCACUGUUAUAAUCAUAACACUUGGUCCGAUCACCCUCAUCACAAUCUUGUUUACUAGCUAUGUUAGCUUGUUCGAGAACACUAUUCAAGAACUCAAGUUCUCGAGCUUCACAAUCAAGCAGCAUCUCAAUCAACAGACCAAGCGACACAGCAGUAGCUGAAGCUACUACCCGUACUGAUUCACACUCAACUGGCAACCUUGCAAGAAUGAUGCUAACCAUUUCUUGAUUUGAAAUCAAACAACUCGUUGCAACCAACAUAUCACACAUGGACUUGAUCUUAGACAAAUAUUCUUUAACAAACAGAUGACCCUUUUUCUGUGAAUACAACACAUGAUGCAUACUGGACAAUUUUACCGUCGACUUAGUCGCAAGCCUUUUUUUCAAUAGUUUCCCAAAUAUAAUAACUAGUACGAGCACUAGUAAGAUAGGCUAGAAUUUCAUCACUAUCAGUUGAAAGUAACCAAGAAGCCAAUAGCUUAUCUUGUUGCACAUGUAAAACAGAAUCAGAAUCUUCUACUAAUCUCCCAUAUUUAUCCACUACAAACUGUGCUAGUACACUAAUAGCACCCAAAACAAACUCAUGCAGACCGUAUCAUUCAAGGAUCAACAUAAUUUGGAGCUUCCAUAAAACAAAAUUAUACUCACCAAGCUUUAUUGUAUCGUGCUUAGGAAAUUGUUGAAGACAUCUACAACUGUUGAGGUGGGUUUUCUUUAAACAUACUCAUUCCAACAAAAAAAAAAUCUACGUUAGUAUGAUUAAUUAGAAAGUGAUUAAUUCAUUAUUUAGUUAGAAGUGAUGGCCUUAAGAAAAAAAAUGACAUUAUUUUAUUUGGCAUUGUUAAAAGUGUUAGUUACUGAAAUAAUUAAUGAGAUUAUAAAAGUGAAAGAAUCAAAUUAUGUCAAAAGUAAAGUAGAGGGUUUUAAUCCUAAAUUUGGGUAUAAUAAAGGGACUAACACCAAAUAAUUAUAAAAUUUUCAAAUAUUUUAAAAUUAAUUUUAAAUAUUAAUUAAAUACAAAUUAUAAAAAAAUAAAAUAAAAAUCCCCAGCGCAGUGAGGGACAUAUUCGAUAUCAAUAAUUAUAAAAUCUGUAGUUGUAAUAUUUAAUUGAUAUAAUAUAUAAAAUUUGAGGGUUAAAUUUGUUAUUAUACAAUUUUUUUAACUGCCGUGUCACUUUGCAAUUUUUUAUUUUAAGGAGUCAUCAAAAUAACUAAACUAUGUAAUGUGAGUGCUUAAAUUACAAAAUUUUUACUUUAAUGUGAGUGCUUAAAUUACAAAAUUUUUACUUUAAGUGUUUAAAUUUUUAAAAAAAAUUAUAAUUAAAUAACAAUCUAUAUGUAGUUUGCCCAAAAAUUUUAUAACCCAAACUACACAAUUUUAUGGCCAUCUCCCACUUUUGAUAUCUCUUUGGCCAUUAGUUAAGAUGGGAGGGGAAUGACUUAUUCAAGAUUAGUGUCAACAUUAGAUUUAAAACCUACGGAAGUCAUGUUUCAAUUUUUUUAUAUAAUAAUAUAACAUUUAAAAUUAUAUUAUAUCUAUAAAAGAACUCAUUGGAUUAGGGUUUUUUUUUUUAAUUAACUUUCCAUUUGUUAUUAGAAAACAAAACUAAAAAUGCAUCAAACAGGGCUCUGAUAAAAAAUUAAAAAAAAACCAAAAUGUUUAGGUUUGGUAUCGUUUUACUUUUACUUUAAAAUCAGUCUAAUCUGUAUCAUGCUCACACCAAACAUAUGAAGAAAAAAAAAAGUGAAAUAGUAAGGAUAUUAUUAAUUUCAUUCCAAGACAAAUUUUAGCAUACCCAAUUAGGUCCUUGGGUUAAUCUUAUGUUUUUUGUUUAGGCAUUCAGCAUUCUUGGCGUUUAGUUUAGUUAGAAUUUUAAAUUAUGAUAGAUCUGAAACUUUGGUAUUUUUGUGCAAAACUCAACCUCAAAGCUUUAUUUGUUGUCUAAAUUAUUUUAUUGAAGCCUAGGAAUUGUUGUUAUUGUUUCGGCUAAUUGACCUUAAAGCAUCAAAUGCCUUUUUUUGGAUGGUCAUAUUCCUUCCAAGGGCUGAAUUACUAAAAGCCCAUGAAGUAUCCUUCUUUUUCUUAAGUGAGCCUCUGUUUCAAUGCCGCCAAAAUUUUCUUUAUCCACAUGGAAGCUGACCUGCCAUGAUGAUGUGGUAAAAAAAUGAACAAUUUGUAUUUUUUGAAAAAUAUAACACUUAAGAACUUUCUUUCUUCUUGCCUCCCAAUUCUCACCACCAAUUCCUUAGCCCAAAUCAGUUUUGGCCUCCGACAUUGAUCAUAACAAAAGUAAACUUUCUAUUAGAAAUAAUUUCUUUUAUGUACAAAUUAAAGGGUAAGAUAUUGUUUGGGUACAAAAAAAGCAUAUGAGCUUACUUUAGAAAAGUGACAACGUUGGGCUCUUUUAGUAUUCUAUCCUCCCACCAACUUUGUCCAAUGUUUUUUGCCUUAUCACCAGACAGUAAAAGGGCCUUUGACCUUUUCAGGCUAAGCGCUGCCUGGUGCAUGUAGGGGGAAAAGGCCUUCUAAUUGAAGUUCUCUUUAAUAUCUCUUUAAUUGUUUCUUAAUUGUAACAAAGGGAUAAUAUCGAACUCUCUAUUUCUCAAUAUUUGAGUAUUCAACACCAGGCAUGGGAUCAUAUGGAAAUAUGCAUAUGGUUGACAAAAGAAAGAAAAUUUGGAAAUGUUUAUUUAAGUAGUAACUGCUGGUUUUCUUGGAUGCUUUCUUGUUAAUGACUACUGUUUGGGCAUGUUUAUUUAAGAAUUGCCCCCAAGUAGUUUCUUGAAUCAUCUAAAAUUGGAAAAAAUAGUCUUAUGGUAACUCAUUAAAGUAUUUGAAAGUAUGCACAAGCUAAUAACAUUUUAGAAAUUAAAAUUGAAGAUCGGUUUUUAGGGUAUCAUGUCCAUAUUAAGCAUCAUCUUUCCAGAUUACUGUUCUCUCUCUCUCUCCCUCUCUGUGUGAUAUAUUUCUCAAGUGAAAGGUAACCUUCUUCACUUGAUUUUGACUUAAUUUUGCAGUCACCACGAUUGUAUAAUGUGUACAAGCAAAUGGGAAUUGUAAAAUCUUUUCAGAAUAUUCUGGACAAUGUUUUCAUUCCACUAUUUGAAGUUACAGUUGAUCCGAAUUCUCAUCCUCAACUACACGUGUUCCUAAAAAUGGUGAGUUCUAUGUUCAUCGGAGAACAUACUGUGCUAUAAUAAGAGAUUUCGGAAAAUAUAGUUAAAAAAUGCUUCUUUAUUGGAAUGACCUGCAUUAUAGCAAGCUGAAUAAAUGAUGCCUUAACUUUAUUCAUUGUGUUCUCAUAAUUCUUUAAAACCAUUCGAAAAUUCUAUUGAGCCACAUUAUAUGGUUAAUUUUUGGGUCUGUACUGCAUACUGAACAUGUGUACAUCCUUGCGAUUUUAGAUGGAUGGAGUUGGACAGCAAAGCAAUUGAAAAAAACCCAAUUUAUGGUUUCUAAAUGUUAGAUCAUUUAUGGUUUCUAGUUUCAAUUUAAAAAAAAAAAAUCCAAAUCAGCCAACUAAUGAAAUUUUCAACGAUGUUAGUUAUUUUAACUAAUCCAUAACAUGUUUGCUUCUUCUUCUUUUUUUUAGCCUAGCAGCAAUGUUAGCCUCUGGACUAGUUACCGCCCUCCUUUUUCCCCUCCCUAUUAACCCUUUUUAUUUUUCUUCUCAUUCACUCCAUGAGUCUUCGUUCUUUUCAGUUUACAGAUUUAUUUUGUGAGUAUUUUUGUUGUCUUUACAAGUUGUAAUGGACAGUUGACAAUGGCUAUCAUCAUUGAAACACCACCGACCACCAACACUUUCUUUUAGAAAGUGGGUACCUCUUCGUUGACUACUUAAUUUGUUUAUAUUUUGAGAGUUUCAAAAUAAUAAAUGAUUUCAUGACUCGGUUUAGACUCAUGUUUUUUUUCCAUUGUUCAAUAAGUUUUUACUUUUAAAAGUUUUUUUCUACUCUUAUAGUAAGCUUUUUAGUCUUGCUUUUGCGAGUAAUUUUAGGGUUGGUUUUGUCGCCAUCCCCUCUAGUUUGGUGGAUGCUCAGUUCUUUUGCUGAUUUAUGCCCGCCGCUUUGGACCAUCCGGGGUUGAUUUUCUUACUAUAUUAAGUGCUUGUAAUCACUUCUGAUAUGUUGUGCUUGAGUUGUGAUAGAGCUGAUUUCAACAUGCCAUAAUGUUCUAUUAAUGUUGAAGCUAAAGCUUUUGUUAUAUUGAUGGAGCUUGUCCUUUAGCGAGUACAACAAGUGUUUGUUAUUUCCUCCCCCCCCCCGAAUUGUAUGGUAUUAUUCAUUGAAUAAAUUAAUGAAGUUGUCUUAAAAAAAACUAAUCCAUAACAUUAACAUUAAUAAGAGAACAAAAUAUAUCAAAUUAAAAAAGAAAAACUGAAUCUUUAAUUCAAUUGAGAAAUUAUAGGGAUUAAAACUAUAAAUUGAUCUAUAAUAAUUUCUCAGGCAUUAAUUGUAAGAUUAAUUCCAUAACCUAAAUUAUUGUAGGGGCUAUAUAAGCUCAAGGUUGACGCAAAAGUCAAUAGUCAGCGUCUGAAAGUUAAUGCAAUUAAUUAUGUCAUUGUUGAUAUAUUUAACGCAAAUAUAUUAUCAUAUGUGUAAUGUCAUACCAUCUUAUUAUUUCCAUAUGUUACUAAAAAUCUAGUUAACGGACUAAGGAUUGUCAUUUGUAUCAAGACUGAAAUUUUAAAUUUUGAAAAAUAUAGGUACUUAGAAUAAUCCAAUUAGAGAGUAUGGACUAAAUCAACAAUUAUACGCAUAAUAUAGGACUAGUAAUUGGUUUUAAUUAAAUUGAUUUAACUCUAUUGUUUGGAUCACAACUAAAAUUUUAAAAUUCAAAAUGUAUAGGGAUUAAAAUUGAUCAAAUUGAAGUAAAUAGACUAAAUUUACAACUUUCACAAAGAACAGUGACCAACAGCAGAAUUUAACCAAAUAAGCUCACCAAAGUCAAUAGUCAAUCUUUGAAAAGUAAUGCAAUUAAUUAUGUCAUUGUAGGAACGCUUUCCUGACAUAAAAUUCCACCAACUAAGCCUUUUGCGUAAAUAUUAGCUAUGAAAAUUCAACCAUUGAUAUUAAAUUCAAGACCCCACAAAUGACAGACAUAUAUGUUGGAAAAAUCUUUGUGUGAACAUUUCUUUCGGUCAUACUCAUGUCGUAUAAGUUAGAGGAGCACAAGUCUAGAUUCAUCCAAUUUUUGAGGAAUUAAUUAAUUAUAUAUUAGUUUAAAAUUAUAGUGAAUUAGUGAGACGCCAUAGGUCUUGCUUGCAUAUAAAUAAGAAGCUUAGGCUUCUUCAGAUUAUUUACAUAUAAAAGUUUAAAAAGUAACAUAUAGCUAAGAGAGAAGAGGAAAACAGAAAGAUGAUGAUGAUAAUGAUGGAGUGGAAAUGGUUAUGGUUUAUAAGGAUGGCAGUAAUGUUGUUGGUGUUAGAAGGGUGCAGGUGGUGUACUGCUGAUGCUUGUUUGGAGCAUGAGUCGCCUUCUUGCAUCUCAAACCUUUCUUCAAUUAUGAUAAUCAAUUGAAAAGUUGGAUUGAGGUGAAGGGUUCAGAUUGUUGUAAAUGGAAAAGAGUUGAGUGCAACACCAUCACUAGGAGAGUCAUACAACUCUCCCUUAAUCAUACAUCAUCCAAUAUAUAAAUGAAUUAAUGAAUUUACCUUUCAAAAGAGAAAAAAAGAAUUCAUAAAUUUUGAAAUACAAAAUGAACGUGUUUUGAUAUUUUUAGGGCAAUGGUUUAGUGGUUCAAAAUUUUGAUUUAAUAUGGUGAAUUUAAUUAUAAUUUUUUAUAUAUUAGAUAGUAGAAUAUAUUUUACCAUUUAUAAUUAAGUACAAUUAAGUUUAGGUUAAAAUAUUUUAUUAAAUUUUUGUACUUUUCACAAAUUUUAAAUUUAAUCUGUUUACUUUUAUUCUAGAAUUUAAUCUCUCUGCAUGUAAAGGAGGUUAUUAUGGCAAGGGGAAUUACCAUGGCAGAGGUAGCCGAGGCUGACGAAGAGAUGCUGGAUAUGCUGAAGAAAGAUAGAUGGCUGAGAAACAGAAAAACUUUAGGAACAAUAUUCAGUGUUAGAAGUAUGGGGAUGUGAAGGCAGAUUGUUGGAAAAGGGGAAACAAGCAAAUUUUGCGGAAGAUGAUGAAGAGAUUUAAAUUAUUUAUGAGCUGUCUAGAUGACACUAUAGCUUCAACUAACAUUUGGUUUCAAGGGCGUAUAUCUCAUGAUGAAGAGAUCGUCUCUCUUCUUUUUUCUCAUAACAUAUUACACGCCAUGAUAAUAAAUAUUGAUAUGCCUAUAAAUUUGAGUUUCUAUUAUUUGUAGUCAUGAUUUGGUUCACUCCAUAAGUUACAUAAAUUUAUUAUAAUAAUUCAAUUAAUUUUAGAUUAAUUUUACAUUUUUGCCCGAACUUUAGUUUUUAAUAAUUCAAUCAUCCCACCAUUAUAUUCAAUUAAAAGUGUAAUACGAUUUUGCGUCAUCCAACCAUUAUUCUUAGUGUAAUUUUUGGUAGUGAGCAUAGAAGGACAGCGAGAACAAAGAAAGAAUGUAUCCAAUAACCCACUCCCCUUAUAGUCAAUGCUUAAAAUGAAUAAGAAAAUAGAAAACAAACGUGGCAAUGCCAGCUAAUUUGUUAUUACUAUUCACCGUAUAACUAAGGACAUUACGCACCGUUUUAAUUAAAACAAACUCACCGUUUAAGACCGUUACUUCUAUGCAUCGUUUUAAUCAUAUGCGUCAGUUCGAACAAAUAGGUGAACAUGAAAGCUUUUCGCAAAGUUUAGAUGUGUGCUUAAAACUCAAACUUUGUGUUCUGUAAAAAUAUUGAUUUUGUUGUAAUUGUAGGUUGAACUUUGUGAGUCCAAUUACUUUCUUUGGCAUCGGAUAUUUCGUGGAACUUUCGUAUGAGAUAUUUACUUCAUAAAUAGAAGAUUACAAAAUUUGGAUAUUAAUAUAUUUUUCAUGAUUUAAUUUUCUUUUCCUUUUUUGGGCUAAAAUAAUUAAUAACGAAAACACGUCUUUUGCUAGCACCUAUAAAUGCCUUAAAAAUGUAAAUUAAUAUUCCACAAUAAUUAUUAAGAUGAAAAGAAUUUUAUAAUCUAAACUUACGAUUUCAUGUGAAUUUAAUGUUUAGUUAUAGUUUUAAUUACAAAGUUAAAUUGGUAUCUUUGUUAUUGCAAUAAUUAAAAAAAGAUGAGUCCAAAUGACGUUGAUUUUCUGUUUUUUAAAAGUGAAUGCAAGAUGGGACGGCUGGAAUUUUUUUUAUUAAACAGUAAGUAUGAAACAGUUAUGGUAAUUGCUUGCUCCAUCUCACUCCACUCCACUAUAUAAAAUUAUCAUUUCAUUCUUUUAUAUAUAGAAAAAAAUUAAAUAUUUUAUGAAAAUAAUCAUGUUUAAAUUUCCAAGAAUAAAAGCAAACUGAAGACUUAAAAUUUCCAUUAAUAAAACCAAAAUCAAAGAAGUAAAUUUCCCAUGAAUAAAACAAAAAAUGAAGAUCUAAAUUUUCCAUUAAUAAAGCCAAGUCAAGACUAAGUUUGUAUAAGUGUAAGAAGGGUAUAAAUGAAACUCACAAGAAAGCCACAUGAAGAAUUUUAUAACCCCAAACUACACGAUUUUAUGUCCACCUCUCACUUUUCAUAUUUUUUUGGCCAUUCGUUUUUCAAGAUUAACAUCAGCAUUCUUGUGGUCCGUUCAUCCUUUUCUAAUGAAUUUCCACCAAGAGUUUUAUUUUUCAAAAUGUUAAAUUAACUCAUGAUAUUAAUUAAAUCAAGAAAUUUUAUAAUAAUAGAGAUGAAAAAACUAAAUUUUCAAAAUCAAAACCUAAAAUGUGCAAGAAUAAAAGCAAACUGAAGACUUAAAAUCUCCAUUAAAAAAAUCAAAAUCAAAGAAGUAAAAUUUCCAUGAAUAAAACGAAAAAUGAAGACCUAAAAUUUCCAUUAAUAAAUCCAAGUCAAGACUAAGUUUGUAUAAGCGUAAGAAGGGUAUAAAUGAAACUCACAAGAAAGCCACAUUAAGAAUUUUAUAACCCCAACUACACGAUUUUAUGUCCACCUCUCACUUUUCAGUUUUUUUGGUCAUUAGUUAUUCUAAGAUUUAACAUCAACAUUUGAUUUCAAAUCAACGUUAAACCAUGUUUAAACUCUUUUUCUUAUAUAAUAAUUAUAUUAUAUUUAAAAUUGAAAAAACUAACCAGCCAAAUAUAUAUUAAUUAAUUAAUAGAAUUUUUUUUGCUCAUCGAUUAAAAUAAAUCAAGAAAGACGUUGGAACCACCAACCUCUCUUUAAGAACAACAGGAAUACAAGAACCUAUGCACAACAAGUACUAAAAUGUAUUAAGUAAAUUCAUCACCAGGCCUUAAAAAAAGAAGAUCUCGAUAUACCUGCUUUUGCCAAAGCAUCUGCCAUACCAUUACUUUGCCAGUGAAUAAUUCUGAACUGAAACUUAGCCAAUUGAGUGAUAUUAAUUAUAGAAAUGGUUCUUCUUGCAACCAUAGAUGAAACACCACUGAGACUAACAAACUUGGAGAAACUUGAUUAAAUCAAACUUAUGCAAAUUUCUUGAAUAUUUAAGUUAAGAGUUAACGUCAAAGUCAAGAGUUGAUAAGGAUUUUGUGGUCCAUUCAUAUCUUUAUUACAAUAUAUAUAUAUUCAAGAAAUUUGCAGCAAGUUGGAGUUUUGCAAUAAGGAAUUUCCACCAAGAGUUUUGGAAUAAGGAAUUUCCUCCAAGAAUUUUGCAGGAAUCAUAUCUCUAACAAAAGAAAGACCUUCAUUUGACUAAAUUUUUUAGUAUUUAUUUUAACUUCCAUUUUAUUAAAAAAAAACAGAGGUAAAAAAUAUGCCGAACAGGGUCUUUAGGUUACUUUUCUUAGAACUAUAUUAUGUUAUAGUACCGUAUAAGUUAGAGGAGCACAAGUUUAGAUUCAUCCAAUUUUUGAGGAAUUAAUUAAAUAUAUAUUAUUUUAAUAUUAUAGUAUACAGAGGCAAUGUUAGAAAAAAAUUUUGUGGAGUCGAAAUUAAAUUAUAGUUUUAAAAGCAUAUAUCUUUAUAAUUUUUAAAGAAUUAAAUCAAAUUUUUAUCAAUUUUAGGGGGUCAAUGUGCAAUUUUAUCUUUACUAAUUUAAAAUUUUAAAACAUUUAAAGGACCUAAAUAGGAAUUUUUCUAUUUUAGAGGCGUCUGAGACGCCUGUCUAGCUAUGCCCCUGAUAGUGAAUUAGUGGGAUGCCAUAGGUCCUGCUUGUAUAUAAAUAAGAAGGUUAGGCUUCUUCAGAUUAUAUACAUAUAGAAGUUAAAAAUUAACAGACAACUGAGAGAGAAGAGAAAACAGAAAGAUGAUGAUGAUGAUGAUGAUGAUGGAGUGGAAAUGGUUAUGGUUUAUUAGGAUGGCAGUAAUGUUGUUGGUGUUCGAAGGAUGCAGGUGGUGUACUAUUGAUGCUUGUUUGGAGCACGAGAGGAUUGCUCUCUUGCAUCUCAAACCUUUCUUCAAUUCUCGUGAUGAAUUGAAAAGUUGGGUUGAGGUGAAGGGUUCAGAUUGCUGUAAAUGGGAAAGAGUUGAGUGCAACACCACCACUAGGAGACUCAUACAACUUUCCCUUAAUUAUACACAAUGGGAAUUCAACGUGGAAUAUUGGUAUCUCAAUGCCUCUAUGUUUCUUCCCUUCGAGGAAUUGAGGAGUCUUUAUUUGUCAGAUAAUGCCAUAGCUGGUUGCAUUGAAAAUGAAGGUCGUGCCUUUAAUUUUCCCUCAGUUACAUCUUUUAUUAUUACACUAUUCUCACCCUUGUUAAUUUGCAAUUACUUAUAAUUUAUUUUAUUUUAUUGAAGAAAGGUCACUAAAUGUUUGUGUAUAUAUUUAAAAGAACACUCUUACAGGUUUUGGAAAGCUAUCAUCCACAUUGAGUAAUUUGGAGAUUCUUGACUUAAGUUACAAUUACUUGAAUGAUAGCAUUUUGUUAUCUUUGAGUGAGCUUUCAUCUCUCCGAUAUUUGGAUCUAUCAUACAACCGAUUUGAAAGAUCAAGUCAUCCAAGAGGUAAAUUAAGUUUAGUCUGGUGUUAGUUUUUAUUUGUAUUGGGGAGUUUGACAGUGGUUUUCCAUUGUUUUAUUCCCUCUAACUUAGUUUUUGCUUUUAUGGUUGAGAGGAAAAAGAAACAAACAAGUACUUACUCAAAUUAACUAAACAAUGGAUUAUUUUUUUUAUGUUUUGCAGUAACUAAUUCUAUGGUAUAUAAAUCAGGUUUUCAGUGGCUUUCAAGGCUCACUAAAUUGGAAACUCUUCAUCUAAGUGGGAAUUCUUUGAAGAAUAGCAUUUUUUUACAGAUGAGAAAUCUUUCAUCUUUGAAGACUUUAAGUUUGGGUGACAAUCAGUUGGGAGGAAAACUGCUUCAUAUUCAAGGUAGACUGAUUUUACACUUUUCUUGUUAACUUUAAAAUAAAUUCAGUAUGUGAUUUGAUUUUAUCAUAUCAUGAAUAUAACUGAUCAAUAUUUGAGAUUGAAUUUCAGAAUUGAAUCAUUUGGCAAACUUGAAGUACUUGGAUUUAAGUAGGAACAGAAUUGAAAGCAUCUCAAACAAAGGUAUAAGUAAUAAUUUGUGCAUGACUUUCCUGACAGACUUCAAAUGUAUUUUCUUUGUUUUUUUCCUUUUCAUAUGGUUGAGAGGAAAAAAGAUCCUUAUAAUCUUAAAGAGUUGAUAUUGAGAGUUGGUCAUGAGAGAAUGGGUCCUUAAAAUCCUUAAGACCAGGGAGUUUGUGUCCACAGUUGAGUAUUCCAUUUGAAAACUGAAAAUUAAAUAUUCUAUUGCUUUAUUUCUUUUAAAAGAAAGAUUGAGUUUGGAUCUCCGACUGCUUUAUUUUUUUCAAAGAAAGAAAUAUGUUUAUACUUUUGCGCAGAAGAUAUGAAGAAGUCUUAUUUUGUUCUCGCUUUUGUGCAAGUGAAACUUAGUUAUCUCAAAUAUAUAUAUAUAUAUAUAUAUUGUAGUUAUCAGUUCACUACACAAUAGCAUGUAAACCAGUUCCCCCUUUUCAAAUUUAUGAGUGGGAGUUGUCCAUGAUUUUCUUUGUGAUUUUCUUUUCACGUUUUAGGAUUUUCAUCUUCACUUCAAGUUUUAGAUUUACUUUUUUUCAUUUUUAUUUCAUUAACUUAAAAAAGGAAUGCUGGAUCAUAUUCAAGGUAGAUUGAUUUUACAUGUUUCUUUUUAACUUAAAAAAUCAAUAUAUGUUCAAGUUUAAGUGACAACAACAUUGAAAGCAUCUCAAACCAAGGUAUAAGUAUUUGUGCGUAGUAACUUUCUUGACUGACUAUUAUUCCAAAAGGCAAUGACAGACUUCAAAUGUAUUUUCUUUAGUGAAUUUUUAUUGCAAAAAUGGAGUAUUAUUAUUUAUUUAAGUUUUGUAGUAACUAAUUAUAUAAUAUAUAAAUGAGGUUUUCAAUGGCUCAUUAAAUUGGAAAUUAUUGAUAUAAGUUGGAAUUAUUUGAAGAAUAGCAUUCUUUAAAAUAAAUUCAUGUUGAAGGAAAAGUUGUUGCAAUAAGUCAUUUGAUUUUAUCAUAUCAUGAAUAUAUAUAACUAAUCAAUAUUUGGGAUUGAAUUUCAAAAUUGAGUAAUUUAAGUAGGAAGGUAUCUCAAACAAAGUAUUUAUAUAUUGAAUCAAUUCAUCGGAAAGCUUGUAAAUUGGCUCUUCCUUCUCAAACAAACAUUUUUCCUAACUAUUUAUAUAUUGAAUGAUGUUAACUAUACUAAUUACUUUCUUCCAAUGAUAGAUGGAACACAAUUGAGGCUAACAAACUUAGAGGAACUUGAUUUGAGUGGUAAUCUCUUUCGGAACAACACAAUUUCCUUUCCUCAAGGGCUUUCAAGCCUAAAGUCUUUGACUUUGUACAACAACCAUUUGCAAGGCUCAUUAGAUACUAAAGGUACUAAAGCUAUAACUUUGUUUUUCUUGAUAAUUCUUUCUAGAACCUUUUAAAAUUAAUUGUUUCAAUUUUGAACAUUCACAUUUCACGUUUGAGGAUUUUCAUCUUCACUUCAAGUUUUAGAUUUACUUUUUUUUUCAUUUUUAUUUCAUUAAAAUAUUAAGUAGAAAUUAAAAUUAUUAACAUAAUGAUUUUUUGAAUUGGACGUGGAUAUGUAUAGGAUUGAGCAAUUUAACAAAUUUGAAGAAACUCGAUUUAAGUGUGAAUCAGAUUGAAAGCUUUCAAUCCUUUAAAGGUAUGCAUUUAUAUUUAACCAAUUACCUAAAUUCUUACAUAUAAUUAAAUUUUAUGCCAAUUCAUUUCAGUGAUGAAAUUAUAUAAAUCUUUUGUAGAUGGUGGUAGAAAAUUGGAGUUGACCCACUUGGAAGAGCUUUAUUUAGAUUACAAUCAGUUCAAUACUAGUGUAUUUGCAUCCCUUAACAAGCUUUCAAAUUUGAAAUCUUUGAGCAUAUGGGACAAUGGAUUGAAAGGAUCAAUAGAUAUGAAAGGUAAAUAUAUUAGUUUUUUUAACUAGAAUAUAAUCAUGUUUGAAGAGAAUAUAAUGAAGUUGAUUUGUUGUUUUUGUUUUCCUAGAUUUGGAAGCAUUUAUCAACUUAAGGGAACUAGAUAUGAACUAUAAUGAAUUGAAAGAUUUGGUGAUCCACCAAGGUAUCAUUUAAUUAAACUUCCUUUUUUUUUUAAUUUAGAAAUUUAGUUUUGAUCUCAUAUAUUAUAAUAACGGUUAUUGUCAUAAAUAUUAAUAAAGUUAUAUCAUAUCAUACUUGAAAGUAAAAGUUUGGUGAAACAUUUUCUAAAUCAUCCAUUAUAAUGUGUUUGGACUUUGGUUUGAAACUAAAAUUCUUUAAAAUUUUCAUCAUUUUAAAAUAUUAAUGUUUAUAAUUAUUUUGUUUGUAUAAAUAUAUUUUUUAAAAUAAUUUAUUGAAUUUUUAUGAGAUAAAAAAUAAUUAUAACAAUAAAAAAUGAUAUUAUAAAUAAAUAAAAACAUAUAUUUAUGAGAAAAUAUGUAAUAUAACUAUAUUUUAAUUUCAUAUAUUUUUAAUAGUAUAAAACAUAAAAAUACAUAUUAGCGUUAAAUAAAUGGCAUUUUUUGGCAAAAAUAAAUAAAUGUCAAUUUUGAAUAAUUUAAAAAAAAUCUUUAAUUUUGUGAAAUUUAAACAUACAUUGAGAGGUGCUUAAACUUCCAUUGCAAUCUUUUUAUAAAUUUCAAAGUGCAUAUGUUUUUAACUUUUUGGUUUAAAAAAAUAUGAUAGGUCUACGUACUCUUUACUAAUUUGUAAUUUAAUUCUUAUACUUUUAUUUUCAAGAAUUUAAUCCCUGUUUUUUUAUAAAAAAAUCAAAAUCCUAGUUCAAUUGUUAAAAUUGUUAAAAUUUUAAAAUAGUUUGUUGGUGUGACAUUUUGAAAUAAAAAAAAACUUAGUAGUAAUGUAACUAAAAAAUGACGUAAUGAACAUGGAUUUAAUAAAAUAAUUUUAACAAUAUUAAUAAAAUAAUUUUGAAUUUUGAAUUUUAACUUAACUCUAUUUUUGGGCCAAGAUUUAAUGCUUUAAAAUUUUCAUUUAAUCCGCUGAGUUUACUUAUAAUUCUUUUGAGUUUUAUUUAUUGGUGAGUAAAAUACCUAUUUGAUUUUUUUAUAUACUAUUGGCAUCUUUAAAGGUAAUAUAAUAAUUUUAGUGUAGACGUGUUUUAUUUUAUAAAUAUUAUUUAUAGUGUAGACAUGUGAAUUUUGAAUAAUUUAAAAAUAUCUUCAAUUUUAUGAAAUUUAAACAUACAUUUAGUGUAGACAUGUUUUAUUUUAUAAAUAUUAUUUAUAGUGUUGUUGAUUGGAGUUUGAAAAUUAUACAACUUAGCUAUAUCAGUUAAUUACUUAUAUUAAAAAAUAAUAUAAGAAAAUACUAAAAAGAAAAAAAAUAGUAUAAUUAAUAAAAUGGAUGAAGAGUUAUAUUAAAGUUUCAACAUCUUCUCUCUAUCAAAAUUUAUCUCGGAUAAAUCAUGAAUAAUCUAACUCAUAAAAAAAUAUAUAUAUAUUUAUAUACUUCAUUUCAUUCACAGAAAAUAAAGCAUUCCACUUAAUAGAGGCUUUCUAUAAUGCCGUUAUCUAAUACCUCUUGACAUUGCUUAGAUUCAAAUGUGUCGAGCAGUUUGGAGGAAAUAUAUCUUGACUAUUCUACUCUCAACACCAACAUUUUGCAAAGCAUUGGAGUAUUCGCUUCUCUUAAAAUAUUGUCUUUAUCUAAUUGUGGACUUAUUGGUCCCUUACCUAAUCAAGGUAAACAAUUUUAUGGCUCAAUUUGAUUUCUUUAUGAACUUUCUGUAAUAUAUUAUCUCCUAUUCUGUUUUAUAAAGCAAAAUUUAAUUGAAACUUCUUCCAUGAAUUUAUUUAUAAAAUUUUCAGGAUGGUGUGAUCUAAGGAACCUUGAAGUGUUGGAUGUGAGUAGAAAUGCACUUGAGGGGAUGCUUCCUCAUUGUUUUAGUAACUUGACAUCUCUUCGUGAGUUAGAUAUUUCAAGAAACCAUUUUCAAAUUCCGCUGUCAUUUGCACCAUUUGCAAACCUUUCAAACCUCAAAGCCCUUUUGAUUAAUGAAAACAAGAUGGUAAUGGAACCUUCCUUUUAUACCUCAAUCCCAAAGUUCCAAUUGGAAGUCAUCAGUUUGUCAAAGUGCAUAACAUCUCAACAACUCAGUCUUAAACUUUGUACCUUCCUUUACUACCAAUAUGACUUGAGAUAUGUGGAUCUUUCGCAUAACAAUCUCAGUGGAACUGUACCAACUUGGUUGCUAGAAAACAACACAAAGUUAGAAGAUCUCAUCUUGAAGGGUAAUUCAUUUACAGGUCCUCUCUCACUUUCGUCGGCUCUUAUUUCUAAUGUAUCUACAAUUGACAUAUCUGAAAACAAAUUACAAGGUCAAAUUCCAACUGGUAUAUGUUCAACUUUUCCACAUUUGAGGCAGUUAUUCUUAUCCAAGAAUGCUUUUGAAGGUAAUAUCCCACUUUGUUUAAGUGGCAUGAAGGACUUAUCAUUUUUAGAUCUAUCAGACAAUCAUUUGUAUGGAAAAGUACCAGAAGAGUUGAUCACGAAAGGCUUACUAAUCAUUUUGAGACUAUCAAAUAACAACCUCAGUGGAAAUGUAGUUCCUGUGAUUCUCAGCGCAAAUGGGGUGCAGCAUUUAUAUUUGGAUGGAAAUAAUUUUUCAGGAGAGAUGACAAAUGUUGAUGUGUCUACUUUUGAGUUUCCAAAUUCACUAAGCGAAAUUGAUCUCAGUAACAACACUUUGCAUGGAAAGCUCCCAAGAUGGAUAGGGAAUGCAUCAUUUUUGGGGAGAUUAGAUUUGUCCAACAAUGGUUUUGAAGGUUCUAUUCCAAUGGAAUUUUGCAAGUUGAAUAGGUUGGAAUUUUUGGAUCUUUCUCAAAAUAAUUUAUCUGGCUCUAUACCGUCAUGUUUUAAUCCACCAUACAUACAGCAUGUCCACCUCCACGGGAAUAGACUGAGAGGCCCACUAUCACUUGCUUUUUAUAAUAGCUCUUCAAUAGUGACUUUAGAUCUUGGAGGAAACAAUUUGACGGGUAGUAUUCCAAAAUGGAUUUACACGCUUUCUUCUUUGAGUUUUUUUCUCUUGAAAGAUAAUCAUUUUCAUGGUAAAGUUCCUAUUGAGUUAUGCAAGUUGCAUUCUUUAAGCAUCAUAGAUCUUUCUCAAAAUAUGUUUUCUGGUCCUAUACCUUCUUGUUUGGGAAAUUUAUCUCUUCCAAUGCAAAGGAAGAAGAUUCUAGAACCUGGUUUCUAUGGGCCACCUAUAGAAGAGGAUGAAACAACACGCAGUACGAAACUAAAUUUGGGAAUGUAUUCUUACUAUCCUAAUAGCUACUUCGAAGAAGUAAUAGAGUUCACAACAAAGAGUGGGUUCUAUUCAUACAAGGGCUACAUCCUUUCAUAUAUGAAUGGGAUUGAUUUAUCUUGCAACAACUUAACUGGUCAUAUCCCACCAGAAUUAGGGAACUUGAGUGAAAUCCAUUCUUUAAACCUUUCACACAAUAAGUUGACCGGAGUUAUACCCUCGUCACUCUCAAAACUACAUCAAAUUGAGAGUUUGGACCUUUCUUACAACAACUUAAGUGGUGAAAUCCCCAAUCAAUUGGUAGAGUUAAACUCUUUGGAGGUUUUCAGCGUGGCAUUUAACAACUUGUCAGGUAGUAUUCCCGAACCAAAAGCUCAAUUUGGGACCUUUAUUGAAAAUAGUUAUCAGGGAAAUCCGUUUCUUUGUGGAGUUAUAUUGCAUAAAAGUUGUUCCAAAACCGAUUCACCAUCAACGAUAUCAAUUGUAUCAGAAGAUAAAGGAGAAGAUGGUUUGAUAGAUACUUAUGAUUUUUGUGUGAGCUUUUUGGUUUCUUAUGUAGUUGUGUUGUUGACAAUUUUUGUUGUCCUCUACAUAAAUCCAUACUGGCGAAGAGCUUGGUUUUCUCUUGUUGGGAAAUGCAUUACCACCUGUCGCUACUCAAAUGUGGGCAAUUUUCUUACUUAUCACAUUUUCAAGCGAUGUGUUUAGCUACUCAAAUUGUGAUUUGAUUUCCACACCUAAAUGUUUAAUUAUGCUAAGUUGAGCGAUAAUGAAUAUUUUGUUGAUUUUUGCAUUUUGAAUAAAAGCUCUUUUAUCUUAUGGUUUUAUCAUUUUCAACCAUCUAUUUCUUUUUUCUUCUAUGAAAUUUAAUAUAAAAUCAUAAUCCAUUAUUAUGUAUAUGCAAUAUCUCUUUAAAUUAAAUUAAAUUAAAUUAACUGCCAAGCGUUCACUAGUGCAUACUAAAAAGGAAAUCUAAUGUAAAAUUAAAUCAAACAUACUACAGAAUUGAAUCUAAAACUGGAAUAUUUUAAAACCUCACAAACAAUGCAAUUCUUUAUUCCUCUUUUCCUCUCAAGUUAUUUUGUAUCAUGUUAUAUUUUACAUAAUUAAUCGUAUCAUCAAAUUUUAAAAAAAUUUUAAUAUUUUGAUAUCAUGUUCAUAUUAUGCUUUAAUUCACAAUGUAUUUUGUAUAAUAUGUUAUAACAAUUCAAUUUAAAAAACAAACAAUUAUCUUAUUUUUGCAUACCGUAAUAUACAUUUACAUGUUAAUAAUUCUUUGUACAUAAAUUUUGACAUGUUCGUAUAUUCGAGUCAUUAUAAUUUUAUUAUUUGUAAUAUGACAUGUUUUACUUACCCUUAAUAUUGUGUCAUGAUAAUUAUAACUCGAUUGGCAGUGUACCAAAUAUUUUUCUAAUAAAAAAUAGUAUUUUAUUCUAUUUACCAAAUCUUUAUCAACUUUAUUUUCUCACCAACAAAACAUACAUUCAAAGUUCAAAUAAGUUCCACACCCAUUUUUUUACUGCAAUACUCAAGAAUAUGCUCAUCAUCAGAAAUCUGAAAUAUUCCACUCUAAUUAACAUUAUGAUUCUGUAAACAACAAAAAAGUGUGAUACUUUUUUAAAGCUCUUUUUUUUUCUUUAAUGAAAUGGGAUUGGUAAAAAAUCCGCACAUGUGUCGUGUGUGAAGGUGGUCAGGUUGUCUAUUCAUACUGUAAUAAGUAGCUAAUUAUAGUUGAUCCUACAAAAUCAAAAUUAAUUCAGGUAUCUAUAUAUUCUGAAGACUGGACAGACCUUAGAAGCUCCUUCAAAUUUGCAAGAACAUGUCGUGGUCCUAAACUCUUUACACCGAUGAAAUUCAAAAGUUGCUCUAUAUCCUGCAAUCACAGUAAAGAUUAUGCAAGCUUUUCAGAACGAAUAACAUAACAAGCAAAAGGCAAUCAAAAUACUGUGAUCUCGAUAAUGUUCUUUGCCGAAAAGGAACAUAAACAUAACCUGAAAACAUCAGUGAAGGCUCAUCAGAUUUGCUUAGCAACCUUACAUACACAUGUAAAAAGCUUUGCUUUUGGAUGUAUGGUGUGACUAUCAUCACAGUCUUUCCUAAUUAGCUGAUAACCCUAUAUCUAACAUUUAUCAGGGCUAAGCAAAUUAACAUACAUAAUGUAAAGGAAUUUGACCAUAAGAUCCAACAGAAAACUUAAUAAAAGAUAAUCAACAUAGAAAGUUAAAAGGCAAUGCAAACUUAUUACAAUGAUGCAAGUGGAUCAAAAGAAAGCACUCUAUAAGGAAUUUGUAUUUAAGGCAUUGUAAACAGAAAAAAAAUAAUAAAACUUUUCGGAAAGUAUUUUCAAAGAGGAGACAAAAACAGGGUAGAAAAAAUGUUUGGUCCUUCCUUUUUCUAUUUCUACUGUGGUGAAAAAGCCUUUUUGGGUUAAAAGUGUUUUUACACUGCAGAAGUGUUUUUCCACUGCAGAAGUGAUGAAGAACACAUAGCUUUGUAGUCAAAAACCUACUGCUUUUGGCUUUUGCAUUUCGAAGUGAAAAUUAUAAAAAUACUCUUAGAUUAAUUUAUAUUUUAUAUAUUAUUAUAUUAAAUUGUUAAAUCUUAUUUAUUAUUAUAUUUAAUUUUUUUCAAAAUAUUUUAUACAUCAUCAAUUUUACAAAUAAUUUAUAUUAAUUACUUUUAAAAGUUAUAUUUCAUGUAUCAUUAUAUUAAAUUAUUUAAAUAUCAUAUAACAUCACUAAUUUUCUACUUUCUACCAUCAUGUCUAAAAUAGACAUUUUAACUUUCAACCGCAAUUUUUGGCAGCAAUGAACAACACUAAAAACUAACAAACACACUUUUCCGCACCACAUUUCAAAAACACUUUUUUCUAAACGCACUUUUGAACUAGUCCUUAGUCUAUCAUGCAUCAACUCUUCAUUUUUCUUUAACUACCCAUGUCCGACUUCGAACAUGGAUAUGGAGAUAUGACCAAGUCACAGUGACAUAGUUUUUAGUUAUGGGGAAUGGGAUUCGAGUGCUGGACCUCCUUCUAGAUGCAUGGUGGGACUUCAUCACAUUUUUCAAAUUUGUUGAUAAUCCUUCACCUAAUCUGCCGGUGAAGUUUAUAGAUAGUUGUUGACACCAUUUUUUUGAUGAAAACGGGAUCGACUUGGAUUUUGAAAAAAGAAUGAAAACGGGAGUCGCCACCAAUCCUUUUUGACGAGGUGUGAUCGGGUCACCUCAAAAUGUGGUUGUUUUUAAUAAAUGAUUUAAUUUUAUUAAAACAACGAUUUUGGUCUACGAAAUUCAGAAAAAUGAGUUCGGGAGUCGGUUACACACGAGGAAGGAUUAGCACCCUCGAUACGCCCAAAAUUGGUACCUAGUUGAUUAAUUAGUGUCUUAGUGUCGAAAAUUGAAAAUUUGAAGAGUUUUAAAAAUACGAUCCUUAAAAGAAAUUCUGAUAACGUGAAUUGAAAUAUAAGAUUCUCUUGUUCCGAAGGAAUAUCACAUCCAGCACGUUAGGACACGAUACUCUAAACCAUCGAAACCAAGAUCAUCUUAUAGUUUAAUGAAACCACACUUUGAAGCUUUAAGAGGAUAUUUGGCUAUUUAGUCGAACGAGAAAUCGAAACCCAGCACGUUAGGGCACGUUUUCUCGAUUUUCCAAACGCGAAAUAUCGCCUUAUUUAGAAAAAUUUUCCUUUUGAUGUUUGGUGUUAAUGCUUGACAAAACAAUAACGAAUACGACAAGGUGAGCAAAGUAAAGUGAGUAACAACAAUACAAUAGGCAAAAUGAAAUGACGAGGCGAUUACAUAAACAAAGCAUACAAAUAAAUAAAUAGAACUAACAUUUAAAAAAAAGCAUAAGUGUACACGAAUAAAUAAACAAACACCAAAUAACAAUGAUGACAAUAAAUACAAUUAUGUAAAAAUGUAUAUACAUGUAUAAUUUUAAGCCAUGAAAUAAGAAACGCAUAUAAAUUAUAGAAUAUGAAAACAUAGAUAAAUAUAUACAUAUGUGUAAAAAAUAAUAUUAUAAAAAGGGUACGUAUAUAUGUAUAAAAAAAUAAAUGUAUUAACAAUGAAUAUAAUAAGGGUAAGAAAACAAGUAUAUACACAAUAUAUAUGUAACGUGGUACUAAGGAUAUAUAUAUACAAUACAGUAUUUAAAAUAAUAUUUACGUAAUAUAAAAUAUAAUAUUAAAAGGUAUAUGUACAUACGUAAUAUAUAAAUACAUAUAUAAUAUAAUGUUAAAAUAUUUACAUAAUACUAAAAUAUUUAGGUAAUAUAUGCGUAUAUUGAAAACUAGUAAUAAUAUUAUCGAGGUAUAUACAAAUAUAUCAAGUAUAUACACGUAUUAUAAAUAUAUAAAUAUAUGACAAAGCAUAAACUAAUAAAAAUAAUAAGAAUAAUAAUAAUGAUAACAUUGGAAUAUAAAAGAAACAAACAUAACAUUAAUAAAAUAUUAAAAUAAAGUGAAAUAAAAAUAUUAAAUAUGAGAAUAUAUAUAGGUAUACACGUACAUAAUAAAAAUAUAUACUAAUACAUAAUAAUAAUAAUGGUAAUACUAAUAAUACUAAUAAUAUAAAAAUAACAAGGAUAUUUAAUAAAGAUAUAAAAAUCAACAAAAAAGGACUAAAAUUGAAUUGAAAGCAAAGUUGUGGGGCCAAUUUGAAAUGAAAACAAAGAAAAAGGACUUAAUUGUAACACGCAUGCAACUUGGAGGGUCAAAAGCGCAAUAAACCCAAGUAUUAAAAACGCUGCGCAGCGUGGGGGACCAGAAUGAAUUCGGGGCAACACCAUGGAGCCAAAUUAAAAAUAAAAAAACCUUGAUUGUAAACUCCCAGAAAGGCGGAAGGGCUAAAAGUGCAAUUAGCCCUUCCAAAGAAAAAAACACGCGGAUCUUCCUUGGUGCAGGUCGGGUCGACCCGACCCGUGUUCAAAACGACGUCGUUUCAUUUAUUUAAACCGGGGGUCCAAAACGGUGCGUUUUGACCCCCUAUAAAAGUCAAAAAAACUUCAAAAAAAAAUCAUUUGUAACGCUGAGGGAAAAAAAAGAAAAGGGAGAGAGGAGAGGGGAGCCCGGAGCGAUUUCCGGCCAAGGGAGGGGUCACCGGACGGCCACCGGAGGCUCGCCGGCGUCAGCGCCGGCCACCGCACGCGGUGGCCGGAAAGGUAAAAUUUUUUAUAUUUUUUUUAUAUUUUUUUUGUUAUUUAUUCUUGGUCUUAGAAUGUAUAGAUUUUAGGUUUAUAUUAAUAAAAAAGGUAUAGAUAUGUAUAUAGAAAUCGAAAGAAAAUGGAUGAAAACAAAAAGGUAACCUUUUCCGUUUGCCUUUCCUUUUUCCCGAAUGCUUGCUAUCUCAGUACUGAGAUCUAUGUAUUUUUUUUAAAAUUUUAGCUUCUGUUUUUUUGUAUUAAAAUGCCAAAAAACAAACAAAAAGAAGAAAGAAAAAAAACCCCCUGAUACAAUUUUUGAUUCGGGUUUUUAUAACCCAUUUUCAUCUAAUUUCCUAUUGUUUCUGUUUUGUCUCUUUGCAUGGGAUGGGCACGAUGGAGGUGACAGAGGCAUGGUGGUACAGAGGAGCAGGUGGCCGACAUGGUGGCAUGGAGAGCUGGGCGUGGCAGACAAGGAGGCCACGCGAGGCAUGCGGCGCUAGGGUUUGGGGGGCAUCUUUCUUCCGAAAAUGUUAAUGUUGUCUGGGCUGGGUUUUUAAUUUUUGUUUCGGGCCAUGGGCUACAUUGGGCUUGUUAUUUUCCUUUGUAAUUGGACUGUUGUUUAUCUUGUUUUAAUAUUCGGGCCUGGGCAUAAAAUUGGGCCUUACAGCUGCCCCUCUUUGCUUGUUAUCGUGUAACGAGAACAGAGCAAAGACUAAAAAAGGCCAAUUUGGCCCGGGCUCACCGAGUUUUGACUUCUUUUGGUGCUUCCUUUCUUCAAGCCUCAUUCUAGUCCACUGCGUCUUAUGAUUCUUCGAUCUGCUCUACUGCAACUUCAGAUACGCCUUAUAGCUUCAAUCUACUCUGCUACGACUCCAUGGGGAUGAGAUUUGUGUUUUUAGUCUGCUUCACUACUACUUAGGGAGAUAAGACUGUGGUUUCGUCUGCUCCGCUACUGCUUAGGGAGAUAAGACUGUAAUCUCCGAUCUAUUCCACUGUCAAAUACAGGGAGAUAGAGUUAUCAGCUUCAAUGUACUCCACUGUAGUCACAGGGAGGUAAAAUCUGCCAUCUUUGAUCUUCAAUCUAUUCCACUGCCAAAUACAGGGAGAUAGAGUUAUCGGCUUCAAUGUACUCCACUGUAGUCAGGGAGGUAAAAUCUGCCAUCUUCGAUCUGUUUCGCUGCCAAAUACAGGAAGGCAAGAUCUGCAAUCUUCGAUCUACUUCACGCCAAUACAUGAAGAUAAGAUCUGCUUUCUUCGAUCUACUUUGCCACCAGUAUGGGAAGACAAGAUCUGCAUCGUCGAUCCACUUCCUACCAAUAUAGGAAGACAGGACCUGCUAUCUUCGAUCUACUUCACGCCAAUACAUGAAGACAAGAUCUGCUUUCUGCGAUCUACUUCGCCACCAAUAUGGGAAGACAAGAUCUGUAUCUUCGAUCCACUUUCUACCAAUAUAGGAAGAUAGGAUCUGCUACCUUCGAUCUACUUCACGCCAAUACAUGAAGACAAGAUCUGCUUUCUGCGAUCUACUUCGCCACCAAUAUAGGAAGACAAGAUCUGCAUCUUCGAUCCACUUCCUACCAAUAUAGGAAGAUAGGAUCUGUUAUCUUUGAUUUACUUCACGCCUAUACAUGAAGACAAGAUCUGCUCUCUGCGAUCUACUUCGCCACCAAUAUGGGAAGACAAGAUCUGCAUCUUUGAUCCACUUCCUACCAAUAUAGGAAGAUAGGACCUAUUUACGCCUAGUGUUUAGGAUGACAUGAUCAGAAUGAAUCAAAUGCUCCUAACUAGAUGCGUAUGUAUUAUAUUUGUAGAAUGUCAUGAGAAUGAUCCAUUUUUAAUGCUUAGGUUGUCAUUCUUCAUUGUUCAUCAAGGUUCUAUCACUGAUGCCUUCUUGUUCAGCCAGUACCUUUGACAGAAAACCUAAAGAAAUAGACGCUAUUUAGACUAUCAUUUCUCAAAUGUUUCCAACCCUUAGGUUUGGUUAGUUCUAAACAAUAGUCCUGUUUCAGGUCAUCGUAUUAUUUAGAAACUUUCAGAGUAAUAUGCAGAACUCCUUCUGCAUGUGUAUUGUCAGUCCAUUAAUCGUUAUUUCAAUGAAAAAUGCUUGAAAAAGAUUAUCAAAAUGGACAAAAUGGAAUUUUGUUGAGAGCAAAGCUCUAAACAAACAAAUCAAGAUAGCAAAUUUGCUGAGAUACGAGAUGAAUAAGAUGAAAAAGAUUAUCACAACGGAUAAGAUGAAAAUUUGCUGAGAGCAAAGCUCUGAAUGAACAAAUUAAUCAAGAUAGCAAAUGUUGCUAGAAUACAAAACGAGAAUAAAUUAAUCAAGAUGAUGUAUUUUGUCAAAAAUACAGAAAAUGAAUAAAAUGGAAAUAAGUGCCCCAGAUAUCGUAGCAUGAGCUUCUCUGCCCCAAACUUCUUAAGGACCCUUUUGAACUUGAUAUGUGUUUAGAAGUCCUAGAAGGCUUUGUUGAUGCCCCAUCUUUGAUCGAAAACUACUUUAUGCCUCAUCCUUGAUCGAAAAUUUGAAUUGCCCGUUCCUGGGUUUUCAAUUCAAAACCCCUUUGGUCUCAAGGUGCCCUUUGCGGGUUUUCGCCUUGGCCUCUCCUCUUUUUUUUUUUUAGGCAAAGUACCUCUUCACUGAAUCCGAAUUCACAGGAUUGGGCAAGCUUUUGCCAUCCAUCCUAGUUAAAAUUAAUGCCCCUCCUGAAAAGGCCUUUUUUACUACAUAAGGUCCCUCCCAGUUUGACAUCCACUUUCCUCUGAAGUCUUUUUGUAUGGGAAGGAUCUUCUUCAGUACCAAGUCCCCUUCAUGGAAGUUUCUAGGACGAACUUUCUUAUUGUAAGCUCGCAUCAUUCGUUUCUGGUAUAUUUGACCAUGACGGAUAGCUCUUAACCUCCUUUCCUCAAUCAAGUUCAGCUGAUCAUAUCGGGAUUAGACCCAUUCUGCUUCGUCUAACUUUAGUUCUGAAAAAACUCAGAGGGAGGGAAUUUCAACCUCAAUUGGUAGCACUGCCUCCAUUCCAUAAACCAAAGAGAAUGGUGUUGCCCCGGUAGAAGUCUUGACGGACGUUCGAUAAGCAUAGAGGGCGAAUGGCAACUUCUCGUGCCAAUCUCUAUAGGUCUCAGUCAUUUUCCCCACAAUCAUUUUGAUAUUUUUAUUGGCUGCCUCCACCGCACCAUUCAUCUUUGGACGGUAUGGCGAUGAGUUGUGGUGCUUGAUAUUGAAUUGACUACAAACUUCUGCUAUCGUGCUAUUAUUCAAAUUUAAUGCGUUGUCAGAUAUAAUCCUUUCGGGCAUUCCAUACCGACAUAUGAUUUCCUUCUUUAAAAACUUGCUGACAGCUGCCUUUGUGACGUUGGUGUAAGAAGUAGCCCCUACCCACUUAGUAAAGUAGUCAAUCACUACAAAAAUGAAACGAUGUUCGUUUGAAGCCUUUGGCGAUAUCGGCCCAAUGACGUCCAUGCCCCACAUGGAGAAAGGCCAUGGGGAAGUCAUGACGUGAAGAGGUGAUAGAGGCAUAUGGAUUUUGUCUCCGUAAAUCUGGCAUUUAUGGCACUUCUUAGCAUAUUUGAUGCAGUCUCCUUCCAUGGUAGACCAAUAAUAUCCAAAUCUCAUGAUUUGUCUGGCCAUUGUGAAACCGUUAGCGUGUGUUCCACAAAUACCAUCAUGGACUUCUUCCAAGAUCUGUUUGGCCUCCAUAGCGUCCACACAUCUUAACAGCACCUGAUCUUUUCCUCUUUUGUACAGGAUCUCUCCAUCUAAGACGUAAUCACUGGCCAGCCUCCUCAACAUUCUCUUGUCAUUCUCAGUUGCUUGGUUUGGGUAUUCACGAUUUUUUACGUAUCGCAAUAUAUCCUGAUACCAAGGGUUUUCGUCCUUUUCUUCUUCUUCGUCAAUGUUACAACAGUGGGCUGGAGCAUCAUAAAUGCUCAUUUGGAUAGGCUUCACAUCCUCUGGUCUAUUUACUUUGAUAAUGGAAGCCAAUGUAGCUAAAGCGUCGGCCAUCUGAUUCUCGUCUCGUGGAAGAUAACAAAAAGUGAUGUCGUCAAACUCCUCAAUCAAUUCUAGGACUAUCCUUCGGUAACUAAUCAACUUAGGUUCUCUUGUUUCCCAUUCGCCUUUGAGCUGAUAAAUUACCAAUGCCGAAUCCCCAUAUACCUCAAGUACCUUGAUUUUGCGUUCUAUAGCCGCGCGGAUUCCCAUGAUACAUGCUUCAUAUUCCGUCAUGUUAUUUGUGCAAUCAAAAUCUAGUUUACUGGUGAAAGGAUAAUGAUCACCGUUUGGAGAUACCAAGACUGCCCCAAUCCCGUUGCCCAUGGCAUUUGAGGCUCCGUCAAAAUUUAAUUUCCAAGUAUUGCCUUCUUGUGUGCUUGCUUCAGUAGUUGCCACAUACAUCAGAUCCUCAUUUGGAAAAUCAAAGUUCAAAGGCUCAUAAUCGUCCAGGGCUCUACUUGCUAGAAAAUCUGCUAUCGCGCUCCCUUUUACAGCCUUUCGAUUCACAUAGGUUAUGUCAAAUUCAGAUAGUAGAAUUUACCAUCGGGCCAUCCUUCCGUUUAGAGCAGUUGACUCCAUCAUGUAUUUCAGAGGGUCUACCUUUGAGAUUAACCAAGUCGUAUGGUACAACAUGUAUUGUCUCAAUCUUCGAGUAGUCCAAACCAAUGCGCAACAUAAUUUUUCAAUUGGCGAAUACCUCGUUUCGCAUUCAGUGAACUUUUUACUGAGAUAAUAGAUCGCUCUUUCCUUUCGUCCUGACUCAUCAUGUUGGCCGAGCACGCACCCCAUGGAAUUCUCAAAUACUGCCAAGUAUAGUAUCAAUGGUUUGUCAGGGCAAGGUGGUAUCAGUACUGGGGCGUUGGACAAGUAAUGUUUAACUCUUUCGAAAGUUUUCUGGCACUCUUCAUCCCAUACACCUGGAUUGUGUUUCCUAAGAAGACGGAAUAUGGGGUCACAUUUCUCGGUUAAUUGUGAAAUGAAUCGAGCGAUGUAAUUUAGUCUUCCUAGGAAACCCCGAACUUCUUUUUGAGUACUUGGCGGAGGUAAUUCUUAUAUGGCCUUAACUUUGUCUGGGUCAAUUUCAAUUCCCUUUUCGCUGACUAAAAAUCCUAGCAAUUUUCCUGAUCUAGCCCCGAAAGUACACUUGGCUGGGUUAAGUUUUAGCUGGAACUUCCUUAACCUCAGAAACAGUUUUCUCAGAACUUGCACGUGUUCCCUUUCUGUUCUGGAUUUUGCGAUCAUGUCAUCAACAUAAACUUCUAUCUCUUUAUGCAUCAUAUCAUGGAAUAAUGCUACCAUGGCUCUCUGAUACGUUGCUCCCGCAUUUUUCAAUCCAAAAGGCAUCACUUUAUAACAAAACGUCCCCCACAUCGUUAUGAAUGUGGUCUUCUCCCUGUCUUCAGAAAGCAUCUUAAUUUGGUUGUACCCGGAGAAACCAUCCAUGAAAGAGAGCAGUGAGUAUCCGGCCGUGUUGUCUACCAAGGUAUCGAUAUGAGGAAGUGGGAAAUUAUCUUUUGGGCUGGCUUUGUUCAAGUCUCUGUAGUCCACACACAUUCGCACCUUCCCAUCUUUCUUAGGAACAGGGACUAUAUUGGCUACCCAUUCUGAGUACUUGACCACCUGUAAGAAACCAGCAUCAAAUUGCUUCUUAACUUCUUACUUUAUUUUUAGCAAGACAUCAGGCCUCAUCCUUCGGAGCUUUUGUUGGACUGGUUUGCAUUCUUCCUUUAUAGGCAAUCGGUGUACCACGAUAUCAGUACUUAACCCUGGCAUAUCUUGGUAGGACCACGCGAAGACAUCUUUAAACUCUUGAAGCAACUCAACAAGGUCUUGCCUUGUUUCCUUGGCAAUGCAAGCGCCAAUUUUUACCUCUCUGCUCUCUUCUAAGGUCACAACUUCUACUGAUUCCUUAUAGGGUAUAAUUUGUUUUUCUUCUUCUUUCAUCAUUCUUAACAAAUUCGGAGAUAAAACGCUGUCUUGGUCACCUUUAAAAUCUUGAGGAUCAUCUAUACUCAUGUCUUGCUCAAAUAGAGACUCUGAAUUAGUAACAGAGUCGCUCAUCUCGUUGAUAUUUGAAGACCUGUUAUUGGAACAAAUGGAGGCCCAAAUAAAAGGAUCUAAGAAUACUUGUAUGCAUAUUAUGAUUAUAAAGGGAAUGAAAAGAAUGAAAGAAUACUUGCUCAAGAUGAAACUGAAUGAUAAGUUUUCACUGAAAUUAGAUUUUGAACAUGUGCAUUUUACAAAAGAUUCUUAUCACCCCCAGGCUUAGGGCAACAAGUGUUCUGAAUAUUACUCUGAAUUAGUUCUAAAUGUUACAGGGAUCUCUUCUGCAGUCCAGUUAUUCGGAACACUUCCAGGUUCGUAAGGACGAAUGCCCGAUAAAUUCCUUUCCACCCUUUCUUCCGCGGAUAUGGCAUUGAUGUCCAACCUCUCAAUCCUUCCUUCUGUAACCUCAUCCUUCUCUUCAGGGUGGACAAUUCCCCCUGAAACAAAAGUCUUAGAUAUAUGAGGAAAGGUUAUCGGUCCCCACUUGGCUUCUAUCCCGCCCAAAUGUGCUCUUCUCCUUUCUUGUCUUUUCUCCAUCUCCUUCCUCCUUUCCCUCGCAAUAGGCUUAUAUCCCAAACCAUAACGGUCCUGUUUGUUAACUAGGAUCGGUACUCCGACCCUUCCCUGGAGGUAUUUUCCAAAUCCUCUUCCAGGCAAUGCUCCCUUUCCCACCGUUAAGUUCAUUGACGUAGCUUUGGAUAUCUUAGGCUCUGGGAUUUUGCUCAUCUCAAUGACAAAUAUGGCAUUUACGAAUUCCAAUGAUCGGAAUGAACAUUCUAUCGCUUCACUAUCAGCCUCUAUGUAUGGCAUAUCAUCGGUGACUGAUGCAAUGAUGUCUUCUUCUGCACCUAUAGUCACCAAUCUACCCUCUACCACCAAUUUUAACUUUUGGUGAAGUGACGAUGGUACAGCCCCUGCAGAAUGGAUCCAAGGCCUCCCUAAUAGGCAAUUGUAAGAUGGUUUAAUAUCCAUUACCAAAAAGUCUACCUCGUAUGUAUUUGGACCAAUCAAUAGAGGUAUCUCGAUUCUUCCCAUCACUUUUCUCUCAGUGCCAUCAAAUGCUCUCACUAUAUUUUGGCAUAAUUUCAUGUGAGAACUAUCCACAGGUAGCCUGUUUAAUGUGGACAGGGGUAAAACAUUCAGGGCCGAUCCAUUGUCAACGAGUACCGCCGGUAGUAUACACCCCUUGCAACGGGCAGUGAUGUGCAAGGCCUUGGUAGAUCCCAUACCGCCUGGCGAGAUCUCAUCAUCGUUGAAGAAGAUGAAGUUAUCGGCAUUUAUAUUGUUAACCAGGCAAUCCAAUUUGUCCACUGAGAUAUCUUUAGCGACAUAAGUUUCAUUUAGCACUUUUACUAACGUAUUACGAUGUAUCUCUGAACUUAGAAGUAACUCGAGCACUGAGAUGCGAGCCGGUUACUUAUGCAGUUGUUCCACCACGCUAUACUCGCUAUGCUUCAAGAAUUUUAAGAAUUCUCUAGCCUCAUUUUCAGUCACCGGUGUAUUAAUAUGCGGUUCAAUUCCGGUCUUCGUUUUAUCUUGUUCAACCGCCAAGGCUUUUCCUUUUAUAGGCCCCCUUUUUGUAUUUCCCGGGUCGCAACGUUUUCCACUACGCGUAUAAAAGCCUGUGUCAUUACCCUCUUCUGAAGCAUUUAUCGGGUUCUCCUCUCCCGUGAUCAUCACAUUGCAGUCAUAAUUCUAAGGAACCUUUUUACUAUCCUUGUAAGGAAAGGCUACAGGUUUUUGGAUUAUGACCCUUGGCGCCAGUUGUAUUCCAGAUCCUGUGCUUGUUGGCCUUGAAAUAAUCACCACCGGGUGAUUUUGGGCCUUUCUCGUAGGCCCCUCCUCUGAGGCAUAAACUUCUCCUUUCUCAAGUCCUUUGAUCUCUUCAUAAAAUUCUAACUCUUUGUUGUUCAUCAGAUUUUGUAACAUGGCCUUGAAAUCAGUGCAAUUUUGAAUGUCAUGGUCUUCUUCAGCAUGAAACUCGCAGUACGUCUUCGUUCCUUCGGGCCUUUCUUUUGAAUCUUGUUUGAUGAGACCUCCUUCUAUCAUUUGUCUCCAAACCCAACUCAAUGGGGUUUUUAUCUCUGCAAUGUCGGUUUUGAUUCUCUUUCUCCCACCUUCGAUUAUUGCGUUUACCCCUUUAUCAGCAUGAUCGGGUAACGGAUUCGCUGCUACAUUUGGUCCUAAUGGGUUGUCAAACUUCACAAUCCCCAUCUUAAUGAACCUUUCCACCGCCUUUUUAAACCCAGUGCAGUUCUCAAUUGAGUGCCCCGGUAUCCCUGCAUGGUAUUCACAUUGGGCAUUCGCGUCAUACCAUUUGGGAUACGGAGGUUGCAUGGGCUCUAGAUAAAAUGGAGAUACUAUGUGUGCAUCAAAUAACUUCUGAUACAGUUCCCCGUAUGUUAUUGGAAUGGGCGUGAAUUAAAGUCUCUCUGUGUUAGUCCUUGUGUUAGGCCUCGUGUUGGGUUCCUGCCUUGAGGGGGCUUGGUGACUAGUGGUUAUCAUUUUUGGAGGGCCAACAGUAAUCAGUUUUGAAUGGCUCUUGCUAUAUGUGCAUACGUUGUUUACUUCGCCCUCUUUUUUUCUUCGGGCUGGUCUUUUGAAGUUUUCCCCAGUGUCAAUUUUACCGCUCCUUACCGCGUUCUCAAUCAUUUCACCAGACAUUACCAUAUCCGAGAAACUCUUGGUAGCACUCCCCAACAUGUGGUUGAUGAACAGGGCUUUCAAAGUGUUGAUAAACAACAUGGUGACCUCUUUUUCCAAAAGGGGUGGCUGGACUUGUGUUGCCACUUCUCUCCAUCGUUGGGCGUAUUGCCUGAAAUUCUCGCUAGGCUUUUUUUCCAUGUUUUGUAACGUAAUUCGAUCGGGUGUUAUAUCCAUUACAUGACUGUAUUGCUUCAUAAAAGCUUGCGCCAAGUCUCUCCAUGAACUAACUUUAGCACGACUCAGUUGGUUGUACCAUUUGGCUGCAGAUCCGAUCAAACUGUCCUGGAAGCAGUGGAUUAACAGCUGAUCAUUGUUGACGUAUCCUGUCAUUCUUCGACAGAACAUAGUUAUAUGAGCUUCAGGACAACUAGUCCCAUUAUAUUUUUCGAAUUCUGACAUUUUGAACUUAGGUGGGAGUACUAAACCAGGGACCAAACUCAGAUCAUUGACGUCAACCCCGCGAUGACAGUCGAUGUUCUCCAUGGCUCUAAAUUUUUCCUCUAACCAUCUACAUCGGUCCUCCAGUUGUUUUGGCAGGUUCAUUCUUGUUUUUUCUGUUUCUGCCACGUCAUCGAGGUCCGGGACCACCAGAUUAGUGGGAUUAUCCCCGGGAUUAAAACCCGAGCCCAUUUGAAAAUGCACUGGUACCGAGGUACCAGCCAGAUAUUGAGGUCCUAUGGUAACUGGUACCCUCUGUGGGUACACCUCUGGUUGUGCUUGGAUGUUAGUUGGGGUGAAACCUGGAGGAUAAACAGGGUCAUCGUGAUCCUCCCCAGCAUCAAUUACGGGGUCUUUUCCUUUGUUAUUCCCUCCAGCCAAUAACUGCUUUAAUUGGUUCAUCACGGUGUUCUGGGAUUCUAACAUGUCCUGCUGGAUUUUUUCCAGUCGUUCAUGCAUCUGAUCUUGCAUCUCUCGUUGCAACUGUUCCAAUCUUUCCAACCUUUGAUCCAUUGCUUUUGUUUGGCGACGAGUACCGUAGUGAUAUUUGAUUAGAUUUUUGUUGGUUUCCAGGGUAACUGUCAUAAUUUAAUUUUAUUAGGGUCAUUUUAUGAGAUGUAAUGCAAAUGUAUGAGAUGAAUGCAAAAAAAAGAGGCAUUGAUUCGAAUUCAAUUUCAUUAGAAAACUCAACUAGAAAGCAAAUUUCUUUACAUAAAAUAAAUUACAUAUACGGCUUCGCCUUUAUACCCAAAGCCUUAACCUUCCUAAGAAGCCAACUAAAUCUCGACCUCGGCUUGAUUCUGACUCAUAUUUUAAACUCAAUACAUCGGCCUGAAUUGCUAAUGUUUGCAGAUGAUCAGCCACUUCCCGCACUUGAGUCACAGCUUCGCCCAUAACGUAAUCUCUAUCUCUAAUCUGACUUUGAGAAUGAUGGAAUUGCUCUUGCCAUUGAUCAUUACUCCUCUCAAGAAGCUCCAUUCGUAGCUCAGAAUUGUGUAAUGCGUCCUCAAGCUCCUCUACCUUUCCUUUCAGUUCUUCGAUCUUAUUUAAGCUUGCUCUUAAUUCGAUCAUGGAGUUGCGACUACGGUACGAGUGAAGUGACUUUUCUAGCUCUGCCACCUUGGCCUUUAAUCCUGCCUUCUCAUUUCGGCACUCUAACAAACUCCUUUCCAAAGCGUUUUCUCGAGCUCAAGCAUCUUGAAAUUUCUUUUCCCACUGAUCGGCCCUAUUCUUUUCCUCAUUGAUCUCUUGUCGCCAUUGCUCUGACGUUUUACCCAGACCGACAGUUCUCAUUGACAAUCGCAGCUUCUUGUAAUCUAUUUUUAGACUAUCCAAAUCCUCUUCAGCCUUGUUCUUUCCCUUCUUUAAUUUCUCGGCUUCUAGCUUGUGGAUAUCGAUGUCUAAUCCCAAAUGCACUCUUUCUUCUUCUAGCUGUUCUAUCCUCUUUCCCAACUCAGAAUUUCUUUUCUCAAAGUCUCGUUUGAUGAUCUCUAAUUCUGACGGAACUACUUGUAGAUGCUCCUCUAUAGACUGAACGCAAUCUUCCCUCGGCUUAGGGAUGUUGUCAUUGACUCUUUUACUCCACCACCCAUAAUAUUCUGAAGUUGUCAUCGCUCCUACGGUAAAUCUUUUCAUUCGGUGAACCUGUUUCCAAGCGUUAGAUAUUUCUCGAGUUUUUCUCUUGUAGUUUUCAUCCUUAUAAGAAAACUCACAUUGAGCCAGCCCUUGUGUUGCUGGUAUGAACUGUCUCGAUCUAUAUUGUCUUAAUACGAGUAAAGGGGCAUAACCGACAGCUCCCCAAAUUUCGAGUAAAGGGACCCAGUCGAAAUCCCCACAUCGAUACAGGAUCUCGUCGGGUACCAUCCAAGGAGCUUUCCAUUCAACGUCAUCCUCCUGAAGAUUUUGGAGAAUCGUCAUCCACUUCUCUUCCGUGAUGUCGUCUCGUCUUGGUGUAGCAACUUGUUCCUUCAAUGGGGAAUAGUCUUCUGAGAAGACUCGAUAGGAGACAUUUUCCACCUUCCAAAAGUGACUAUGGAACCACACUAAUAGUAGCUGUGCGCAUCCGAUGAACCUUCCCUCCCCUGCUCUUCGACAUGCACUUAGAAAUCUGAAGGUUUCUGCUAAGAUUGCCGGGAUGGGCGUGACUCCUUUACUAAGCCGAUCGAACAAAUCAGAGACGGCCUCAUCUACGUGCCCUAAAGCUCUAGGGAAAAUUACCAAUCCAUAGAUACCUAGAGCGAAGACAUCCACUCUUUUCUUCACAUCAGGGUGUGCUAAUACUAAAUCUCGCAAGCUUUUCCAAGGAACGCAUUUACUGUCUCCUUUCUGUUGGAUUCGGGCAGCGACCCACUGUUCGCUCAUCCCUGUAAUGCUCAUCAAUUUUUUUAAUAAUGUCGGGACACUAGCAGCUCUAGAAUAGGCCUUGUCAAUUUGAAUCUUUGGACACCGAAGCAAGGUCGUAUAUUCUUCCAUGGUGGGCACCAAGUCCACUUUUCCAAAAGUGAAACAACUGUAAGCAGGAUUCUAAAACUGGGCUAGGGCUCGGAAUAAAUGCUUGUCCACUUUGACACCAAGUAGGUAAGGCAAGUCCCCGUAGUCACAGUAAAACAUCUGCUUGGUCCCAUCGUCCCAUUGAUCCCAUAUUUCCUUCAUUUCUCGAAGAUCAUUUUGGAUUACGCUGAUACGGGUGAAGUCCCAUAACUCUGAUACGUACCCUUCUGCAAGACUAUCGCCUUUCUCUCUCCACAUCGUCUCAGCCCACACUCGUACAGCUGCAUUGUCUUCUACUUUAUCAAGAAACCUCUUUUCCAUGAUAAGCUUUCUAUCUAUACUGAACGUGAAUCGACACCUUUUGAAAUGAAAAUGCCAUGCAAUCAUAAACAAAGCAAAUCAGAGCUAGGAUUUAAAGUAAACAAUAAUAAAUAAAGCAUCUAUUCGGUAAGCGCUAGGGUUUGGAAUAGCUCUAUCUCGGUGGGUUCUUACGGCUCGCUAUAUGUGGUUUAGUUCUAAAGUAAGGGUACCUGAACCAGCAGAUUCCUCGAUCCUCACCCAUUAUAGGCUCAUGGACCGAGUUCAGUUCAGGGGAAUACAUUUCCCUAUGGCCAUGCGGAGAUGAAAAUCUCACGAAGACAUAGGUACGGAUGUAUCCCGGAAGCGAUUCACUAUCCCAUGCGGAGGUGAAAACCUCACGAAGGCGUAGUUUCUCACUCCCACUUAAAAAGGUAUGACCAGCGAUCAUGCAAUUCAAUGUGCAGAGGUAUAAAAUAAAAUACAGAACACGAUAAAAAAUAUAACUCAAAACAAAAGAGAUGCAAUGAAAGGAUCGUAAAUUUAAAUCAAAUUUUCCACUUUCAACAAAAAGACAAGAAAUAAUCAACACGUGGCUUGACUCUCUUUCGUUCCCCAGUGGAGUCGCCAAGCUGUUGACACCAUUUUUUUGAUGAAAACGGGGUCGACUUGGAUUUUGAAAAAAGAAUGAAAACGGGAGUCGCCACCAAUCCUUUUUGACGAGGUGUGAUCGGGUCACCUCAAAAUGUGGUUGUUUUUAAUAAAUGAUUUAAUUUUAUUAAAACAACGAUUUUGGUCUACGAAAUUCAGAAAAAUGAGUUCGGGAGUCGGUUACGCACGAGGAAGGAUUAGCACCCUCGAUACGCCCAAAAUUGGUACCUAGUUGAUUAAUUAGUGUCUUAGUGUCGAAAAUUGAAAAUUUGAAGAGUUUUAAAAAUACGAUCCUUAAAAGAAAUUCUGAUAACGUGAAUUGAAAUAUAAGAUUCUCUUGUUCCGAAGGAAUAUCACAUCCAGCACGUUAGGACACGAUACUCUAAACCAUCGAAACCAAGAUCAUCUUAUAGUUUAAUGAAACCACACUUUGAAGCUUUAAGAGGAUAUUUGGCUAUUUAGUCGAACGAGAAAUCGAAACCCAGCACGUUAGGGCACGUUUUCUCGAUUUUCCAAACGCGAAAUAUCGCCUUAUUUAGAAAAAUUUUCCUUUUGAUGUUUGGUGUUAAUGCUUGACAAAACAAUAACGAAUACGACAAGGUGAGCAAAGUAAAGUGAGUAACAACAAUACAAUAGGCAAAAUGAAAUGACGAGGCGAUUACAUAAACAAAGCAUACAAAUAAAUAAAUAGAACUAACAUUUAAAAAAAAGCAUAAGUGUACACGAAUAAAUAAACAAACACCAAAUAACAAUGAUGACAAUAAAUACAAUUAUGUAAAAAUGUAUAUACAUGUAUAAUUUUAAGCCAUGAAAUAAGAAACGCAUAUAAAUUAUAGAAUAUGAAAACAUAGAUAAAUAUAUACAUAUGUGUAAAAAAUAAUAUUAUAAAAAGGGUACGUAUAUAUGUAUAAAAAAUAAAUGUAUUAACAAUGAAUAUAAUAAGGGUAAGAAAACAAGUAUAUACACAAUAUAUAUGUAACGUAGGUACUAAGGAUAUAUAUAUACAAUACAGUAUUUAAAAUAAUAUUUACGUAAUAUAAAAUAUAAUAUUAAAAGGUAUAUGUACAUACGUAAUAUAUAAAUACAUAUAUAAUAUAAUGUUAAAAUAUUUACAUAAUACUAAAAUAUUUAGGUAAUAUAUGCGUAUAUUGAAAACUAGUAAUAAUAUUACCGAGGUAUAUACAAAUAUAUCAAGUAUAUACACGUAUUAUAAAUAUAUAAAUAUAUGACAAAGCAUAAACUAAUAAAAAUAAUAAGAAUAAUAAUAAUGAUAACAUUGGAAUAUAAAAGAAACAAACAUAACAUUAAUAAAAUAUUAAAAUAAAGUGAAAUAAAAAUAUUAAAUAUGAGAAUAUAUAUAGGUAUACACGUACAUAAUAAAAAUAUAUACUAAUACAUAAUAAUAAUAAUGGUAAUACUAAUAAUACUAAUAAUAUAAAAAUAACAAGGAUAUUUAAUAAAGAUAUAAAAAUCAACAAAAAAGGACUAAAAUUGAAUUGAAAGCAAAGUUGUGGGGCCAAUUUGAAAUGAAAACAAAGAAAAAGGACUUAAUUGUAACACGCAUGCAACUUGGAGGGUCAAAAGUGCAAUAAACCCAAGUAUUAAAAACGCUGCGCAGCGUGGGGGACCAGAAUGAAUUCGGGGCAACACCAUGGAGCCAAAUUAAAAAUAAAAAAACCUUGAUUGUAAACUCCCAGAAAGGCGGAAGGGCUAAAAGUGCAAUUAGCCCUUCCAAAGAAAAAAACACGCGGAUCUUCCUUGGUGCAGGUCGGGUCGACCCGACCCGUGUUCAAAACGACGUCGUUUCAUUUAUUUAAACCGGGGGUCCAAAACGGUGCGUUUUGACCCCCUAUAAAAGUCAAAAAAACUUCAAAAAAAAAUCAUUUGUAACGCUGAGGGAAAAAAAAGAAAAGGGAGAGAGGAGAGGGGAGCCCGGAGCGAUUUCCGGCCAAGGGAGGGGUCACCGGACGGCCACCGGAGGCUCGCCGGCGUCAGCGCCGGCCACCGCACGCCGUGGCCGGAAAGGUAAAAUUUUUUAUAUUUUUUUUAUAUUUUUUUGUUAUUUAUUCUUGGUCUUAGAAUGUAUAGAUUUUAGGUUUAUAUUAAUAAAAAAGGUAUAGAUAUGUAUAUAGAAAUCGAAAGAAAAUGGAUGAAAACAAAAAGGUAACCUUUUCCGUUUGCCUUUUCUUUUUCCCGAAUGCUUGCUAUCUCAGUACUGAGAUCUAUGUAUUUUUUUUAAAAUUCUAGCUUCUGUUUUUUUGUAUUAAAAUGCCAAAAAACAAACAAAAAGAAGAAAGAAAAAAAACCCCUGACACAAUUUUUUAUUCGGGUUUUUAUAACCCAUUUUCAUCUAAUUUCCUAUUGUUUCUGUUUUGUCUCUUUGCAUGGGAUGGGCACGAUGGAGGUGACAGAGGCAUGGUGGUACAGAGGAGCAGGUGGCCGACAUGGUGGCAUGGAGAGCUGGGCGUGGCAGACGAGGAGGCCACGCGAGGCAUGCAGCGCUAGGGCUUGGGGGGCAUCUUUCUGCCGAAAAUGUUAAUGUUGUCUGGGCUGGGUUUUUGAUUUUUGUUUCGGGCCAUGGGCUACAUUGGGCUUGUUAUUUUCCUUUGUAAUUGGACUGUUGUUUAUCUUGUUUUAAUAUUCGGGCCUGGGCAUAAAAUUGGGCCUUACAAUAGUCUUAAGUGUCUAUCACAAGAACCUAGAUAUUGUAAAUCCAAUAUCUUCCAAACAAUUCAACCAUGAUAUUAAUGAUGAUGGAAGCAAGAUUAUCCACUAUCAAUGACAUAAAAUGAGCUGUAAAUGCUGACGAACAAACAUGCACUGUUUUUCCAACCUGUGGAUUGAAGAGCAUUGACAAGCUAACUUUGCAGACCAUUUGAAUCCAAUACUAUACAUAAAAAUGCCAAAGGAGAAUAAUUCAUCUUGGAAAAAGAAUUACUAAUAUGCAAAAGCUUACCUUGUUUAACAAGAACACAGCAUAUGCUGCUCUUGUCGUGUCUUGACCUUCUAAAAACAGCGGAAAUUCUGCCAGCUUUACAUUUGCUGAAAGUGUUGUAUCCAAUGACAAAUCAGAAGAUGCAGGGUCUAUUGAAGACGCAUGGUCAUUAAUAUAUGAGCGAGAACCACCCAAGCGCAGAGGAUAACGCAAGGGAACUUGUAAAUAGGAUGCAAUUAGUGAAACAGCCUGCAAAUGAUGAAAUAACAGGAAACAAGAAACAAUAAUAGGUAUGAUUAAAAUUAUAGCCUCAGCAUGAGAAACAAGCAAUCAAGAUGCAGCCCACUAUACCAUAUUACCAUCCUAGCAAUUAAAAAUUACUACAGCAUCUUCAAGCAACAAGGGAUUGUAGGUGGUAGGUCAAAAAACUUGAUAUCCACAGCUUGAUAUUAUCAGAAAAAACAAAUUCAGUAAUAAAUGAUAACUUCACAGAAGAAAUAGAACGCACAUGUGCAACAUAUCCCAAGGCAGUUGCAGAUCUCUGAACCUCCUUUUUGUCAGUGAAAAAACUCAUCUUUGUAAAAGGAAGCAAGGUGAGAUUCAGACCUAAAAUUGUCAACGAUCCUUGAUUGACGGGCUUUGAUGCAGAAGGAUUCCCUAGUGAAGACAGGAACAAAGGAACUUCAUAUCAAUACAUCACCAGACACCACCUCUUUGUGAAAGUCAAAACAAAAUUCAAAAAAAUAUAAUCAUGAAAGUAAGAGAUAUGUAAAAAGUUCAUAAUAUUCAAGAGCAAAAAAAAAUUGUUUUGAUAUGAGGAGAAUUGAAUAGUAGAUUGCUAAAAGAGGAAUAACUGAAUACAGCCAUCAUAACCAAAAGAAGAGUCAAGUGAUAGGUAAUGGUACUCCCUAAGCUGUUUAGGAAUCAUAAAAGACUUGUCCAGUUGACAAAAAUAACUCAUUUUAUUCUCCCCUAGUAAAACAUCAUAUUGGACCAACCAUAUUUGAUAUCAAAGGAUAUGGAUAUCCAGGCAUGCCAUUUAUAGAUAUUCCCAGUGUUGCAAGAAGGAAUUGUUCAAGAGAAAGAAGCUGCUAUUGUUGGUAAAGUUUUCCUCAAACCAUUUUGAACAUCCAAAAUCUCAAGAACAAAAAAGAAAACGUAGGAGGAAAUAUAACAAGCAUCACAACGGGUUCUCGAUGAUAUAAGUGAGAGGAUAAAUGUUAAUUAAGAUUAUAAAAAUAAACCACAAACUAAACAGGAAAGACAUGGAUUUCAAAACGAGGAGACUGGCUGCUAAUUAAAACCAUAUGCGGUGUUGUCUAGGGCGCAAGGCGCAUUCUAGGUGCUAACCUUUAUAUUGCCUCAAGCACAAGGCACAAAAGGAAGCGCUAGCCUGAGUGCAGUAAAGCGCAAUACAUAUAUGUGAGAGUUUUUGCAAGUCUGUGUGUCUACAACAUAAAAGUUUUAAGAUAUAUAGUAAACUCUAAAGUGUGGUCUGGUUUAUCCACAAAACUUGCAAAAUUUUUAUAGGUGAAUGCUCAAAUAUUGAGAAUUAUAGAGUUUGAUAUUAUCCCUUUCUUAUUAGUAAAGGUGUAUCAAAUGAAAACAGUAAAAAAUAAAAUAAAAUAUUGAGAAAUUCAACAAGGCAGGCUUUUUCUAAUGCCCAUUGCCUUACAAAAAAAGUGUGCCUAGGUGCACCAGGCAUACGCUUGAUCAAAUGGACCUCACCUGGAAGGGUCCAAGGCGUUUGGUUGUAUAAAACUAAGGCGUAGGCAUGCCUAGGCGCAUGCCUUGACGACACUGACCAUAUGUUGGCUUUAUUGCAAAGCAUUAGCAAUCCAAAACUACUAGCACAUUACCUAAUCUACUACUGCUAGAAUAGGACUCAAGUUCUUGCUCCUGUGCAGGUCCAACCAAGAUCUUUACAGGAUACAAUAAUGAAACUUGUGAUAUCAUAUAUUGUUGCCUUGCUCGAAGCUUCCUUUGCACAUUUUUAAGUUUAACACAACCCCUUUCUUCAGUGAGUAAUCUAUUUGCUUCCUGUGAUAAAAACAACAUAUAAUCAAUCAUGCCACGCAUGCAAGACUACCAACCAACUAUCUAACAAAAGAUACAAAGAAGUAGGAGAGCAAGAAGGGGAUAACCCUUGACUAUGCAAAGGAAUUCAUAGAAUGAGAAUCAUCUCAUCUAAGCCCCUCAACCACCUUCACAGGGGGUGGAGGUGCAAAGAGAGAGGUCUUAUUGAUCCGAGAGGAGAAUAUAUAACAUCUAAAGCUGAAUAAGAAGAAACCUUGAAAUAUAUCAUAAAUUCAGAAUUCAUGAUAAUAUAAAAAUGAAAUUCCAAAGCUAAUUUAAGCUAGAAUAAAAAUGCUUCACCUGUAAUCACUUCCUUGCUACAGAAAGAGAGGUACCAGCAACCAACAAUGAUCUUACUUCAGUACUAAGCAUUUCCUCCUGUUUUUUAGCAUCCUCUGUUGCAACUUUGCAAUGAGUUGACAUGUUUGCCAUAACUACUUUCCUUGCCUCGAGUCUCUCACGCAUUUCCUCAAGCUCGUUCAGUUUAUUCAAAGACUCAUUUUUUACCUGCACAGCAUGUUCCCACCCAUUAAUCAGUGGGCCAAUUAAUUAGGUCACAGAAGACAAAACUAAAUUAUCACUCACCAGGUCCCCUUGAAGUGUCAUAUGGCUUUAACAAUUCAACGUGCAAUAUCUAGUAAAAGUAAAAUAAACAUAGAAGAAUGCAAAUGCAAUUCUUAAACGCCUUUAAAUGGACAACAUGAAACACUUUAAGAGCCCUAUAAAACAGAAAACUGGAAAAAAAAUCUGAAAAGGAAAAAAAAAUGAAUUGAAACAAUAAAUCCAUCUGGUACAAACAGCAACAAAUCUCGAAAUAAGCUUUGGCUUUAGCCCAUUAAAGCCCGGGCAUCCGGCCAAAUAAACAGUGACUGCCAUGUCAACUUUUUGAGACGGUAGAAAAGAGCUCAAAAAUCUCAAUUUCCAAAAAUAAGGACAUAAGAAGGAAAACAAUUUACUUAUUCUUACAGUAGAAGAGCAAAAUGAAACUAAAUGAAGGAUAAGGGAACUGAUGCGAAUUGACAUUGUUAUUUUUGGGACUAAAAAGAAUACGCAGAUUGAAUAUUUAAGAUUUUGUAAGGGAAAAGUUCCAUUCACCGACACAAUUAUCAUCGCCCUUUAUCCCAGUAAAGCUUAAUUGACAAUUUUUCUGUCUCGUGUUCUUGCUAAAGCAUUUGAGCAACCCAACAGAAAUCAUUAUAUUUCAAACUGAAAUGAUUGGCUUUAACAAUUUCACAACCUAUACCGCCCAACCUAGUAAGUAAUUUAGGUGCAGACACCAGAAAUCUAUUUUCUUUGCACUCUACAACUAAAUAGCAUACCACUUAUCAAUCAAACACAGCUGAAAACUUCAGUGAGGGAACAUUAUGUAAAAUGAAAAAACUAUAACUUCAACUUGAUUCAUAGCUCGGCAAGUUCAGGGAAUUGGGACUUCUACCACGAUGAUCCAGUUCAAUGUGAAACAGUGAUCCAUAUCAUGCAUAUCGGUUCCCGGAACAAGAGGUAAAACCAGCAAAUUAGGUAAACAAUAAUCCUACUAUAUUUCAGAAUAGCAACAUUGAGCAUGAAAGCUAAAAUUAUAGCAUAUUACGGGUCCUUGCUCUCUACAACUACAUAUAAAAUUAGUAAACAAUAUUACUACAUUAAGGAUCCAGAAAAACUUUGUUUCAAUUGUUGAUCACUUGAUCCAACUAUUUUAGAAAGUUUAUUCUUCUUUUUCCUUUCCCUUAUUUUCUAAAUCAGGAAAAACAGUAGCAUAUAAAUUGGAUUACUACUCCAAGUUUCUGAAAUUUCAACAAUAUCCCUUUUACCUUUUCACUCAAGUCAUUACCCCCCAAUUAACAAAUAUAUUCCCAGUUUCCCUUUCCCUUCAAACACCCCUUUUUUUUUCCUCUACCCAAAUUCAGCUUAUGUUCAAAAACCCAAAAUUGGUUUGCUAAAAUAACAUAAUUUUCAAACACAAAGAUAACCUAAUUUUAAUCAGAAAAAAAAAGCAUUACCUGAAUUAGUGACUGGAGUUUCUCUUGAAGACUUUGUUUCUUCUCAUUAGCUUCCUUAAGGGCAGAAGUUAAACUCCACAAUCUAGCUAGCUCGUUGUCGAAAUCUUCCCAUUCAAUUAGUUGCACAUUUUCAUGUGCAGCAUUGAUUUUCUUCGGGUCGGUAAUUAGGGUUUUGACUCGGGCUUGUUCUCGAUUUUCCAUGAAAUAAUUGAAGAGGAAAGCUUUCGAUUCUGUAAGUUUAAAAAGGGAUCAUAGAUCGACCUCAUGGUACUGGAUCUCGCCCGGUUAGAGUGUUCUUUUUCACGCCGAUCGAAUCAUUUUCUCGGGAAACUUUGCUAGCUAGGGGUAAUUUUCUCGGGAAAAUGGAGGGAAAAACAGAUUCGGGAGUUUUUAUUUGGGGGAGUCUAAGGUAUAACGGAGAAUGACAGGUGGCGGUUAACGGAGGAAUCUCACGAUUCAUGUCAUUUUCACUUUUUCGAUUUAGAAAUUGCUUAAAUACUUUUAAAAAUAGAUAAUAAGAUAAACUUUCUUUUUGAAUAAGAUAAAACUUUCAUUGAAAAUAAAUAAAUAAAUUAAAAAAUAUUUGAUGAUUUUUAAGUUGGUAAUUUUUUUUUAUAAAAAUUUGGUAACUUCUUUGAAAGUUGAUAUAAAAUGUAUCACGACCCGACUUGAGAUUUAAUUUGUCCUCGUCAGAAGUCCGACCCAAACAAGGGAAUAUGACUUGCCACUCACCAAUUUUUUAACCUUCCAACUUGCCAGCUUUAUGGAGUAACUCGGCACCUUGCGACACUACCUAACAUACCGUGAGAUUUAAGUACAAAUAUCUCUAAGGGUAUGUGUCAAGCUUAAGAGAAAUAACAUAUUAUUAUACAUAUUAUUUAGUUACCCCUAACAUGUCACGUCAAAAAAUCAUACUAUAAAAAAUAGUCCUCACAAGAUAGGAUAGAAAAAAAAAGUCAUCAACAAAAGUAAUUAAGUAACCUUUUUAUAAAACAAAAAGAUUUAUUUUAUUUUGAAAUAAAUUAAUUCUCUAACUUAUAUAAGAAAUUAAGUAAAAUCUUUUUAAAUAAUAAGACAUAAUUUCUCGAAAAAAAAUAAUCAAAUGAGAGCUAAUCAAAAUAAUUUAUUUUUUUAGGCCAAACAAUUUUACUUCAACUAUUUAUAAACACUUUUUAAUCAAUUUUAUUUUAACUCCCAUUAUAAAUUUUAUAAAAAGGAUAAUAUAUUAAAAAUACCCUUAAAUUAUUAGAUUUUGUAUAAAUAAACUCUUAUUUUUUUUAGUUAAAUAAACUCCUAAAUUAUUAAUUUAGUCAUGAAAAUGUUGAUAUAAAAGUAUGAGAAUAAUUUAUUAAAUAAAAAAUUAAUUAUUUUAAAAUAUUUAAAAUAUUUAUAUACAUAAUAAACUUAAUUAAAUUCUCUAGAAAAAAAAUUUAUAUUCUUUUAAAUUUUAUGUUGAUAUAUUAUUUCUAUUUGUCUAAUAAAGUGCAUAACGAGGCAAUAACUAUUUUUUAUGUAUAAAUUAAACAAUACUACAACUUCCGAAGUUAAUAAGAUUAUAUCUAUACUCACCAUCACAAUUAGAGACAGGGGUGAGUAUUCGAUCGAAUUGAGUUAAAAAAUUUUGAAUUAGUCGAGUUAACAAAUCUUAUUUUAGCAAUCGAAAUCAAUUUAAAUUUUUUUAAAUCAAAUCGAAUCGAGUCAAAAAAUUUCAAGUCGAAUUAACGAAUCCUAUUAUUUAUACUCAAUAUUGCGUUUAUAUGGGCUGAUUAUUUAACUGGUAGACGAAGUACAAGAUUAUUUAACUAUAUAAACAAUAUAAUGGUUUUGCAUUGUAACUUAAUAGGUAAACAUUUAUCAAAACGAAAUAAUUUUACCUUUUAAGUUAAUGGUUUUGACUUUUAACUUUUAACUUUAAAAAAUAUAAACAUUUAUCAAUACGACGUAAAUUUACAUUUUCGUAUUCGGAUUUUCGAAUAACUCGAAACGUGUAAUUCAUAUUCGAGUUAAACUAAAAAUUUUAAUUUUUUUAUUUGAGUUAAUCUGAAUAACUUGAUUAAAUCGAAUAACUCGAAUUGUUUAAUUUGAAAUUUGAUUUUUUUAUCGAAUUUUUCAAAUCAAAUCAAAAUUUACUCACCCUUAAUUAGUCAUCAUAACUAAAUUAAAGUUGCCCCAUUAUGCAAUUGCAAGUCUUCAAAGCCUAAAAGUUGUAACAAUUCAAAAUUUCAAUGGAAAUUAAAAUUAAUAUUUUUAUCAUAUAUUAGUCAAAGUUUAUUGCAUCAACAAUAAGUUAAGAUAAAAACCUCAAAUUUUAAAAUAUUUUUACCUCAAUAUAAAAUUUAAGAGCUUUCAUGUAUAAAAACUAAAGGUUAGAGCUUUCAUGUUUAAGGGCUUAUUUAUACUUCAUCUUUAUAAAAAAACACUUAAAUAGUAGUUUAAAUUAUAUAGUUAAUCACUCAAUUUUAGUAAAUUUUCAUUUUAGUCACUCGUUGUUAAUUUGGCUAAUGUAAAUAUUACAUUACACUGAUUUUAGUCACCUAAUUUUCAUAAGAUAGAAUUAAUUUUAUUUUUCGGUAAAAAAGAAAAGAAAAACUCAAAAUUUUACAAGCAAGUACCUAGGUUUUUAUAGAAAAAACUUGGAGUUUUAUAUGAAAAACCUACGUUUUUAUUGGAAUAGUCAUAUUAUCUUUUUUUAUUUCAUUUAUUUUUUUCAUUUAUAAAAUUAAUUUUAGCUUUUUCAAUGAAAAGAAAACCUAAUUUUUUACUAAGAAAAUCAUUUUAUCUUUUUAAUUUCUUUUACUUUCAUAUUUAGAAUUAAUUUUAAUUUUUUUUCCAAUAACAAUGAAAAAAAACUUGGAUUUUUACAAUGAGUUUGUUGGGUUUCCACGAGAAUUGCUUGAGUUUUAUGAAUAACUCAAUUCCUUAAAAAAUUCUAAAAAAAAUUAGAAAAAUAAGAUUAAUUAAAAAAAAUGGAGCAAAAUGAAAAUUUACUAAAAUUAGAUGGCUAAAAUGAAUAUACAAUUGCAUUUUCGUUAGCCAAAUUAACAUGUGAUCAAAAUGAAAUAUUAUUAAAAUUGAGUGAUUAAAAUGAAAAAACUAUUUGAUUUAUUUACACCCUGAUUUUAUGAGCAAAUUCCCCAGCACAAAGCCUAUUUUGACAAUAACAGUUCAAAUGAAAAGUCUUCGCUUACUCUUUGAACGAAACUCUUCUCCCGCUAAAACCACCUCUUCUUCCUCCAAAUUCAAACGCCCAAAGCUUUCUUCCAUCUCUAAUGGCUCUGAUUCAUCACAAUCAUCAUCAUCUCAAGAUCCCCUUAAAACCCAUUUCUCCUCUCUCAUCAAAUCCUCCGAAACCACCCUACAACUCCGGCAAAUCCACGCUCAAAUCCUGCGCCGCCACCUCUCUUCCAGUGCCAAUCUCACCACCCUCUUAAUCUCCGUUUCUUCUUCCUUCAAAUCCAUACCUUACGCGCUCUCUAUUUUCAACUAUUCUCACCACAAAAGCUUAUUCCUUUUCAAUGCUUUGAUUCGUGGCUUGACGGAGAAUUCCCAUUUCCAAUCCUCAGUUUCACAUUUUCUUCUCAUGUUGAGACAUAGAGUUCGCCCUGAUUAACUUACAUACCCUUUCGUGCUCAAGUCUAUUGCGGGAUUGGGUCUUCAUUUCCUUGGUCUGAUCCUUCAUGGGAGAAUCAUAAAAUCUGGGGUUGAGUUCGAUUCGUUCGUUCGGGUUUCGUUAGUGGAAAUGUAUGUGAAGCUCGAGGAAAUGGGUUUUGCGUUGCAAGUGUUUGAUGAAAGUCCUGAGAGAAACAAGAGUGAGAGUAUAUUGUUGUGGAAUGUGUUGAUUAAUGGGUGUUGUAAAGUGGGGGAUUUGGAGAAAGCUAUGGAGUUUUUCGAGGCUAUGCCUGAAAGGAAUAUUGGGUCUUGGAAUAGUUUUAUAAAUGGGCUAAUGAAAAAUGGGGAUUUGAACAAAGCAAUGCAGCUUUUUGAUGAAAUGAAGGAGAAGGAUGUGGUUUCUUGGACUACAAUUGUUAAUGGGCUUUCACAGAAUGGAGAUCAUCAGAAGGCGUUAUCCAUGUUCUUUAAGAUGUUGGAGGUCGGUUUAAGGUCGAAUGAUCUUACUCUUGUUUCAGCUCUUUUCGCUUGCGCUAAAAUUGGUGCACUUGAAGUUGGAGUCCAUAUCCAUAACUAUUUUGUGGAAAAUGGGCUUCGGUUGAAUAAAGCAACUGCUGCUGCUUUGGUUGAUAUGUAUGCAAAGUGUGGGAAUAUCCUAUCUGCUAGUAAGGUUUUUGAAGUAACUGUUGCGCGGAAGCGUGUGAAAGAGUAAAAUUAUUGUACUGAAAAAUCACACUAAGUUCAAUUCCCAGGAAAGAGAGGUGGAUCACGAGGAUCGCUUACAUACCAGAUCUUUCCUAGCCAGAAUAUCCCUCUAUCGUAAUUUAAUAGCACAAUAAAUCACUACAAUGACACUUGCAAAAUAUGCAGAACAAAAAAUAAAGAACACUAGAAUUUUAACGAGGUUCAGCAAAUUUUGCCUACGUCCUCGGGCACUACCAAAUAUAUUUCACUCCAAAAAAUACAAGUGAAAGUUUACAAAUAGGGAGAGAGAACAAUUGCCUUAAGUAGAGAUUGGCAAGUGUGGGAUGAAGAAAGUAAGAAAUGGUUAGGCCUAUUUAUAGUUGAGGUUCAAGGAUCAACUUGCAAUGUCCCUAUACAAUUAGGGACCAAAAUUGCAAUUAUCUCAUGCCAACUUUUAACCCAACUUGCCAACCAAUUUUACUUUCUACUUUCGGUGACCACCCUUUUUGACUUUUCAAACAAUGGGUGGGUUCCAAUAAUCUCCACCUUGAAGAUUUGAUUAGGCUAAUCUUAUCUUCACACAAUUCUUUCUGCCUUUGACAACAAUACUUGAUAGUGCCUUCUUCAACUGUUAAACUUGCAGGAUAUUAAUCAAGUUCAAACAAUGUUCGAACUUGGUUGAUGUUACCACCUUGCUCAUCAUAUCUGCGGGAUUAUCUGCAGUCUUGAUCUUCUGAAGACAAAUUUUCCCCUCUUCAAUAAUUUCCCGCACAAAAUGGAAUCGUACGUCGAUAUGUUUUGUACGUGCAUGAUAGACUUGAUUCUUUGCUAAAUGAAUAGCACUUUGACUAUCACGAUACACGUUAAUAUGCUCCUGAACCAACCCCAAGGUUUUAGCCAUACCUUGUAACCAAAUAGCCUCCUUUACAGCCUCUGUUACAGCCAUGUACUCGGCUUCUGUGGUUGACAAUGCAACUGUAGACUGUAGUGUAGACUUCCAACUUAUUGGUCAUCCAGCAAGUGUAAACACAUAACCAGUGGUUGAUCUUCGAUUGUCCAAAUCACCGGCAUAGUCAGAAUCAACGUACCCAAUAACACCUUUACCAAGUGUAUUAUCCUGCUUGAACAGUAAUCCAACAUCCACGGUCUUCUGAAUAUACCGUAGAAUCCAUUUCACAGCUUGCCAAUGUCCUUUUCCAGGAUUAUGCAUAUACCUGCUCACUAUACUAACUGCCUGUGAAAUGUCAGGUCUUGUACACACCAUUGCAUACAUCAAGCUACCCACUGCAUUAGAAUACGGAACUUGCAACAUGUAUUCUCGUUCCGUAUUCGUCGAAGGAGAUAGUUGUGUAAAAAGCUUGAAAUGAGAAGCCAACGGGGUACUUACAGGUUUUGUCUGCUCGUUCAUGCCAAACUGCUGUAGUACCUUUUUCAAAUACUGCUUCUGAGACAAGCUAACUCUAUCAUGAGCUCUAUCUCUCCAUAUUUCCAUGCCGAGAAUCCUUUUAGCUUCUCCUAGAUCUUUCAUCUCAAACUCGAGAUUGAGUUGAGUCUUCAAUCUUUCAAUUUCAACUUUGCUCUUAGAUGCUAUUAGCAUAUCAUCAACAUAUAAGAGCAAGUAUAUGAAAGUUCCUUCUUGUAGCUUCUGAAAAUACACGCAAUGAUCAAAUUUACUUCUUGUGUACCUUUACCCUUUCAUAAACUGAUCAAAUCGCUUGUACCACUGCCUCGGAGAUUGCUUCAAUCCAUAAAGCGACUUUGUCAGUUUGCAAACCCAAUUUUCUUUUCCAGCAACCUUGAAUCCAUCUGGCUGAGUCAUAUAGAUUUCCUCUUCCAAAUCACCGUGUAAAAACGCGGUCUUCACAUCAAGCUGAACUAGUUCAAGAUCAUAUUGCGCAACCAAGGCUAGCAAAAUCUGAAUAGACGAAUGCUUCACAACUGGAGAAAACACUUCAUUGUAGUCUAUUCCUUCUUUCUGAGCGUAACCCUUUGUUACUAAUCUAGCCUUGUAUCGAAUUUCAUUUUUAUCAGGAAAUCCUUCCUUCUUUGCAUAUACCCAUUUGCAUCCAAUUGCCUUCUUUCCCUUGGGUAGUGUCACCAACUCCCAGGUCUUAUUUUUCUGAAGAGACUGCAUUUCUUCAUUCAUUGCUUGCUUCCACUUUACACCAUCAGGGUUACUUAUUACUUCUGUGUAAGUAGAAGGAACAUCAUCAUCUGUAUUUGGAAAUGCAUAGGCCACUAUAUCAUCAAAGCGAGCAGGCUUACGAAUCUCUCUUCUUGGCCUUCUAUAUGCAAUUGAAUCUUGUUGCUGUAGAGAUUCUUGGGUAGGAACCUCUUCAUCAUUUGUCCCUUCAAUAUUAGCUGGAUCAUCGUUAACCUUUUCAAGCUCCACAUGCUGCAAAGUACUAACGGUUUUGUCAUCCUUUUGUGAAUCCUUGUACUUCAACAUGGUUGAUUCAUCAAAAGUCACAUCUCUACUGAAAACAAUCUUCAUUGUAUCAGAACACCAGAGACGAUAUCCUUUUACUCCAUCAGUUAUACCCAAGAAUAAUGCUUUCUUUGCUCUUGGGUCUAACUUAGAUUCUUUUACAUGAUAAUAUGCAGUGGAACCAAAUACAUGCAAAGAAUCAUAAUCAGUAGCAGAUUUACCAGUCCACAUCUCUAUAGGAGUUUUUCCAUUUAUUGCAGCUGAUGGCAAACGGUUAAUUAGAUGGCACGCAUAUGUAACUGCCUCAGCCCAAAAUUCUUUGCCCAAUCCAGCAUUGGACAACAUACAUCGAACUUUCUCCAGUAUAGUUCGAUUCAUUCGUUCUGCCACCCCAUUUUGCUGUGGUGUAUCCCGAACAGUGAAGUGUCGCACAAUGCCCUCAUCUUGGCAUACUUGUAGAAAUGGAUCGUUUUUGUACUCAGUACCAUUAUCUGAUCGAAGUCGUUUGACCUUUCGACCAGUCUGAGUCUCCACCAUCUUCUUCCAUUUCAGAAAUGCAUCCAAAACUUCACUUUUUCUUUUCAUUAGAUACACCCAUACUUUUCUUGAAUAAUCAUCAACAAAAGUAACAAAAUAGUGCAUACCUCCCAAAGAAGCUACUUUGGUAGGUCCCCACACAUCACUGUGAACGUAGUCCAGAAUUCCUUUCGUAUUGUGAAUUGCUGGACCAAAUUUUACCCUCUUCUGCUUGCCCAGAACACAAUGUUCACAGAAUUCCAUUUUGCAAGAAUUUGCACUUUUCAAUAAGCCUUGCUUCACCAAUGUCUGCAAAGCUUUUUCACCAGCAUGUCCCAAUCGCAUAUGCCAUAAUCUGGUAGCCUCUGAAUCUACAUCUUUUGUAGAAACUGUUGAUGUUGAUCCAAUAACUGUACUUCCAUUUAAAAAAUACAAGUUAUUUCUUCUUGUGCCUUUCAUCACCGUCAGUUGCCCAGCUACUACUUUUAGUAAUCCAUCUCUCAAAGUGAUUGUGAGCCCUUUAGAUUCUAGGGCACCUAAUAAGAUGAGAUUUUUCUUCAGGCUAGGUACGUAGCAAACAUCUGUCAAGACUUGGAUUGAGCCGUCGUGAUUCUUCAAUUGGACUGUACCCACUCCCAUUGUCUUACAAGCACUAUCAUUGCCCAUAAGAACAAUUCCACCUUCUAGCUCUUUAAGACUAGAAAACCAGUCCUUAUUAGGACACAUAUGGUAAGUACAUCCUGAAUCCAAAAUCCACUCAUCCGUUUGACAUGCCAUUGCCAUGCCAACCAAGCUAAAGUCUGACUCCUCAUCAUGCUCCGCUACACAUGCAUUAGAAAUAGCCUUGCCCUUUUGUAGCUUAGGACAAUUCUUUUUCCAAUGCCCUUUUUCACGGCAAAAGGCACAUUUAUCUUUGGCGGGUCUCCCUUUGGACUUUCCUCUUCUACCAGAUUUGCUGCUGUGUGAACGACCUCUUACUGUUAAGACUUCUGCGGUUGUAUCUCUGUGAUCUCUUUUAUCUUUCUUUCGAGUCUCAGAUCUAUACAACGCACUACAGACUGCAUCAAAUGUGAUCGUGUCCUUCCCAUGAAGCAAUGUGGUGGUAAGAUGAUCAUAUUCAUCAGGAAGGGAAUUCAACAACAAUAAUGCAUUGUCUUCAUCUUCAAAUUUCUCAUCCAAAUUUAGCAAGUCUGCUAAAAUUUUAUUGAAUGAGUUCACAUGGUCAUUCAUCGACAUACCGGGUGCAUACGUGAAUCGAUAAAGUUUCUUUUUCAUAUAAAGCCUAUUUUCAAGACUUUUCGUUAGAAACUUUUCUUCCAGUGUAUCCCAUAACUUCUUCGCUGAUGUCUCCCUCAUGACAGAGUACUUCUGCUCUUUGGCCAAACAUAGGCGGAUUGUACCACACGCCUGUCUAUUGAUUUUGGCCCACUCCAUGUCAUCCAUCUUGUCAGGUUUUUCUUCAAAUGCUAUAUCUAGCUCUUGCUGACAUAAGACAUCCAGGAUCUCACAUUGCCACAUACCAAAAUUAUUGGUACCGUCAAAUUUCUCUACUUCAAAUUUUGCAUUUGUCACAGUAGUCCUUGCUGAUGACGAUGCUGCUGCCAUUUUUCUCCUCAAUCCCAACUACUGUAUACGUGAACAGUACUGUAUACGUGAAUAGUACCGUAUACGUGAAUAGUGCCGUAUACGUGAAUAGUACUGUAUAUGUAAAUAGUACCGUAUACGUGAAUAGUGCCGUAUACGUGAAUAGUACUGUAAACGGUCGUAUUCCCCAAGUACGAACCUGGCUCUGAUACCAAUUGUUGCGCGGAAGCGUGUGAAAGAGUAAAAUUAUUGUACUAAAAAAUCACACUAAGUUCAAUUCCCAAGAAAGAGAGGUGGAUCACGAGGAUCGCUUACAUACCAGAUCUUUCCUAGCCAGAAUAUCCCUAUAUCGUAAUUUAAUAGCACAAUAAAUCACUACAAUGACACUUGCAAAAUAUGCAGAACAAAAAAUAAAGAACACUAGAAUUUUAACGAGGUUCAGCAAAUUUUGCCUACGUCCUCGGGCACUACCAAAUAUAUUUCACUCCAAAAAAUACAAGUGAAAGUUUACAAAUAGGGAGAGAGAACAAUUGCCUUAAGUAGAGAAUGGCAAGUGUGGGAUGAAGAAAGUAAGAAAUGGUUAGGCCUAUUUAUAGUUGAGGUUCAAGGAUCAACUUGCAAUGUCCCUAUACAAUUAGGGACCAAAAUUGCAAUUAUCCCAUGCCAACUUUUAACCCAACUUGCCAACCAAUUUUACUUUCUACUUUCGGUGCCCACCCUUUUUGACUUUUCAAACAAUGAGUGGGUUCCAAUAGUAACAAAAGAGAAGGACAUUCGUACCUGGAGUGUCAUGAUAUGGGGUUGGGCAACCCAUGGGUUUUAUGGACAAGCUAUCCGAUGCUUCAAAAAGAUGAUGUUUUCAGGUGUGGACUUAGUAGUUUUCAUUGAGCUCAACCCUUUAUUCUAAUCUUUCUGAAUAAACUCAAGUUUGUCGUAUUUGCAGGAAUAAAACCCGAUGCGGUGGUCUUUCUUACCCUCCUGACUGCAUGCUCACAUUCUGGACAAGUAGAUCUUGGGCUUAACUUCUUUGAUAGCAUGAGGUUUGAUUACUCCAUUGAGCCAACCAUGAAGCAUUAUACGUUGGUCGUUGAUUUGUUAGGCAGGGCAGGCCGACUGGAUGAAGCAAUGAAGUUCAUACAAAGGAUGCCUAUAAGUCCUGAUUUUGUGGCAUGGGGAGCACUUUUUGUGCUUGCAGAGCUCACAAAAAUAUUAAAAUGGCAGAACUAGUGUCAGAAAAGCUCCUUCAGCUUGAACCUAAACAUCCUGGGAGCUAUGUUUUCUUGUCAAAUGUUUAUGCAGCAGUUGGUAGAUGGGAAGAUGUGGAGAGGGUAAGAAUGUUGAUGCAGAAUCAAGCUGUUGGCAAAGAUCCGGAGUGGAGUUAUAUUGAAGUCAAUGGACAAGUGCAUAGUUUUGUAGCUGGUGAUCAUGAUCAUAAGCGUGCAAGAGAAAUAUACUUGAAAUUAGAGGAAAUAGUGUCUGGUGCAAGAGAGCAAGGAUAUAUGCCUGAAACUGGGUGGGUUCUUCAUAAUAUUGAGGAAGAAGAGAAGGAAGAUGCAUUAGGAAGUCACAGUGAGAAAUUGGCGCUUGCCUUUGCCUUAAUGAACACUCCUCCGGGGACAACUAUUAGGAUAGUGAAGAACUUAAGAGUAUGUGGAGAUUGCCAUUCUUUGAUGAAAUGUGCUAGUAAGAUGAGCCAAAGAGAAAUCAUAUUGAGAGAUAUAAAGAGAUUCCACCAUUUCAAGUAUGGGGUCUGCUCAUGUGGAGAUUAUUGGUAAAAUGGUAAGUAACAGCAACAUUAAUUUGCUUUGCUGUUAAUAGCACAUGAUUAGUGCUUCUACUUGGUUUAUUUAGAAUAAUGCUUUUAGUUAAAACAUGGAUGUAGCUACAGCAACACAAGUUUUUUUGUUUGAUAAUUGGUAGCAAGUACAUUAAAUUUCUCCAAUGGACCUUUCUGCACAUAUAUAUUAAACUUGAAACUCAUUAGUUAAGUUUGUACUUUAUUUAGGUAUCUAAUUAACGUUGUUAGAUUUUUUCAAUUUCAACUUAUCAUCUUGUGCCACUUCUUUCUCUUCCCUUUAGUGAAAUUUAGCACUUUAAAAGAUGGGUUGCAUUUUGCUCCCUCUGUCAAAAAAAAUGGACAGAUUAAGCUAUACACGUUAGAUCAAAGAGCAAAUAGGUCUUUUUGUUUAAAAAUCCAUCAAUUUUUGUUGUUAAAAAUCAAUCCAUUUACAUCAACAUAAAAUAUAUAACUGUUUGGGUAUCUCAUCAUCCAUGUUAGUUUUUAGCAAUACAAAUGGAUAGAAUUUUUAACAAAAAAAACCAGUUUAUUGUUUGAUCUAACAUACAAUGACUAAUUUGUCAAUUUUUUAAGUAAAUAAAGCAUAAUGCUAAUUGACUCUUAGUAUAAUAUCUCUAUGGUACUUUUAUCAAUACUAUCUCUAUUUAUGAAAUUAAAAAUACUUAAAUAAUUAGAUUUAUUGUAUAUUGUGAUAAAAAAUUAUGUAAGAAAUGCAUUUAUUAAAAAUCCAUAUAAAAUCUAAAUGAUGAUUGUAAAGUUAAAUGUUCUGGUGCAAGAGAGCAAGGAUAUAUGCCUGAAACUGGGUGGGUUCUUCAUAAUAUUGAGGAAGAAGAGAAGGAAGAUGCAUUAGGAAGUCACAGUGAGAAAUUGGCGCUUGCCUUUGCCUUAAUGAACACUUCUCCGGGGACAACUAUCAGGAUAGUGAAGAACUUAAGAGUAUGUGGAGAUUGCCAUUCUUUGAUGAAAUGUGCUAGUAAGAUGAGCCAAAGGGAGAUCAUAUUGAGAGAUAUAAAGAGAUUCCACCAUUUUAGGUAUGGGGUCUGCUCAUGUGGAGAUUAUUGGUAAAAUGGUAAGUAACAACAACAUUAAUUUGCUUUGCUGUUAAUAACACAUGAUUAGUGUUUCUACUUGGUUUAUUUAGAAUAAUGCUUUUAGUUAAAACAUGGAUGUAGCUACAGCAACACAAGUUUUUUUGUUUGAAAAUUGGUAGCAAGUACAUUAAAUUUCUCCAAUGGACCUUUCUGCACAAAUGAUAUAUGUCCCCAUAAAGAACUUGGUGCUCACGGUAUUGCAUGACAGGUAGCCAUAGGUUAUUCGCUCUCUUGAUUGGUAUCUUACAUUCCUCAAGGUCCAAAAGUUGUUCCUUCUUUUUGUCUGAAGUCCAAACCUAAGAAAAGCAUUGAUGGGCCUUUAAAACUUUGCUCAUUUCACUACAUGAACUAUUGGAUGUUUUGUGUUCAAAUUAGUUUAUGCCAGUAGUGAAAGUACAUCUCUUUCUCCUUAUCCAGUUAUUCUUUUCAGUUGUCAUCAUCUUUCUGUGUCUUGCCUUCUGAAGUGUUUAGAUGACUGCAUUUCUCAAUAUAAUUUUCAUUUGACCUAAAUAGUUGAAAUUAAAGUCCCUUAUCAUGCCAUUCAUUACUUUGCUUCUAUAUGGUAGUUAUUCUUCAAUGUCCAUGAAUUGACAUAUAUCACUGGAAGCAUAAUCUUACUUCUAAGCAUGGGAUUGACCUUCUUUAAUGCAGGUUCUUCUGUAAGACUCAAACCAUAGAUGGGCAAGGCUUGAGAAAAUAAAGUUGUAAGUGUUGAACCAGGAAGGACGAUGUUGGCCAUGUUAUAAACAUUCCUCCAGAAUGACUAAACAUCGAGGAAAAGGUUCAACCAUGAGUGGUCCACUGAAACGUGCUUGGUCGAACACGUGCCAAUUAUCAGCUACGUAUCAAAUCCCACAAUUAUAAAUGUAGAUUGGGUUCCAUGCUCUGGUUAAUCCAUUAGAUGACACGGUCCAUUGAAAAGGUACUAAAUUACUGAUGUUUGGUCCAUAUAUGAAUCUGUUUAUUUAAUGGCCAGCAUUAAUUGUUAAUUCUCUUGUUUGCGGGUGACUUUUCCUCUAGCAUGCCUUAUGGAAAGAAGUGUCAGUGACAACCUUUUAAUCAACAGCAACUUACCCUACUAAUGAGCAUUUGGAGCAUUUCAUAGCUCGUUCAGUUUAUUCAAAGACUCAUUUUUACCUGCACAGCAUGUUCCCGCCCAGUAAUCAGUGGGCCAAUUAAUGAAGGAGAGGAUAGUUUGCUAGACACAUGUUUUUUGUGUGAGCUUUCUGGUCUUUUAUGUAGUUGUGGUGUUGACAAUUUUUGUUGUUCUUUACAUAAAUUCUUAUUGGCUAAGCGCUUGGUUUUCUUUUAUUGGAAAGUGCAUCACAACCUGUCGUUACUCAACAAUGGCCAAUUUUCUUGCAUAUCACAUCUUCAGGCAAUGUGAUUAUGUUGAAAAUUGGCCUACCAUGCUUGCUGUAAUACUUCCGGAUGAAGUACGUGCUAGCAAUUGUUCAUGCUGCAGCACGUAUGCUUGCUGUAACAGCAAGAUUUUUGUUUUAGUUUCACUGUAAUCAGCCUAGUUGGAAAUGAACAAGCUGAUGACAGCUUGAUAUGUUUAGGUGUUGAAUGACUAAUUUAGGUGGCUUGUUUCUGUGUACAAGCAAUGUUUUUAAAGUUAGUAGGCUACUUAGUGGUAGUAGGUAGUAAUAACUGAUGUAGUUGGCUAUAAAUGUAUUGUUUUUUUAUUGAAAAAUUAAGCAUAUCAGUGGUUAAAACAGAUUGCUUCCUUGCUGCACGUUUGUGAGCAAGUAAAUUAUUCUUGCAGCUUGCUUCAUUGUCUUGUUCUGUUCUCUGUUUUCUUCCUCUGCUGUCAAAAAACCCAACAGAUUAGCUAUCGUGAAGAUUUCAACAAAGUCGGUUCGUGUUGAUUCAAGGAAAAAAAGAUAUUACGAUUUGAUUUCCUCACCUAAUUGUUUUACUAUGCGAAGUUGGAUUGUGAGGAAUAUUUUGUUGAUUUCUGCAUUUUGAAUAAAGAGCUCUUAGGUUUGUGUGGCCGACGUUUAUAGUUUUAUCUUUCGAUUUUAUCUUUUUUUUUGUAUGAAAUUUAAAGUUUAAUCAAAACUAAUUGUUAUGUGUAUGUAAUAGCUAUUUGAAUUAAAUUAAAUUGACAAAUCAACGUACACUAGUGCAUACUAAAAAAAAUGUAAUAUAAAAUUAAACCAAAAUUGAAUCUAAAACUUAAAUAUUUUAAAACCUCAAACAUAUGGCAACUCUUCACUCCUCUUUCCCUCUGAAGUUAUUUUAAUUUAAAAUAUAUUUUGUAUAAUGUGUUAUAACAAUUCAACUAAACAAAGUGAUUCUCUUUGCAUAACAUAUUAUAUGCUUAUAUAAACUUUUACACAAUUUGUUAUAGAUACAUUUUUAAUAAUUGAAUGAUGACUCCAUUAAAAAUGCAAUAUCAUAAUAAUUCUACAUUUCUUGCAUUAAUAUAAAAUUUUCCUUUUUUUUUCCUCCAAGCCUUGUUUAUUAUCUUUUGUUUUGCCAAAUGGCAGUGCCAGCUUUCAGGCUAGCUAUCGCCCGCCUUUUUCUCCCUCCCAUUAAUCCUUUUUUUCUUUUUUCUUCUCAUUCACUCCACAUGUCUUCUUUCUUUUCAGUUUGUAGAUCUAUUUUAUGAGAAUCUUUAUUUUCUUCACAAGUUGUGAUAGACAGAUGACGACGCCUAUGUUCGUUAAAACUUCAUCGGCCACCAAUAAUUUUUCAGAAUAAUAAAUAAUUUCAUGAGUCGAUUUGGAUUCUUGUUAUCAUAAGUUUUAUAUAUUUUUUAGUUUGUUUUUCAUUGUUUAAUAGGUUUUUAGUUUUAGAAGUUUUUGUCUACUCUUGUAACACGUUUUUUAGUCUUGCUUAUGCAUGUAACCUUAGUUUUACAAGUGAUUUUAGAGAUGGUUUUGUUACCGUCUUCUCUAGUUUGGUGAAUGCUCAAUUCUUUUGUCCAUUUUUGCUCGUCACUUUGGACCAUUCGAGGCUGAUUUUCUUUAUCGCAUUAAGUGCUUGCGAUCACUCCAAAUAUAUCGUGCUUAAGUUGUGAUAAAGCCUGUACAAGCCCAAUUUUUAUGCCCGGGCCCAAUUGACCCAACAAAACCGAACGGCCCAACAGACUAAGGCCCAAACCCAACAAAGACUAGGGUUUCAGAACCCUAGCCCCUCCAUCAGCGCCGCAUGCUAGGGUCUCUGACUUCUGCCCCGUCGGCGCAAACGGCGCACCUACCCCGUCCGUGUCACGUCUCCUCCAUCGCCCUACACCUGCAAACAAUAAAGAGAGAAGCAGACAACACAAAACAGGGGAAAGAUUGAAUCUUUUUUUUUUGUUCUUUCGGUUAUAAAGCCGAACGUAUCAAAUAAGAAAAAGGGGGGAUUUUUUGCAAAAAAAGAAAAUCACAUCAGAAAUAAGAAAAGGAACAAAGGUUGCUGUGUUCUUCAUUUUAUUCUUUUUUGAUUCGUUUACUUUCAUUUAUUUUUAAACAAAUCCGUUAAAAAAUAUAUCAAUAAAAAGGAAAAGAAAAAAAGGAGCGCACCUGAAUCGCUCUCUGGCUCCGUCGACGGAGGUUCUCUCGCCGUUGUCGGCCCGGAUCUGAAGGAGGGAUUCAGAGCCCUUGUCUCGGCGCUCGUAGGGGUUCAAGGACCCGAUUUUCAAAUCGCCCGAAGGCCAGGCUUUUUAAAAACCCUUUGUUGCGCUUCGUUGGCCGCCGUUUCGGUGGCGGUGCGACGGACAGACGGACGAUGGUGAAAAGCCAAUCGUCGGAGGGCAUGAAGAGAGAGUGGGGGAAAGAGUUCUGAAUUUUUUUUUUUAAAAGAGGGAUGAAAUGAUUUUUUUAGGGGUUUUGAUUUAUAUAAGGAUCCAAAACGGCGCCGUUUUGGAAGGGUCAGAAAGCCCCUAAAACGACGCCGUUUUUGCAUAAGACCCGAGACCCAACCCGUCUGCCUUAGGGGAUCCGCGUGUUUUUUACGGAAGGGCUAAUUUCACGUUUAAUCCUUCCGCUUUUUAAUUAUUUUAAAAUUAGGUUCUUUUGAUCUUUUUAAUUUUACCCGGAAAUUGUUUUCGUUUUCAAUUUGAUCCUUACCCAAACUACGUCGUUUUAAAGAAAGGGCCAUUUCUUUGUUGGUCCCUCCAUGUUUUAUGCUUGUUUAGAGCAGUCCUUCCCUUUUCGUUUAUUUGCGUUUUGAACCCCCCGAAUUUUGUUUUAAUGUUUAAUCUAAUCCUUCUGCUAUUUUGUUUAUUUUCUUAACAAAUUUAUUAUUAUUAUUAUUAUUACAUAUUCAUUUAUAACAUCUAAUUUUAGAUUUAAUCAUAUAUAUAAAUAUACGUCCAUGAUAUAUACCUACUUUUUAUAUAUACUUUAUAAUUUAUAUAUACAUAUACACAUUUUAAUUUAUGUACAUAUCUACACAUAUUUUUCAUACUUUACUCAUAUAUAUAUACAUGUACUUAUACAUAUUCUUUAUAUCUUAAAAUCCAUAUUUUUCUUAUGUAUAUAUUUUAUAUUUUAUAUUUUAUAUAUAUGUGUUUAUAUAUUCUACGAUAUAUAUUUAUAUGCAUAAUAAAUACAUAUCUAUAUACGUUUCGAUUUUUAUAAACACAUAUAUAUGUAUGCAUACCUUUAUAUUUCUUAUAUUAAAUACAUAUAUAUAUAUUUAUAUAUCCCUUUAUACUUCUAAAAUCAUAUAUUUUGUAUAUAUUCUUUAUAUUUUAUGAUUCCUAUAUGUACCCACAUAUAUACUUUUUGUAUUGUAUGAUUGUUAUUUACGUAUAUGUACGUACAUACAUACUUACACCUAUUUUCAUGUAUAAUAGCCUUAUAAUAUGUGUACAUACAUGUAUUUUUCAUAUUUCCAUAUACAUACACAUAUAUCUUUUUAUUUUAUAUAAUCUUACUCAUUUUAUUUAUUUAUUUAUUUACAUGUCUAUUAUUAUUAUGCUCUAGUUUUUAUUUAUUUAUUUAUUAUUUGUUAUUGUGCUUGCUUGAUCCUUUUAUAUAUUAAUCUUAUUUUUUAUUUUUAUUUUGAUCAUGUCAUUUUACUUACAUUAUCAUCAUCAUUCCGUUACACUCAUUUUUUUGUUUAGAUUUCAAAAAAAAAAAGAAGAAAUUUUAAAAAUAAGUAACACUCGGUAUUUUGGAUCUUCGAGAGAAUCGAGUCCUAACGUAUUGGGUUCCGACUUUCUUCGUUGAAUUUAAAUAAUCGAGAUUACUCUUUUAAAAAUGAUAAAAAAGCUCGUUAUCGAGAAUUCAAUACGUUGUGUCCCAACGGAUUGGACGUAACACGGUGUUUUCUCGAGACGAGGAUUUUUCGAAAUAAACGUAAUAUUCAAUGUUUAAUCUUUUGAGAAAUUGUGCCCUAACGUAUUGGGUUGUGAUUUCUUCAUUUGAUUUAAACAAUUGAAUAUCCUUUUAAACUUUAUUACAUGGAUCUUUUCAAACUCAAGUUUUAAACAACCUCGGGAAUUAAAAGAGGAUCGUGUCCUAACUUACUGGUCGUAAUCCCUUUUUUAAUUCGAGAUCGUUAAAUAUCUUUUAAAUAAGCUUUUUUCAUUCGCGUAUUGGGAAUUCGACAUAUUGUGUCUUAACUUGCUAGAUAUGAUAUUCUGUCUCGAAUAACGUGAAAUAUGCCCCUUUUCCUGAAAAUUUUCAACGUUUUAAUACAAGGAUCGUAUUUUUAAAAUUCUUCUAAGUUAUCAAUUUUCGACACUAAGACAUUAACUAAUCAACUAGGUACCAAUUUUGGGCGUAUCGAGGGUGCUAAUCCUUCCUCGUGCGUAACCGACUCCCGAACCCGUUUUUCUGAAUUUCGUAGACCAGACUUGUUGUUUUAAUAAAAUUAAAUUGUUUAUUAAAAACAACCACUUUUCGAGGUGAUCCAAUCACCCCUCAUAAAAAAGGAUUGGUGGCGACUCCCGUUUUUUUAUUUUCGUCAAAACCCAAGUCGACCCCGUUUUUCAUCCAAAAAAAUGGUGUCAACAAAGCCAAUUGUCAACAUGUCAUAACGUUCUAUUUAUGCUAAGGCUAAAGCCUUCGUUGGGUUGUUGGAGCUUGUCAUUUACCAUCUACGACGAGUGCUUAUUUUUUUCCCUGAAUUGUAUGAUUCCAUUCAUUGAAUGAAUUAACGAAUUUACCUUUCAAAAGAAAAAAAAUUCAUAAAUUUUGAAAUACAAAAUGAAUGUGUUUUGAUAUUUUUAGGGCAAUGGUUUAGUGGUUUAAAUUUUUUUAUUUAAUAUGGUGAAUUUAAUUAUAAUUUUUUAUUUAUUAGAUAGUAGAAUAUCUCUUACCAUUUAUAAUUAAGUUUAGGUUAAAAUAUUUUAUUAAAUUUUUGGACUUUUCACAAAUUUUAAAUUUAAUCUGUUUACUUUUAUUCAAGAAUUUAAUCUCUCUGCAUAUAAAGGAGGUAAUUAUGGCAAGGGGAAUUACCAUGGCAGAGGUAGCGGAGGCUGAGGAAGAGAUGCUGGAUAUGCUGAAGAAAGAUAGAUGGCUGAGAAACAGAAAAACUUUAGGAACAAUAUUCAGUGUUAGAAGUAUGGGGAUGUGAAGGCAGAUUGUUGGAAAAGGGGAAAACAAGCAAAUUAUGCGGAAGAUGAUGAAGAGAUUUAAGUUAUUUAUGAGCUGUCUAGAUGACACCAUAGCUUCAACUAACAUUUGGCUUCAAGGGCGUAUAUCUCAUGAUGAAGAGAUUGUCUCUCUUCUUUUUUCUCAUAACAUAUUAUACGCCAUGAUAAUAAAUUUUGAUAUGCCUAUAAAUUUGAGUCUCUAUUAUUUGUAAUAUGACAUGUUUUAAUUAUUUUUUAUAUUAUGCCAUGAUUUGGUUCACUCCAUAAGUUAUAUAAAUUUAUUAUAAUAAUUCAAUUAAUUUAAUUUAGAUUAAUUUUACAUUUUUGUCCUAACUUUAGUUUUUAAUAAUUGAAUCAUCCCACCAUUAUAUUCAAUUACAAGUGUAAUACGAUUUUGCGUCAUCCCGCACCAUUAUUCUCAGUGUAAUUUUUGGUAGUGAGCAUUGAAGGGGAGAGAGAGAGAGAACAAAGAAAGAACUUACUGUAAUUUUUGGUGUAUGUAAUCGAUAACCCUCAAUGCUUAAAAUGAAAAAGAAAAUAGAAAACAAAGGUGGCAAAGUUAGUUACAAUGCCAGCUAAUUCGUUAUUGCUAUCCACAUGAAGAAUUUUAUAACCCCAACUACACGAUUUUAUGUCUACCAGCUCUCACUUUUCAUAUUUUUUGGCCAUUAGUUAUUCUAAGAUUUAACAUCACCGUUAAGCCAUGUUUAAACUCUUUUUCUUAUAUAAUAAUUAUAUUAUAUUUAAAAUUGAAAAAACUAACCAACCAAAUAUAUAUUAAUUAAUUAAUAGAAGUUUUUUGGUCAUCGAUUAAAAUAAAUCAAGAAAGACGUUGGAACCACCAACUUCUCUUUAAGAACAACACGAAUACAAGAAUCUAUGCACAACAAGUUCUAAAAUGUAUUAAGUAAAUUCAUCAUCAUGCCUUAAAAAAAGAAGAUCUCGAUAUAUCUGCUUUUGCCAAAGCAUCCGCCAUACCAUUACUUUGCCAGUGAAUAAUUGUGAACUGAAACUUAGCCAAUUGAGUGAUAUUAAUUAUAGAAAUGAUUCUUCUUGCAACCAUAGAUGAAACACCACUGAGACUAACAAACUUGGAGAAACUUGAUUUGAGUUUUAACAUCUUCAGGAACAACACAAUUUCGUUUCUUGAAGGACUUUCAAACUUAAAUUAGUCCUUGGAUAUGCAUAAUAACACUCUGCAAGGCUCAUUAAUAGAUAUUAAAGGUACUGAAGCUAUAACUUUUUUUUCUUGAUAAUUCUUUUUAAAAUAUUUCAUAAUUAAUUGUUCUGAAUUUGUACAUUCACUUCUCACAUUUCUGGGUUUUUUUUGUCCUCAACUAAAUUAAACUUAUGCAAAUUUCUUGAAUAUUUAAGUUAAGAGUUAACGUCAAAGUCAAGAGUUGAUAAGUAUUUUGUGGUCCAUUCAUAUCUUUAUUACAAAAAAAAAAUAUUCAAGAAAUUUGCAGCUAGUUGGAGUUUUGCAAUAAGGAAUUUCCACCAAGAGUUUUGGAGGAAUCAUAUCUCUAACAAAAGAAAGACCUUCAUUUGACUAAAUUUUUUAGUAUUUAUUUUAACUUCCAUUUUUAUUAAAAAAAAGGUAAAAAAAUAUGCCAAACAGGGUCUUUAGGUUACUUUUUUUAGAACUAUAUUAUGUUAUAGUACCAUAUAAGUUAGAGGAGCACAAGUUUAGAUUCAUCCAAUUUUUGAGGAAUUAAUUAAAUAUAUAUUAUUUUAAUAUUAUAGUGUAUAGGGGCAAAGUUAGAAAAAAAUUUUUGUGGAGUCGAAAUUAAAUUAUAGUUUUUACAAUAGUUAAAAAAAAUAAUUUCACUAUUUUAAAAGCAUAUAUGUUGUAAGCACUAAAUUUUUGUCCGACUAGAGUUUGUGUUUAAUUUUCAAAAUUUCAAAAAAAAAUUUUAAAAAUAAAAAUUGCAUUUUGACCCCUAAAUUUUUCCUAAAUUUCAUUUUGACCCUUAAACUUUCAUUAAAUUUCACUUAGACCCCUAAACUUUCAUUAAAUUUCAUUUUAAUCCUAAAUUUUCUAAAAAUUACAUUUAGCCCCAGAAGUUUUGCUGUAUUUGUGAUUUGGUCCUUCAGACACGUUACGUGAUUUGGGGCACCCACUUCCCAGAUUUUCAGGCCACAAUCACCCACUACCUGCAAACAAUGAGAAAGAGGACAAAAUUUGGAGCUUUUAAAAAGAAAAAAAGAGAAGAGGAAGAAAAAAAGGAGAGAAAAAAACAAGCAGAAUUUUUAGAGAAAAAUAAAAAAAGAAGCUCUCAAUCCGGCCGAUUGCCUCCACCGCCACCACGUCCGUUGCGCCACCACCAUUGUCAUCUCACCAUCGAGUCCUAAACGCAAACAAAACAAAAACAAAGAAAAAAGCAAGCAAAAGAGAAAAGGAGAAAGUGCAAAGAAGAAAAAGAAAAAGGAAAAGGGGAGAGAGCAUACCUCCGUGCACGCCAUUGUCGGCCGUCGCACCAGGCGGAGGGACAUCACCGGCGAGACAAAGGAGGUGCUGCUGAUCGGGGAGAAAGAAAGGAAGAAAAAGAAGAAGGAAAGAAGAAAAGGGGAAGAAGAAAGAAAGAAAAAAGAAAAAAAAACUAAAAAAAAUAGCAGGCCAUUUUGGUGGACCAGAUUCAGCCCAACAAGAAGCAGCCCAAACCAGUCCUUUGGCAGCCAAUAGCAACAGCCCAACAGCAAAAAAAAUAAUAAAAGGGGAGGCCCAAAAUUUAAGCCCAUAACUUUGGGCUUUUGGGUAAUUUUUUUUCUUUUUUUCUUUUUAAUCUAUUUUAUUUUAUUUUAUUUAUUUAAAUGGUGUUUUAUUUAAUUUAAAUUAGUAUGCUUUAAAACAGUUUUCAUAAAUAUUAUUAUGUCAUUUAAUUGCAUAUUUUUUUUAAAAAAUAAUAAUAUUUUAAUGCAUAAGGCAACGAACCGAUUUAGCAUCGAGUCAUCGAAUUCAUCGCUAUGUUGGAUGGAUAUCGAUAGCUCGUGUUAAAUUCGGGACACCCUUUUAAAAAUAAAAAUAUUCAAAAAUCCUCGUAUUUUAAUAAAAAUUCUCGUGUUUUAUUAGAAUCCCGAUUAAAUAUUAAAUUGAAUUGAGUUAACAUUAAUUCGAUGGUUUCAUCGCCAUAUCGGGAUGAAUAUCAUCGAUUCGUGUUAAAUACGGUAUUUUUUAAAGAAAAAUUGUGUUUCAAAAAUUUUCAUGUCUUCAAAAUUUCUCGUGUUUCGUAUUUUAUCAAAAAAUUUAUGUUUUCAAAAACAAAUUUUCUGUUUUAAAAAUUUUCGUGUUUCAAAAAGAAGAUUCGUGUUUUCAAAAAUAAAAAUAAAAAAUCUCGUGUUUUAAAUUCUUCGUGUUUUUUAAAAAAAAAUUUUGUGUUUCUAAAAUUCUUGUAUUUUAAAAUUUUCGUGUUUUCAAAAAAGAAAAAGUUGUUGCGCUUUAAAAUUCUCGUGUUCAAUCGGAUCACGACUAAUAUUAAAUUGAACUCGUAUUUUUGAAAAUGAAGACAAUGCGCGUUUAACGAGAUACCAAUUUUGGGCGUUGCGAGGGUGCUAAUACCUUCCUCGCGCGUAACCGACUCCCGGACCCUAAUUUUCUCUGGAUUUUUACGUGGACCUAAAAUUACCUCUUUUUUAGAAAAGUUUAAAAAUAAAUUUUUCUUCUAAAAAGAGAAUUUUAUAGGUGUCCGAUCACACCUAGAAAAAAUAUCGGUGGCGACUCCUUUUUCAAAUAAAAUCGAGAUUCAGUUUUCAAAUUUACAAUAAUUACUUCGACUAGCGCCCGUGCCGAAAUUUUUAGGUCGCUACAGCUGGCGACUCCGCUGGGGAACCUUUUUGAGAGUCGAGUCGAAUUAAACUCGCGUUGUCAAAAUUUUCAAAGUUUCUUGUUCAAAUUAACAUUUAGUCGUGAUCCUUAAAUUUUUUGUUUUCAAAAAAAUCAUGCAUUUGCAUCGUGUUGUAUAUAUUCUAACUUGUUUUAUCAGGUUGUUUUUCAGCUUUAAAUUUUUGCGGUUUUAGUUUUGGUUUAGUUUUUCUAAAUAAAACGUAAAGGUUUACAAGUUUCUCCCCACACACCGUGCACGUGCAUUUAUGUUGCAUAACAUGAGCUCUAUACCCGGGCUCUGUCCCUGUUAAGAGAAAGUAAAUGCUACGCCUUCGUGAGUUAACUCGUUCCUCCGCACAGGCUAGUGAAUACUUUCGGGUUACAUAUGACUUAUGCUUUCGUGAGUUAACUUGUCCCUCCGCAUAGGCAUAAGUAAAUGUAAUCCCUCGAAUUGAUCUCGUAAGCCUAUGAUGGGCCAUGACCGAGGCUCUGUACUAAUCUUAGUAGAUGACAGUGCAGACGAUUCGAGUACCCACCUAGAACCAAAACCGCAUAUAGUGAACCAUACGAGCUAUCCAAUUAGAGUCAUGCCGAACCUCUGUCCGCUUAUAGUCAUCAAAAUAAGUACACGGGGAAAAUGCCUUUUGCCUUUCAUUUACACUGUUUAUGCAAAAUAAUUGGAUUGGGUAGUUUAAUUUGUUUUUCAAAUUAUAUUUGUUGUGUUUACUAACCAAGUUUGUUUGUUUUUACUUUUAUUUUCAUCAUGCAUCAUAGGCAUCAUAUUAGGAAGGUGUUGAUUAAAAGUUGGUUGCCAAAAAACGGGUUUCUGAUGGAAGAGUCAAUUACACAAAUAACCGAGAAGAAUGCCGUGGUUCGGGACUGGUCUCUAAAAAUUCAGAGAGAAAAGAGGGAUAGUCUAGUGGAAGGGUGUGUCACUAAUUUGCCCGAACAUAUAACUGUAAAUGUUCGCCAAAAUAACUUUGAGGAUUUGGUUCAAAUUUGGAAUCAGUGGGAUUCAGACACUAGAGACAUUUUCACUCAGAGGUAUGGAGAUAUAGCUCACCUGAUCAUCAUCCAUGUAGACGAACAGUUGAUUCAAGCCAUGGUUCGGUUCUGGGACCCAGCUUAUCAGUGUUUCACCUUCAAUCAAGAAGACAUGACUCCAACCAUAGAAGAGUAUGCUGCUUUACUCCGCAUCGACAAUGUACAAUUCGGCAAAAUAUAUGUGAAGGAGCCUAAACCGAUGACCUUCAAGAAAAAGUUAGUGAGACUGACAGACAUGACUGAUGCAUGGGCCGAAAAACAGAUAAAGAAGAAGAAUGAAACCAUUUGCAUUCCAUGGUCCUCCCUACGAGAUUUGGCUCUGAACCAUCCCAACAUGCUGAAAAGGGUAAAUCUAUUCGCUUUGGCCAUUUACGGUUUGGUCAUUUUCCCAAAAGUUCUCGGACAUCUCGAAGUUGCAGUAGUUGAUUUCUUCGAAAGGUUAAAACAAGGAAUCAACCCUGUCCCGACCAUCCUAGCCGAGACCUUCAGGUCCCUGAGUAGUUGUCGAAAAAAAGGGGAGGGACGAUUUAUCAGAUGCGCGCAGUUGCUCAAUGUUUGGAUUUUGAGUCACUUCUGGAAGGUAGAGCGCACUCCGUUCCAUAUGUUUUCUAAAACAUUCUCCCCGCUAGAAGCUUACCUCAAUAAAGAAUGGCCGAAGGAAGUCACCGAGCAACAUUGGGUAUCAGUUUUUCAAAAUCUUCGCACCGAGAAUAUAACAUGGAGAGCACCCUGGAUCCGUCCUUCAGUUCUGCUAUACAAAUGUGGAAGCCAAGAUUGGGUACCUCUACUCGGGUUUUGGGGAGGAGUUGGAUAUGCUCCGCUAUUAGUCCAAAGGCAAUUUUCUUCGCGACAAUUCCUCCCCGCAACUGGAGGAUUAGCACAGUUCGAGUUCGCUUUUGCGGGUGAAGGAUAUAUGAAGAGAGUCCGAGACACUGCAAAGUAUUGGAAGGAAAUUCAUUUCAUGGAAUUAGCUUUGUAUGUUGAUACCCUUACCCAAGAUUACGACAUAUGGAGGAAGCAACGGGUAAAUAGUCAGCAAAUCUCAUCAACAAACUACACCAUCCAGAAUCCUUUCUCGGAGAAAACGCCGUCUGAGCUAGAAAUGGCAAGACAAGAAUUCGAACGAGAAAAGGCCAAGAUGUCUCGGGACCUUAGUGCCCUUCAAGAAGAAAACUAUCAACUGAAGAUUGAAGUUCAGGUUGAAAGGUCCAGGACUGAAAAGUACAAAAAGAAGCCGAGAUUGUGAGAAACGACUUAAGGGACCUUCAUUUGGAAAACAAGAAAUUAAGAAACACUAUAAAGAAUAGCGGGUUGGGUAAGUCGACAGCAGAAUGGAAGGAAGAAAUUAGCAAUAUCAAGGGAGGAAUGGAGUUUUGGAAGGGAAAAGUAAAGAAAGAGGAGGAAAAGGCUGCGCGCGCUGUGAUAGAGUUAAGAAGGAAGAACGACGAGUAUGAAAUAGUGACUGCAAAAUUUGCGAAUAGUCAGUCUGAAUAUCAAGAAUUAAAAAGGAAAGCACGAGAUCUAGAAAAUAUGCUGCAAUCUCGUCAACAACAAUUAGAUAACCUCCUGAAGGCUCUAGAGGAAAAGCAUGAUCAGUACGAUAGGGACAUUCAGGCGUAUGAAGGAACUCUCAAAGAAAAAGAAAUGCAACUCGACUUCUUGAUCAAUGAAAUUCGUAAAGCGGCUAUGCAAGUUGUUCAAUUAUCAGAUGAAGCCGAAGUUAUCAGUUGCCAAUUCCCUCCGAGCCAAAGAUCGAGCAUAUCAGAGUUUUUAGAGCAAGUGAAUAAACAAGGCAAUGUGGCUAGGAAAUUUGUGUAACUGUUGGAAAAAUGAGAACUUUGUGUAAUAGACUAUGUUGAUAAAUGAAAUGCCUAAAUAUGGGGCUAUCUUGAAAUCAACACCAAAUUCUUGCAUGUUUACUCAUAACUAACAUUUAUGCAUCAUUUAUUCUUUGGACAUUCAUCCAUUCAUAUACUCAUUCAUUCAUUCAUCACGAGUACAUAUCACCAUAAUCAUCCACCGAAACUAAAGAACCGUAUAAUCCGCAGUUGCAAGAUUUCAAAUCUGGAACCACGCAAUUCCUAUAAAACGCGCCGACAAGCUAGAGUAAUGGAGGAUGAAUUCAAUGAGAGAAUUGAAAGGAUGGAAAGGGCUCAAAAGGAAUUACAAGAGUAACUGGCCAAAUCGCAGCAAGAGACGAGAGACCUAAUGGUGAGAUCUCGAGAGGAAUCACUCGAGCAAAGAGAUCAGAUGGCUAAAAUGAUGGAGAUGAUGACAACUUUGGUCAAAGGAAAAGGACCCAUGCAGAACUCCGAUGUUAUGGAACCUCGGUCAAGAAUUCACCAUGAUCAGGAUCCACUUUAUCCCCCAGGAUUUACUCCACCUCAUGUCCACGCAAUACAACGAGGAUACCCCCAAAGGGAACCUACAGGCCUAGAACAACAUCUUGCUCCGCCCACUAAUUUGGGGCAAGGAAUGUUAGCGUCGAACCUUGGGGCUAGUCCUGCUAAUCCACUAGUUCCAGAUCUGGAUGACCUAGCAGAGGCAGCCAAGUUGAAAUUGGAUAACCAUGACGCAAAAUAUAGGAGUCUAGAGGAAAGACUCAAAGCAAUAGAAGGCACUGAAGUCUUCUCCGCACUAGGUGCCAAGGAACUCAGUUUGGUACCUGAUCUAAUUUUGCCUCCGAAGUUCAAAGUGCCUGAUUUUGAGAAAUAUGAUGGGACAAGGUGCCCAAAAGCACAUCUCAUUAUGUUCUGUCAAAAAAUAACCGGUUAUGUGAACGAGGAUAAGCUACUCAUACAUUGCUUUCAAGAUAGUCUAACAGGGUCAGCUCUUCGGUGGUACAAUCAACUUAGUAGAGAAAAGAUUCGAUCCUGGAAGGACUUGGCGUCAGCAUUUUGCGAACAGUACAAGCAUGUAUCGGAUAUGGUGCCAGACCGUAUGACCUUGCAAAUGAUGGAGAAAAAGCCAUCAGAGACCUUUAGACAGUAUGCGCAGAGAUGGAGAGACGUCUCAGCUCAAGUGGAACCCCCACUAACAAAAACGGAGAUAACCGUUCUCUUUAUCAAUACUUUAAAGGCACCGUUUUAUGACAAAUUAGUGGGAAGUGCCACGAAAGAUUUCGCGGAUAUUGUAAUAUCCGGUGAACUCAUAGAGAACGCCGUCAAGAGCGGUAGAAUGGAAGGAUCAGAAGGCUCAAGAAAAGCAGCACCCUUAAGGAAGAAAGAGCCAGAAGCCCUCAUGGUGGGAACUGGGAGUCGUUACAUUCCCAAUUCAUAUCCUAAUCAACCCCGACCUCGAGAUUAUCCACCCUCGAGUUUCCAUUAUCCCCCUCAAACCCCUUGCUACCAAGCACCACAUCCGUCCUGCCCCGUAUACGCUACGAACAACCAAAGACCCGUCACCACUUUCCCACAAAACACGGUACCCACCCAAAGCCAACCCAGAAACGAACCAAGACCAUCAAGGCAUAAUCCUGAGAGACCGCAAUUUACCCCCAUCCCUGUGUCGUAUGGGGAAUUGUACCCAAAACUUUUAGAAAAAUAGCUAAUUUCUCCCCAUUACAUGGCACCCCUUAAACCUCCAUACCCAAAGUGGUACGAUCCAAACGCUAGUUGUGCAUACCACGCAGGGAACCAAGGGCACUCUACUGAGAACUGUCUCACUUUCAAAAGGAGAGUUCAAGGACUCAUUGAUGCGGGUAUCCUACGAUUCGAUAGUGCUAGUAAAGCCACGGAGAACCCGUUCCCUAACCAUACCGAAGGGAAUGUGAGCACAGUGGGGAAAGAGGAUGAAUGGAAGGUCAGAAGAUGUGUAUCAGAAAUAAGGACGCCUCUGCAGAAAAUCUGGGAGGUAUUGGUUAAGAAAGGAUUGCUCUGUCACUCUGAUAGAAUUUUUGGAGAAGAAGGUCAAAGUUUUUGCAAUUUUCAUGGGAUUGUUGGGCACGACAUUCAGUCGUGCGAGGACUUUAAAAGGUUACUUCAAGACUGGAUGAAUAAUAAAGAGAUCAAGGUCCUUAACAAGAGUGAAGAUGCCAACGAAAGAGAAGUAUGUGUCUCUGAUAGCCAAUCACCAGGUCCCCCUUAUAGUGCUGAUCGACCGUUGGUAAUUUAUUACGACGCGAUGAGAGAGCCCUUGAAACCACAGAUGGUAAUUGAAGUACCAUCUCCUUUCCCGUAUAAGGACAACAAAACAGUACCGUGGAGAUAUGAUGUUAAUAUCGUUACACCGGAAGUUGAAAAGUCCAAAGCCAUAAUUGAAGAUGUUGGGGAGGUAGGUCAUUUUACUCGAAGUGGACGAUGUUAUUCUAAAGAAGUUGAAUCGGUAAAGAAAAGUAGCGACUCGAAGCAAAAAGGAAAAGCAGUGAUGCACAAGGUCGAAGUCGAGCAAGAAAUUCCACCCGUGCAAGAAACUAAAAAGCUUGUGAAUGAGGAAGAAGCUCAAGAAUUCUUGAAAUUUAUUAAGCACAGUGAAUAUAGUGUGGUGGAACAAUUGAGCAAGCAGCCAGCACGAAUCUCAGUUCUAUCUCUACUGUUAAAUUCAGAGCCACACCAGAACGCUUUAUUGAAGGUGUUAAAUCAAGCUUACGUGGCCAACAACAUAUCUGUCGAAAAGCUUGAUAGGUGGGUAAACAAUCUGAAUGCGGACAACUUCAUCUCUUUUAGUGAUGAUGAGAUACCGCUAAAUGGUAGAGGUUCGGUGAAAGCGCUGCAUAUCACGACCCGCUGCAAGGGCUACAUAAUACCGAACGUACUCAUCGAUAAUGGGUCAGCGUUAAAUGUUAUGCCAUUGGCUACACUUUCCAAAAUACCGAUGGAUUUGUCCUACUUAAAGCCCUGUCAUUCCAUGGUAAGGGCAUUCGACGGGACGAAGUGCAAAGUCAUGGGAAAGAUCGAAAUCCCUUUGGAAGUGGGCCCCUACAUCUAUGAGGUCGAAUUUCAAGUUAUGGACAUUACACCCUCUUAUAACUGCCUUUUGGGAAGACCUUGGAUUCAUUCUGCAGCAGCAGUCCCAUCAUCCCUCCAUCAAAAAGUGAAAUUCAUCAUGGAUGGCUGUUUGGUCACAGUCGAGGGCGAAGAAGACAUUAUCGCAUCUAUCUCUGUUGAUGCGCCAUACCUGGAAGUAAGCAAGGACGUAGUGGAAUGUUCCUUUCGAUCCCUUGAAUUCAUCAAUGCCACUUUCGUCGCUGAGGGAAAUAGAAUUUCGAUGUCAAAACUGUCGAGAAAUACCAGAAUGGGUGUCAAGUUGACCGUAGGAAGGGGAGCUUGUGCGAGAAGAGGUUUAGGGAGACAUAUGCAAGGAAUAGUGAGGGCUUUAAAGCCAGUGCACCACAAGGCCUGAUACGGUUUGGGGUUCCAGCCUGACAUGCGCCAAAGAAGAAGACAGUGGAAGAAGGAUCAAGAAAGAAGAAUUGCAAGAACUUUGGGCCGAGAACCAGAAUGGGAACCAAUAGAGUACCCUCCUUUGUCAAAAACAUUUACAUCUGCGGGAAUGAUGUACCCUGGACAAGAGGAUCCACGAAACAUGCUGGGAUUAAUUGAAAAGGAUUUUCAGAAUGUUAGUAUAAAUGUCAUUGACAAAGAAGCUGGUGCAAGUAAAGAUGUCUCGAGGAUACGCCAUUGCCCUCCUGGUUUCAUGUUGAACAAUUGGAUAGCUGAGGAGCUUCUUGUAGUUUAUAAGCCUUCAGAGUAAUGCUAAACAUCAACCUUCUAUUGUGUCCUUAGAUAUAAUAGAGUUCUUUUGUAAGAGUUUGCAUUCGCUCUUUAUCAUUUAAAUGAAUAUCAAUGAAGAUGCAUUUUGUCACGAUUUUUCGCAUUAUCACUAAUUUCAUAAUCAUUUUCUCAUUUCAUAGCCUAUCCUUACAUUUGCCUCAUUGCCAUGACAUAAAAUUUUGUUUGUUGUUUCCAAUACUUGGAUGUCCCCCGAUAGCUUCCUUUUCCAUUCAACUUUCAGGUGCUCAGAUAUUGACGACAUGAAUAAGCCCGUUACGAAUCUUGAAAUUGAUUUUGAGAAGGCUGUUUGCUUAGGAGAAUUUGAAGCCGAAGAAAAUGCUGAAGAUUAUGUCUCGUCUCUUGAAUUGUUAAGAAUGGUGGAACAAGAGGAUAAACAGGUUCUGCCUCAUGAAGAAUCUGUAGAAACAAUAAAUUUGGGCACUGAAGAGAGGAAACAAGAAGUGAAGAUUGGGACUUCUAUUUCAGAAAGUACCAGACGUAGUUUGAUCACUUUACUCCGCGAAUACAAAGAUGUUUUCGCGUGGUCAUACCAGGACAUGCCAGGGCUAGAUGAAGAUUUAGUGGUCCAUAAGCUCCCAUUAAAGCCAGAAUGCAAGCCCAUCCAGCAAAAAUUAAGACGGAUGAGGCCCGAAAUCCUGUUGAAAAUAAAAGAGGAAGUCAAGAAGCAAUUUGACGCUGGCUUCCUACAAGCCUCCAAAUAUCCAGAAUGGGUGGCUAACAUAGUCCCGGUACCAAAGAAAGAUGGAAAAGUACGAAUGUGCGUGGAUUACCGUGACCUGAAUCGAGCAAGCCCAAAAGAUAAUUUUCCCUUGCCACAUAUUGACACGUUGGUGGACAACACAGCAAAACAUUCAUUGUUUUCUUUCAUGGAUGGAUUCUCGGGGUAUAAUCAGAUCAAGAUGGCUCCUGAGGAUAUGGAGAAAACUACCUUCAUAACAAUGUGGGGAACGUUCUGCUACAAGGUGAUGCCAUUCGGGUUAAAGAAUGCUGGGGCAACAUAUCAGAGGGCUAUGGUGACAUUAUUCCAUGACAUGAUGCAUAAGGAAAUAGAGGUCUACGUCGAUGAUAUGAUUGCUAAAUCUCGAGGAGAAGAAGAGCAUGUAAUGAACCUCAAGAAGUUGUUCGAAAGGCUGAGAAAGUUUCAGCUAAAGCUUAAUCCAGCCAAAUGUACAUUCGGGGCUACCUCGGGAAAGUUGCUAGGCUUCAUUGUCAGUGAAAGAGGUAUCGAAGUUGAUCCAGAUAAAAUAAAAGGCAUCCAAGAAUUACCACAUCCGCCACGCAAAAGGAAGUUAGAGGAUUUUUAGGGAGAUUAAAUUACAUCGCCCGAUUUAUCGCUCAACUUACCAACCAAUGCGACCCAAUCUUUCGGCUUCUUCGAAAACAUAGCCCGGGAGAAUGGAACGAGGAAUGCCAAGUGACCUUUGAUAAGAUAAAACAAUAUUUGUCCAGUCCUCCAGUGCUAGUACCGCCAACUCCGGGAAGACCAUUAAUUUUGUAUCUGACAGUGUUCGAAAGUUCAAUGGGUUACGUACUGGGACAACAUGACGAGUCAGGAAAGAAAGAAAAGGCGAUCUACUACCUCAGCAAAAAGUUCACUGAAUAUGAGGCAAAAUAUUCGUCCGUUGAGAAAUAUUGUUGCGCUCUGGUUUGGGUAGCUCGGAGACUCAAACAAUAUAUGUUGUAUCACACGACAUGGCUAAUUUCAAAGCUGGACCCAAUAAAAUACAUGAUGGAAUCGCCGGCACUAUCAGGAAGAAUGGCACGAUGGUAGCUCCUCCUUUCGAAAUAUGACAUUGCCUAUGUAAGUCAGAAGUCAAUAAAAGGGAGCGCAAUAGCUGACUUCUUAACAACUCGAACGACAGAGGAAUAUGAGCCUUUAAGAUUCGAUUUCCCAGACGAAGACUUAAUGUGCAUCACAGAAAUAGAAUCCGAGUCAUCAAAAGAGAAGUCAUGGAAGAUGUUCUUUGAUGGUGCGUCAAAUGCUUUAGGGCAUGGAAUUGGAGCAAUCCUGGUAUCACCAGACGGGAAUCAUUAUCCGUUCACUGCAAGACUGAACUUCUUCUGUACCAAUAAUAUCGCAGAAUAUGAGGCCUGUAUCAUGGGGUUUCGUGCAGCUAUCGAACGAAACAUCGAGAUCUUAGAGGUGUACGGGGACUCAGCCCUAGUGAUUUACCAAAUCCGUGGAGAAUGGGAAGUGAGGGACUCAAAAUUGAUUAAGUACAGCGAUUUAGUGGCUGGAUUGAUCAAGGAAUUCAAAGAAAUAACUUUUCAUUACUUCCCACGAGAAGAGAACCAACUGGCUGAUGCCCUAGCCACUUUGGCUUCAAUGUUCAAAGCAAGUAGAGAAGCAGAAAUAAUGCCCCUCAAAAUGAGCAUAUACGAGGUCCCUGCACACUGUUGUAGCAUUAAGAAAGAAGUAGACGGACGGCCUUGGUUUCAUGAUAUCUUAGAAUAUAUCAAGAAUCAAAGGUAUCCCGAACAAGUAAAUGAGAACGAUAAAAGAACAAUUAGAAGAAUGGCAGCGGGAUUUGUUCUUGAUGGGGAUAUCCUGUAUAAAAGAGGAAAGGAUCAGAUGCUUUUGAGAUGUGUGGAUGAUGUUGAAGCCAGAAAAAUACUUGAAGAGGUCCAUGAGGGAGUUUGCGGAACGCAUGCCAAUGGUUUCAAUAUGGCCAGAAAGAUCAUGAGACUCGGUUAUUAUUGGCUGACAAUGGAAAGUGACUGCAUCAAUUUUGCCAGAAAAUGCCACAAAUGUCAAAUCUACGGCGAUAAAAUUCAUGUAGCCCCUUCACCCCUUCAUGUCAUGACUUCUCCGUGGCCUUUUUCUAUGUGGGGCAUGGAUGUCAUAGGGCCAAUUUCUCCAAAAGCUUCAAAUGGACAUCGAUUCAUUUUUGUGGUUAUCGAUUACUUCACAAAAUGGAUUGAAGCCGCUUCAUUUGCCAAUGUGACGAAGACUGCAGUGUGCAAGUUUUUGAAAAAGGAAAUCAUUUACCGAUAUGGUUUGCCUGAAAGAAUCAUCUCAGAUAAUGCCACGAAUCUGAACAAUAAGAUGAUGAAAGAAGUGUGUGAGCAGUUUCAAAUAAAGCAUCAUAAUUCCUCGCCCUAUCGCCCAAAGAUGAACGGGGCUGUUGAAGCAGCUAACAAGAACAUUAAGAGGAUCAUUGGGAAAAUGACUGAGACAUAUAAAGAUUGGCACGAGAAACUUCCAUUUGCUUUGUUUGCAUAUCGUACAUCUGUGCGAACAUCUACGGGAGCAACUCCUUUCUCUCUAGUCUAUGGAAUGGAAGCUGUGCUACCUAUCGAGGUUGAGAUCCCCUCUCUGUGAGUAUUGAUGGAAUCAAAGUUAGAAGAAGCAGAAUGGGUUCGAGCUCGAUAUGAUCAGUUGAACCUCAUUGAAGAAAAACGUCUAAGGGCAAUUUGUCAUGGGCAAAUGUACCAAAAGAGAAUGAUCGCAGCCCAUGACAAGAAGGUACGACAAAGAGAGUUCCAUGAAGGAGAACUCGUUCUGAGAAAGAUUCUCCCAAUACAAAAAGACCUGCGAGGAAAAUGGGCACCAAAUUGGGAAGGACCAUACGUUGUAAAAAAGGCAUUCUCGGGAGGAGCUUUAAUCCUUACCAAGAUGGAUGGGAAGGAGUUACCGAAUCUGGUGAAUUCGGAUGCGGUGAAGAAAUAUUAUGCUUAAGAUGAAAACCCGAAAAGGGCAUCUUAAAAAAAAAGGGUGAAAACCCGAAAAAGGUGUCUUGAUUAGUACAAAAAGAUUAGGAUGAAAACCCGAGAGGGCGUCCUAAUGAAACAAACCUGGCGGUCAAACGAUAGGUCAAGUAGUGAGACUACAGUAUUUGAAGCACUUCUGAAAGCUCGAAAUUUUCUACGCAAGAAGCCAUGCUCGAAAAGAUAAUUGAUUGAGGAACGUAGAAGAGUUCAUGUGUUGAAUAUCUAGAGCAUUAGUAUCCGUUGAAUACGACCUUUUCUUUCUUUUUGACAUUUUUACUCUCAUUGGUUAACUUUCUUUGUUUGCCACACUUGAAAUAAAGGAAUAUGAGAUAUCCUUUGUGUCCCUACCUGACCAUUUUCAUGCAUCUCAUUAUGUGUUUAUUUAAUGAUAAAUAGUGAAAUGACAUACUCUAAACAAAAGAAAUGUCAAGCAUUACCCGGAUAAGAAUUUGAUAAGUGCAAGAUCUUCAAAGCAAGAACAAAGUUUAACCAAGGGCAAAAGGGUGAUAUCUGAGAAACGUCGAUUACUCGUAAAGCUCGAAGACAGGUAUGAGGCCUGAAGAGAAGGUCGAGAAUCAAAGCAAUGAACGCAGAUCCUCAAAAAUCAUGGCAAAAAUGACAUACGACCAAUAUGCUUAAGGAGCACUGCAUAAUCAUGUAGGCAUAAAGGCAUUUAAGACAAACAUGUGCAUAUCAUGAUGACUUCAUGCAUGGCAUAUACAGGUAAUCCAGUAAAGCAAGAAAUCUUGAAUCGCACAGAAUCAAAGGAAAAGAUACCCGAGUUCUACCAAAGGACUGGUUUUGGUAUUUUGAUGUUUAAUAUUCAUGCUUUCCAAGGAAAAUCAACUCAUAUUGCGAGAAAUGAGUUGAGCCUCAAGACACGUUGAGCUAUUUUUAAUUUUUUUAAAAAUCAACUCAUAUUGCGAGAAGUGAGUUGAGCCUCGGGGCACGCCGAGGUAUUUUUAGUUUAUGUUUUAAAUUGACUCAUAUUGCGAGAGGUGAGUUAAGCCUUUUAAUUUUUGUUUCUCAAAAUUCAACUCAUAUUGCGAGAAAUGAGUUGAGCCUCAAGACACGUUGAGGUAAUUUCAAUUUUUGUUUUCAAAAUUCAACUCAUAUUGCGAGAAAUGAGUUGAGCCUCAAGACACGUUGAGGUAAUUUCAAUUUUUGUUUUCAAAAUUCAACUCAUAUUGCGAGAAAUGAGUUGAGCCUCAAGACACAUUGAGGUAUUUUCAAUUUUUGCUUUUCAAAAUUCAACUCAUAUUGCGAGAAAUGAGUUGAGCCUUAAGACACGUUGAGGUAAUUUCAAUUUUUGUUUUCAAAAUUCAACUCAUAUUGCGAGAAAUGAGUUGAGCCUCAAGACACGUUGAGGUAAUUUCAAUUUUUGUUUUCAAAAUUCAACUCAUAUUCCGAGAAAUGAGUUGAGCCUCAAGACACGUUGAGGUAAUUUCAAUUUUUGUUUUCAAAAUUCAACUCAUAUUGCGAGAAAUGAGUUGAGCCUCAAGACACAUUGAGGUAUUUUCAAUUUUUGCUUUUCAAAAUUCAACUCAUAUUGCGAGAAAUGAGUUGAGCCUCAAGACACGUUAAGGUAAUUUCAAUUUCUGUUUUUAAAAUUCAACUCAUAUUGCGAGAAAUGAGUUGAGCCUCAAGACACGUUGAGGUAAUUUUCAAUUUCUGCUUCUCAAAAUUCAACUCAUAUUGCGAGAAAUGAGUUGAGCCUCAAGACACGUUGAGGUAAUUUCAAUUUUUGUUUUCAAAAUUCAACUCAUAUUGCGAGAAAUGAGUUGAGCCUCAAGACACGUUGAGGUAAUUUCAAUUUUUGUUUUCAAAAUUCAACUCAUAUUGCGAGAAAUGAGUUGAGCCUCAAGACACGUUGAGGUAAUUUCAAUUUUUGUUUUCAAAAUUCAACUCAUAUUGCGAGAAAUGAGUUGAGCCUCAAGACACAUUGAGGUAUUUCCAAUUUUUGCUUUUCAAAAUUCAACUCAUAUUGCGAGAAAUGAGUUGAGCCUCAAGACACGUUGAGGUAAUUUCAAUUUCUGUUUUCAAAAUUCAACUCAUAUUGCGAGAAAUGAGUUGAGCCUCAAGACACGUUGAGGUAUUUUCAAUUUCUGCUUCUCAAAAUUCAAUUCAUAUUGCGAGAAAUGAGUUGAGCUUCAAGACACGCUGAGGUAAUUUCAAUUUCUGUUGUUAAAAAAAAAUCAACUCAUAUUGCGAGAAAUUAGUUGAGCCUCAGGACAUGCUGAGGUAAUUUCAAUUUCUGUUUUCAAAAUUCAACUCAUAUUGCGAGAAAUGAGUUGAGCCUCAAGACACGUUGAGGUAUUUUCAAUUUCUGCUUUUCAAAAUUCAACUCAUAUUGUGAGAAAUGAGUUGAGCCUCAAGACACGUUGAGGUAUUUUCAAUUUCUGUUUUUCAAAAAUCAACUCAUAUUGCGAGAGGUGAGUUGAGACUUUUAAUUUCUAUUUUUCUAAAACCAACUCAUAUUGCGAGAGGUGAGUUGAGCCUUUUUCUGUUUUUCAAAAAUCAACUCAUAUUGCGAGAGGUGAGUUGAGCCUUUUAAUUUCUGAUUUUCAAAAAUCAACUCAUAUUGCGAGAGGUGAGUUGAGCCUUUUAAUUUCUGUUUUUCAAAAAUUAACUCAUAUUGCGAGAGGUGAGUUGAGCCUUUUAAUUUCUAUUUUUCAAAAACCAACUCAUAUUGCGAGAGGUGAGUUGAGCCUUUUUCUAUUUUUCAAAAAUCAACUCAUAUUGCGAGAGGUAAGUUGUGCCUUUUGCAAAUUCUGUUUUCAAAAAUCAACUCAUAUUGCGAGAAGUGAGUUGAGCCUUGGCUCACGUGCUGAGCUAUUUUCAAUUUCUAUUUUUAAUGUCUAGUUUUAANNNNNNNNNNNNNNNNNNNNNNNNNNNNNNNNNNNNNNNNNNNNNNNNNNNNNNNNNNNNNNNNNNNNNNNNNNNNNNNNNNNNNNNNNNNNNNNNNNNNNNNNNNNNNNNNNNNNNNNNNNNNNNNNNNNNNNNNNNNNNNNNNNNNNNNNNNNNNNNNNNNNNNNNNNNNNNNNNNNNNNNNNNNNNNNNNNNNNNNNNNNNNNNNNNNNNNNNNNNNNNNNNNNNNNNNNNNNNNNNNNNNNNNNNNNNNNNNNNNNNNNNNNNNNNNNNNNNNNNNNNNNNNNNNNNNNNNNNNNNNNNNNNNNNNNNNNNNNNNNNNNNNNNNNNNNNNNNNNNNNNNNNNNNNNNNNNNNNNNNNNNNNNNNNNNNNNNNNNNNNNNNNNNNNNNNNNNNNNNNNNNNNNNNNNNNNNNNNNNNNNNNNNNNNNNNNNNNNNNNNNNNNNNNNNNNNNNNNNNNNNNNNNNNNNNNNNNNNNNNNNNNNNNNNNNNNNNNNNNNUAGAUAAUGUGAAUGUAUUUAGAGGUGCUUAUAUAGUAUUCAAAACUAUCAUAUAAAUUCAAUUUUCAACCAUAUAUAAUUGACAUUAUGGGAGUUGGAAAAUGAUAGGGGGCACUAUAGCAAAUGUUAUAGUUGUAUAAAAUUAGGACUUUGUGAUGGAAUAGUUUAGGGCAUAUUGUUUGAAUAUUCCAUAAACAUUAAAAAAAAAACCAAAUUUGUAAUGGAAUAUAAGAUUGGGUUUUCUUUUAUUAUCAAUUUAAAGCCAUGAGAAUCUUUAUUAUUUAAAAAUUAAUGUAAUUGUUAAAUUGAAAUUGCAGGGGAAUUUCAAAUAGGAGAAAAUAUAAAAGAAAUGGAUCCAAAAACAGUGGGAAGUAGUGUUGUAAAAUAUGGGAGGUGGAGAUUUGGAAUGACAAAGAAAGCAAUGGGGCAUUCAUUAGUUUAUAGCCAACUUUAUCCAUUUAAAGGCCUCCAAAAUUAUACCUCUGGAAUUAUUCACCAUGUUCGCCUCACUGGUAUUUCUCACCAUUUCUUCCCUUAUUUAUCUUCUGCAAAUUUGUUUUCUUACCAUUUCUUUCGCAUUAAUACUAACUUUUUUAAUUUACAAUAUGGUAGCCAAUACUGUUUCGGUAUUAGUAAUAUUAGUCGAUACAUAUCACUUUUAAGGGUGAGUUUAAAGGGAUAGGAACAAUUCCGUGUGUUGACUUAAUAGUCAGGGUGUUCACCGUUCUAGGUAUGGUUUGAGUUCAAGUUAAGUUGUGCUAGUCACGUUACUGUUAGGGUUUUGCCCUUCUCUUGUAAUUCAGCAAAAAGAAAUUAAUAUAUGGUGAAAUUGCACUUUAACUCCUCCAAAAAUGAAAAUAUUUAUAUUUAAUUCCUUCAACAAUAAUGAAAUCGUAAGUUAAUGCAAGAUAAAUGACACUUUAACUUAACAAUCUCCGCUCCCCUUAAAAAAAAAAUCCUAACUUCACCCUUAAUCAUCUUGAUUUUAGAUUGGUACCAAGUAGAUUAAAUUUUGUUCUUAUUAAAACAUUGGUGUGUUUCCUUCUGUUUCAGCUAAUACCAACUUAUACCGAUAUGUACCAAACAAUAUUGGUAGGACUGAGAAAGAAAUCAAAAAAUUGAACUAAUUUUUAUUUAUAAUUUUAUUUAUAAUUUAAAAAUAAAAAUAUAUUUAAACAGUGACAAUAACUCAAAUUUUAUAUAAAAACUAUUUAAAAAUAUUAUCAUAUAAGAGUUAUUAAUUUAUUUGAAAAUUAGUUUCUUUUAAAAAUAUUUAUGAAUAUUUUUAAAAAUUUUACAAAAUAAUAUCCAAAAUUCAUAGAAUAAUUUAUCAAGAUAAGUUCAAACACCCAAAAUUAAUAGAUCUUGAACCAAAUAAAUCCAACUAAAAUAAACCCAAAAUUAAUAGACCGAGAAUCAAAUUAUCAUAGAAGAUAUACCAUACACACUAAUACCCAUAAUUACCCAAUAAUUCUUCUCACACUUUGCAGGUUUAAAACCCAACACCUUCUAUUACUAUCAAUGUGGAGACCCUUCAAUCCCAGCAAUGAGCGAUGUUCAUUAUUCACCAUGUUCGCCUCACUGGUAUUUCUCACCAUUUCUUCUCUUAUUUAUCUUCUGCUAAUUUGUUUUCUUACCAUUUCUUUCGCAUUAAUACUAACUUUUUUAAUUUACAAUAUGCUAGUCAAUACUGUUUCGGUAUUAGUAAUAUUAGUCGAUACAUAUCACUUUUAAGGGUGAAUUUAAAGGGAUAGGAAUAAUUUCGUGCGUUGGCUUGAUAGUUAGGGUGUUCACCGUCCUAGGUGUGGUUUGAGUUCAAGUUGUGCUAUUGUAAUUCACCAAAAAGAAGUUAAUAUAUAGUGAAAUUGCACUUUAACUCCUCCAAAAAUGAAAAUAUGUAUAUUUAGUUUUCUUCAACAAUAAUGAAAUCGUAAGUUAAUGCAAGAUAAAGGACACUUUAACUUAACAAGCUACGCUCCCCUUAAAAAAAAUCCUAACUUCACCCUUAACCAUCUUGAUUUUAGAUUGGUACCAAGUAGAUUAAGUUUUGUUCUUAUUAAAACAUCAGUGUGUUUCCUUCUGUUUCAACUAAUACCAAUUUAUACUGAUAUGUACCGAAUAAUAUUGGUAGGACUGAGAAAGAAAUCAAGAAAUUGAACUAAUUUUUAUUUAUAAUUUUAUUUGUAAUUUAAAAAUAAAAAUAUAUUUAAAUAGUGACAAUAACUCAAAUUUUAUAUAAAAAUUAUUUCAAAAUAUUAUCAUAUAAGAGUUAUUAAUUUAUUUGAAAAUUAGUUUCUUUUAAAAAUAUUUAUGAAUAUUUUUAAAAACUUUACAAAAUAAUAUCCAAAAUUCGUAAAAUAAUUUAUCAAGAUAAGUUCAAAAACCCAAAAUUAAUAGAUCUUGAACCAAAUAAAUCCAACUAAAAUAAACCCAAAAUUAAUAGACCGAGAAUCAAAUUAUCAUAGAAGAUAUUUACCAAACACACUAAUACCCAUAAUUACCCAAUAAUUCUUCUCACACUUUGCAGGUUUAAAACCCAACACCUUCUAUUACUAUCAAUGUGGAGACCCUUCAAUCCCAGCAAUGAGCGAUGUUCAUUAUUUCCGAACAAUGCCGGCCUCCGGUCCAAGGAGUUAUCCGGGAAGAAUUGCAAUCAUCGGAGACUUGGGGCUCACGUAUAACACAACUUCAACAAUUGAUCACCUUAUGAGCAAUCACCCGAACCUGGUGCUGUUAAUCGGCGAUGCAAGCUAUGCCAACUUGUAUCUCACCAAUGGCACCGGUGCCGAUUGCUACUCUUGCGCUUUCUCCGACACUCCUAUUCACGAAACGUAUCAGCCUCGUUGGGAUUAUUGGGGAAGGUAAAUUUUAACGAUGUUUCAUGGAUUUAAAUAGCGGUCACAACAUGACAUUACGAUAGUAUUUGUUAUAAAUGUGCAGGUUUAUGCAGCCUUUGGUGUCCAAGGUUCCCUUGAUGAUGAUAGAAGGGAACCAUGAAAAAGAAGAACAGAUUGAGAAGAAGACAUUUGCGGCUUAUAGUGCUCGAUUUGCAUUUCCAUCGGAGGAGAGCGGAUCAUCGUCGACAUUCUAUUAUUCUUUUAAUGCAGGUGGCAUUCAUUUCGUGAUGCUCGGUGGUUACACCGACUAUAACAAAUCAGGGGAUCAAUACCAGUGGUUGAAGAAGGACCUUGCAAAAGUUGAUAGAAAAGUGACUCCAUGGUUGGUUGCAACAUGGCAUCCUCCAUGGUACAGUACAUAUACUGCACAUUAUAGAGAAGCUGAAUGUAUGAGGGUAGAAAUGGAAGAUUUAUUAUACAAAUACGGAGUUGAUAUAGUCUUCAAUGGACAUGUAAGUCGUGCUUUAUAAUGAAUUAAUUCAAUUACAUUCACUCGAAGAGCUGAUGGUCGUGUUCAUUUGGUGAUAAUCAAUAGGUUCAUGCCUACGAGAGGUCGAACCGAGUGUAUAACUACAACUUGGAUCCUUGCGGUCCUGUUCAUAUUACGAUUGGUGAUGGUGGCAACCGAGAGAAAAUGGCAAUUACACAUGCUGAUGAACCCGGAAAUUGCCCCAAACCAUCGACAACUCUGGAUAAAUUUAUGGGUGGGUUCUGUGCAUUUAACUUCACAUCAGGGCCGGCAAGUGGUAAAUUCUGCUGGGAUAGGCAGCCUGAUUAUAGUGCAUAUAGAGAAAGCAGCUUUGGACAUGGAAUCCUUGAGGUAUAUUAUGCAGAUAUUUCAUUAAGAUUAAUUUCUAUGGACCGUAAAAAGGACACAAAGGGUACUUUAAUUAUACAAAAAAAACAUUAACAGCAAGUGUUUUGCAGGUGAAAAAUGAGACUCAUGCACUGUGGACAUGGUACGGUAAUCAAGAUGCUUAUGGGACUACUGGUGAUGUGGUUUAUAUAGUUAGGCAACCUGAUAGAUGCCCUGUUGAACCCGACGUAAUUAAUUAAGAGUAAACUCCAAAGCUUAAUUAAGUUGAUUCAUCUGCAGUCACCAUUAAAAAGUGAUGCCAAGAAAGUUUAGGUUUGAAUCUCGGCAUCUGUCCUCAGACUAUGAUUUCUUUUGUACCAGUAAAUAUCUUUCAAAGCUAUAAAUACAUAUUAAACAUCAAAAUCAGACAGCUGAUAAAUCACAAAGGGAUUAUGUACGUAUGUAUGCAUGCAUGUAUGUUGGCUUCUAAAGAUUGAAAAGUAAAUAAUUAAGGAUUCAAAAGGAACAUUAUUGUGAUAUGAUUUGCAGGUUCGUAAUUUUAAUUAAAUGAAAUAAGUUUGAUGUAACUAUGCAAGUAGUACUUAGAAUCCUAAAAGUUUGAAAUAAAUAUUUGUAACUUUGUUGAAUGUUUUCAUGAGAGUUCCUUUCUCAUGGAGGUCAAUUUCUUUGUUAUAAGAUACGGUCCCAUGGUUUGACAUACUAAGAUUAAAUAGGCUCUUAUGUAGGCUAACACGUAUCCUACUUUAGGGUCAACACGUGUCUCUUGAGUAUGGGUUUGCCUGCAUGGUGGUGUGAACCCAUUAGGUGCGGACUUAUACAGACGAACUAUAUGGUUUGGUUAACUAUAUCCGAAAUAAAAGGGGUCAGAUCGGUCUUAAUCAGAAAACAAAUAAUUUAUGGCGGACACUACAACAAACUUAAUAAUCACAUUUGUUAAUAACAAAUAAUUAAUUUGUUUUGAUAACGUAAUUACAAGACAUAAUUUGAAAAUAAUAUAUGCUUGCUUAGAUACCAUUAUUCUCAGUACUCCAAGUAACAUAAAUAUUGAAAUGAAUUUGUGAGAGAGCUAAGAUGGUUGUAUUCUAAUAGAGAGAUUUCUAUUGCUGGUAAAGAAGACUUUAGCUCCACUAUCGUGCGGCCGUGACAUUAGCUUAAGCUCCUCAUUAAGCUAAUUAAAUGUGAUCUCUAGAUUAACCAACAAUGUCUUCAUAAAGUAGACAACUAAAUGAUCGAUACCACCAGCAUCCUUCCAUAAAUAGCUGCGAAAUAGGGCUUCAACUUCUAACAAAAACGCCUCUUCCUAUCAUUGGGGUCAUGCAUCAAGGUUUAAAAAGUUCCAUAUUGGAUGCAAAAUAAAUGAUAGAACAAGUAAGAGCAGGAUAGACAUUGAGCUUGUGUUGAGUGUACUAUCAAAUGAAGCUCUAGAGAGAAAUGGAGGGCUGAAUCCAGGGUAAUUGAGCCCCGGACCGCCACCUCCGCCAUUGAUCGGUGUGGUUGUCGUAGUUGGCACAUUCGGAUUGUUCCACGACCCUGUUUUUGGCAUAGCUGUCCCUCCGGAUGUGCUGGAAAUUUCAUAACUUAAGCUUUUAAAAUCAAUAAAAUAACAGUGACAAAAACUACAAAUAAUGAUGGAAUCCAAUUUGGUUGGUAAUUUUCAAAAAAUAGGCGAAAGGAGCUAUUAUUAGCUUUUGCUGGAACCCAAUAGAGGUGCUCAUGGGCCGGGCCGGGCCGGGCCCAGAAAAAAUUUCGGCCAGUGUCCUAGACCCUGGCCUGGCCGAGGCUGAAAUAUGAGCCUAAAAUUUUAUCUAGGCCAGGCCUGAAAAAAAAUUCAUAAGCCCGAGCCCAGCCCGGCCCAUUUUUUAAAUAAACACCAAAAAAAAUUUAAAAAUAAAAAAAUUUAUUUUAAAAAUAUUUUAAAAAAUAAAAAUAAAAAAUAUUUUAAAAAUAAAAAAAUAAAUAGAUUUAUUAUAUUUGGGUCGGGUCGGGCCGGGCCAAAAAAUGUUAUGUGAGGCCCGGUCCAUUUUUUAAAUGGGCCUUUUUUUUUGUCUAAUGUCAUAUUUCGGGCCUAUUUUUUACUUAAACCCUCCCAUAUUUUGGGCAGGCCAUUGGGCCGAGCCGGGCCGCCCGGCCCAUGAAGACCUCUAGAACCCAGCAAUGCGCCCAUGGAUAGAGAUGACAACAAGGUGAGACGGGACGAGUUUUUGCUCGCCUCAAUUUCGACUCGAUUUUUAUAUCCUCUACUUCGAUUUAUUCUGAGCUCGAUUUUAUUUAAAAAUGUAAAAAUAAUUAUAAAAUUAAAAAAAAAGUGUUUUAGUAAGUAAAUCAAGGCAGACAAAUCGAAUUUUCAUCUAAAUCUAAACUCGAAUUGAUCUUGAACUACCCAUGUAUGACUCCAGUAUCCAAAUAUCUAGAGUGUUUUUUGACCGUUGGAUGUCUUUCAAGAAAAGAGUACCCAUCCAACGGUUGAAAAAGUCUCACCUAAACAAGACGGUAGGAAAACAUUACAAGUAAAGAAGUGGCCAACAGACAUAAAUAAGCCUGGAAACGUAAAAGGUGUAAACCUUCACAAAGUGACGACUGCAUGUAGGAUACGAAAAUGGACGGUUAGAGAUCAUGCCGAGAAACACGUGUCAGACAUCUACUCAAUUACAGCAUCACCAUGAAAGGCUCACACCCACUUGAGAAUCAAAGGAUUAUGCAAAGUUGAUUCAUGUUAGUUAAUUAGGAUUUAAACAAUAUCUUAUUUUGCGCCUUUUUGUUUUUCUGUCUUUGAUCCUCUUACAAGCCACAAGGGUUUCAAUAAUAAAUUACACCCAACUUCAAAAAGUUAUUAAAUGAGCAAUAAAUUAUUCAAAUUUUUUUAUUUAAGUCACUAAACUAUUUAAAAGUUUUUAUUUAAUUUACUGGGCUGUUAAAUUUUUUUUUUAAAAAGGAGGUUCAGCUAGUGAACUCCAAGCAACAAUUUAACAAUCGGUAUGGUGGAUAAAUACCCGCUGACGAGUAGAUCCAAGUUGAUCUAACGGUUAGUGUCGGAGAUCGGAGAAUGAAGAGAAAAACUGUUUGGAUUUUAGUUUAUAGAUUUGUGACGUUAAAAGUUAUUUCAUAAAAAAAAAUUAAACUGUAAAAGAGAAGGGAAAUUAAAGCUUUUGAGUGUUGCAAGCAAUGCAGACAAAGAAAGCCGUACAACAGUAAUUUUAACAACCCGAUGACUUAAAUGAAAAUUUUCGAGUAGUUCAAUGAAAGAAAAUACAAAAAAUUCUCUCUGCUGCGUUGUUUUCGUCUUCUUUGCAGGUAAGGAGGCUAGCUGGCGUAAGGAGGUGGUGGAUGUGGCACAGCACACGCGGGGAAGGCCUUGGUGGCUGCGGCGCCGGAAGGAGGGCUGUUGCAGCUAGGGUUUUCUGAUUUUUUUUUUGUUUUGGGCUAGGGUUGUGUUGAUAGUUGUAUUGGGCUAGGUUUUUGGGCUGGGUGUAGUUGGACUAGAUGCAUCUGACUUUGGGUUUGUACCGGGUCACUGUAAAUGGGUUUGGUUUUUAUUGUUAUUGGGCUGUGAACUAUUUGAGUUUUAAUUAAUUUUUAUUUAUUUGGUUUUUUAUUGUGGGCUGGGCAAAUUGGGUAUUACAAUCAGCUAAUUAGGAAAGACUGUGAUGAUAGUCACACCUUACAUCCAAAAGCAAAGCUUUUUACAUGUGUAUGUGAGGUUGCUAAGCAAAUCUGAUGAGCCUUCACUGAUGUUUUAAGGUUAAGUUAAUGUUCCUUUUCGGCAAAGAACAUUAUCGAGAUCACGGUAUUUUGAUCGCCUUUUGCUUGUUAUGUUAUUUGUUCUGAAACGAUUGCAUAAUCUUUACUGUGAUUGCAGGAUAUAGAGCAACUUCUGAAUUUCAUUGGUGUAAAGAGUUGAGGACCACGACAUGUUCUUGCAAAUUUGAAGGAGCUUCUAAGGUCUGUCCGGUCUUCAGAAUAUAUAGAUACCUGAAUUAAUUUUGAUUUUGUAGGAUCAACUAUAAUUAGCUACUUAUUACACUAUGAAUAGACAACCUCACCUUCUUCACACACUACACGUGCGGAUUUUUUACCAAUCCCAUUUCAAAGGAUCACACUUUUUUGUUGUUUACAGAAUCAUAAUUAAUGUUAAUUAAAGUGGAAUAUUUCAGAUUUCUGAUGAUGAGCAUAUUCUUGAGUAUUGCAGUAAAAAAAUGGGUGUGGAACUUAUUUGAACUUUGAAUGUAUGUUCUGUUGGUGAGAAUAUAAAGUUGAUAAAGAUUUGGUAAAUAGAAUAAAAUAUUAUUUUUAUUAGAAAAAUUAUUUGGUAGACUGCCAAUCGAGUUAUAAUUAUCAUGACGUAAAACAUGUCAUAUUACAAAUAAUAAAAUUAUAAUGACUCAAAUAUACGAACAUGUCAAAAUUUACGUAAAACGAAUUAUUAACAUGUCAAUGUAUAAUACGGUACGCAAAAAUAGGAUAAUUGCUUGUUUUUUAAAUUGAAUUGUUAUAACAUAUUAUACAAAAUACAUUGUGAAUUAAAGCAUAAUAUGAACAUGAUAUCAAAAUAUUAAAUAUUUUUUAAAAUUUGAUGAUACGAAUAAUUAUGUAAAAUAUAACAUGAUACAAAAUAACUUGAGAGGAAAAGAGGAAUAAAGAAUUGCAUUGUUUGUGAGGUUUUAAAAUAUUCCAGUUUUAGAUUCAAUUUUCUAGUAUGUUUGGUUUAAUUUUACAUUAGAUUUCCUUUUUAGUAUGCACUAGUGAACGCUUGGCAGUUAAUUUAAUUUAAUUUAAUUUAAAGAGAUAUUGCAUAUACAUAAUAAUGGAUUAUGAUUUUACAUUAAACUUCAUAGAAGAAAAAAGAAAUAGACGGUUGAAAAUGAUAAAACCAUAAGAUAAAAGAGCUUUUAUUUAAAAUGCAAAAAUCAACAAAAUAUGCAUUAUCGCUCAACUUAGCAUAAUUAAACAUUUAGGUGUGGAAAUCAAAUCACAAUUUGAGUAGCUAAACAUAUCGCUUGAAAAUGUGAUAAGUAAGAAAAUUGCCCACAUUUGAGUAGCGACAGGUGGUAAUGCAUUUCCCAACAAGAGAAAACCAAGCUCUUCGCCAGUAUGGAUUUAUGUAGAGGACAACAAAAAUUGUUAACAACACAACUACAUAAGAAACCAAAAAGCUCACACAAAAAUCAUAACUAUCUAUCAAACCAUCUUCUCCUUUAUCUUCUGAUACAGUUGAUAUUGUUGAUGGUGAAUCGGUUUUGGAACAACUUUUAUGCAGUAUAGGUCCACAAAGAAAAGGGUUUCCUUCAUAACUGUUUUCAAUAAAGGUCUCAAAUUGAGCUUUUGGUUCGGGAAUACUACCUGACAAGUUGUUAAAUGCCACGCUGAAAACCUCCAAAGAGUUUAACUCUACCAAUUGAUUGGGGAUUUCACCACUUAAGUUGUUGUAAGAAAGGUCCAAACUCUCAAUUUGAUGUAGUUUUGAGAGUGACGAGGGUAUAACUCCGGUCAACUUAUUGUGUGAAAGGUUUAAAGAAUGGAUUUCACUCAAGUUCCCUAAUUCUGGUGGGAUAUGACCAGUUAAGUUGUUGCAAGAUAAAUCAAUCCCAGUCAUAUAUGAAAGGAUGUCGCCCUUGUAUGAAUAGAACCCACUCUUUGUUGUGAACUCUAUUACUUCUUCUAAGUAGCUACUAGGAUAGUAAGAAUCCAUUCCCAAAUUUAGUAUCAUACUGCGUGUUGUUUCAUCCUCUUCUAUAGAUGGCCCAUAGAACCAAGUUUCUAGAAUCUUCUUCGUUUGCAUUGGAAGAGAUAAAUUUCCCAAACAAGAAGGUAUAGGACCAGAAAACAUAUUUUGAGAAAGAUCUAUGAUGCUUAAAGAAUGCAACUUGCAUAACUCAAUAGGAACUUUACCAUGAAAAUGAUUAUCUUUCAAGAGAAGAACACUCAAAGAAGAAAGCGUGUAAAUCCAUUUUGGAAUACUACCUGUCAAAUUGUUUCCUCUAAGAUCUAAAGUCACUAUUGAAGAGCUAUUAUAAAAAGCAAGUGAUAGUGGGCCUCUCAGUCUAUUCCCGUGGAGGUGGACAUGCUCUAUGUAUGGUGGAUUAAAACAUGACGGUAUAGAGCCAGAUAAAUUAUUUUGAGAAAGAUCCAAAAAUUCCAACCUAUUCAACUUGCAAAAUUCCAUUGGAAUGGAACCUUCAAAACCAUUGUUGGACAUAGCUAAUCUCUGCAAAAACGAUGCAUUCCCUAUCCAUCUUGGGAGCUUUCCAUGCAACUUGUUGUUACUGAGAUCAAUUUCGCUUAGUGAAUUUGGAAACUCAAAAGUAGACACAUCAACAUUUGUCAUCUCUCCUGAAAAAUUAUUUCCAUCCAAAUAUAAAUGCUGCACCCCAUUUGCGCUGAGAAUCACAGGAACUACAUUUCCACUGAGGUUGUUAUUUGAUAGUCUCAAAAUGGUCAGUGAGCCUUUCGUGAUCAACUCUUCUGGUACUUUUCCAUACAAAUGAUUGUCUAAUAGAUCUAAAAAUGAUAAGUCCUUCAUGCCACUUAAACAAAGUGGGAUAUUAUCUUCAAAAGCAUUCUUGGAUAAGAAUAACCGACUCAAAUGUGGAAAAGUUGAACAUAUACCAGUUGGAAUUUGACCUUGUAAUUUGUUUUCAGAUAUGUCAAUUGAAGAUACAUCAGAAAUAAGAGCCGACGAAAGUGAGAGAGGACCUGUAAAUGAAUUACCCUUCAAGAUGAGAUCUUCUAACUUUGUGUUGUUUUCUAGCAACCAAGUUGGUACAGUUCCACUGAGAUUGUUAUGAGAAAGAUCCACAUAUCUCAAGUCAUAUUGGUAGUAAAGGAAGGUAGGAAAUUUACGAUUGAGUUGUUGAGAUGCUAUGCACUUUGGCAAUCUGAUGACUUCCAAUUGGAACUUUGGGAUUGAGGUAUAAAAGGAAGAUUCCAUUACCAUCUUGUUUUCAUUAAUCGAAAGGGCUUUGAGGUUUGAAAGGUUUGCAAAUGGUGCAAAUGACAGCGGAAUUUGAAAAUGGUUUCUUGAAACAUCUAACACACGAAGAGAUGUCAAGUUACUAAAACAACGAGGAAGCAUCCCCUCAAGUGCAUUGUUGCUCACAUCCAAUACUUCAAGGUUCUUUA